UUUUUUUUUUUUUUUUUUUUCUGUUUUGGGUUUUUUUUUUUUUUUUGAUAGAUACUCUUAAAAGUUAAGGUAGAUUAGAAAUGUACUUGGGAUAAUUUUUCUUCACUUGUCACAAUUCAUAAAAGUAAAUUUGAUGGAUUUUGAUUUAAAAUAAUUUAAUAUUUUAAAUAUAAAAUUUAAUAUUAAAACCAUAUUAAAAAAUAUUACAAAUUAUAAUAUUUUCUUGAAGUAAAAUAAUCUAAUGUUUUAAAUAUAAAAGUUUAAUAUAAAAACUAUGUAAAAAAAAUGUUAUAAAUUAUAAUAUUUUUCAUAUUAAUAUGAGUAAAAAGUUUAAAACAUUAGUCAAAGACAAUCAAAGUAUGUCAAAGUGAAAAAGAAUGGGGAGUGUCUUUUUAAUCUAAGAUAAAAAUUAUAUUAAUAUAAAAAAACUAAGUAAACGGAGAGUUAUGAUUUAAUCAGGGUUAAAAAUUGAUUAUCACUAGCGUAUGAAUUGAAGGAACAUCUUUCAAAAGAAAUGAUUAAAAAGUGGUUAUAGUUAUGAAAUUUUAAUUAGUAACUAGUAAAUUAAUGUCUAAAAAAUACUAUAACAUUUUAGUUAGUAACUACUAAAUUAAUGUCUAAAAAGUGGUUAUAGUUAUAAAAUAUUAAUUAGUAACUAGUAAAUUAAUGGUUGAUUAAUUAAAAAAUAUUUUGAUUAUUAAUGAGAUCUCUUGAAUAAUCUAUUAGAUGGAAGUCAUUAAUCAAAAAAAUAUAUUUAAGUGAAGUUAUUUGUACUUAGGCUUAACAAAUGUGGUUGCUGUCACAUUAGUCUGCUCGUAGGUAUUUAGUGCUAGGCAAAUUGAAUGUAUGUGUAUGUGUAUGUGUAUGUGUAUGUGAAGAAAUAAAAUUAUUUUCUAUAAUUCAAUUUCCAUUCGAUUGAGCUCUUUUGAAUAUGGAGAUAUUUUAAUAUUUCAUUUGUAUUUUAUUAAGCUCUUGAUUUUUUAAAGUGAAAUUUAAAAUUUUAUUUUGAAGUUGUAAUUUUUAAAAAUUGAAGUUGUGUUUGAACGUGCAACUUGAAAUUUUGUGAGGGAAAAUUUCCAGAAAAUCAAAAAUUGAUAUGGCUAUUUUUGGAAAUUUGAAGAUUAAAUUUUCAAAAUCUAAUCAAUUUCAUGGUCAAACAAAUACUAAAAGAUAAUUUUUUAAAAUUUAUGAUCAAAUGCUAGCUAAUAUUAAGAUAUUUGAACUGAUAAUUAAAAGGUAUGCUAACUCAAUAAAUAAAUAAAAAUUACUAAUAAAUAUCAAAUUUACAAAGAUGCUUAAUACAAUAUUAGUUACAUUGAAUAGAUAAUUUAUUCAAUGAAACACCUCUAAAAUCUUAUGACAUCAUUAGUAUACAAUUACAUGAUCAUAAUGUGAAGACCGACGAUGAUAAAAAGGGACAAUAGAAGCUGGAUUCUACGUACUCUUAAUCCACUCACCACUUGUAUGUUGUCUCUUUCUUCAUUUUCACACUGCCCCAAGUAUUUAUUUUUGCGUCCCAAGUAUUUAGUUUUUGAAAAGAUUUUACAACAUUUACCGCUUUGCUUUUUUAAUUUGUGUGUGUUUUGAUAAAAGUUAAGAUAAAUAAAAAAUUUACUUCUCGUAUUUUUUUACCUUGUCACAAUUCAUAAGAGUAAAUUUCAUUGAUUUUGGAAUUAAAUUGAAUUAAACUAAUCUAAUGUUUUAAAUAUAAAAUUUUGUUGAAAAAUAUUAUAAAUUAAAAAUUCAUAUUAGUCAAAACAAGCAAAAUAUGGUAAAGUGAAAAAAGAAUUGGGAGUAUCCUUUUUAAAUCCAAAACAAAUAUUAUAUUAAUAUAAAAUAUUAAGUAAAUAGAGAAUUAUGGUUUAACAAGCGGUUAAAAAUUGAUUAUUAGCAGAUAAGUUAAAGGAAUGUCUUUCAAAGGAAAUGAUAAGAAGUGGUUAUACUUAUGAAAUUUUAAUUAGCAAUUGGUAAUUAAUGUAUGAUAAACCAAAAAUGGCUUGCUUGUUAAUGAAAUUUCUUGAAUAAUUUAUUAGAUAGAAGUCAUUGAUCAAAAAAGUGUAUUGAAGUAGAGUUAUUUGUACUUAGGCUUACCAAAUAUGUCCACGAACAUAUUAGUUUUACUCGUAAGUACUUAGUAAUAGGCAAACUAUGUGUGCGUAUGCAAAGAAGCAAUUCUAUUUUCUAUAAUUCAGCUUUAAUUGGAUUGAAAUCUUUUGAAAGAUAUUUUAGUAUUUCGUUUGCUUUUACUAAGUUCUUUUUUUUUUUAAGGUGAAUUCUAAAUUUCGAUUUUAAAGUUGUGUUUGAACUUGUAACUUGAAUUUUUUUUGAAUUUUUGUAAGUGAAAAUUCCCAAAAAAUAAAAAAUUGAUAUGGCUACUUUUGAAAAUUCAGAGAUUGGAUUUUAAAAAUUUAAUCAAUGAUCAAAUAAAUAUUAAAAGAUAAAUUUUUAAAAUUUAUGAUCAAAUACUAGCUAACAUUAAGAUGCCUGAAUUUGAUAACUAAAAUAUAUGCUAACUUAAAAUGUAAGUAUGUAUAGUUUAACUUUAAUACUAGCUAACACUAAGAUGUCUGAAUUUGAUAACUAAAAUAUAUGCUAACUUAAAAUGUAUAGUUUAACUUUAAUUGAAAAUUAAUGAACAUACAAUCUAAAGUAAAAUAAUAAUACAUAUCAAAUUUACAAAGAUGCUUAAUAGAAUAUUAGUUACAUUGUAUAGAUAAUUACUCAAUGAAACACCUCUAAAAUCUUGUGACAUCAUUGGCCUACAAUUACAUGAUCAUAAUGCGAUGAUCAAUGAUGACCAAAAGGGUCAAGAGAAACUUGAUUUUAUAUGUUGUUAACUCACUUACCAUUUAUUUGUUUGUCUCUUUCUUUAUUUUCACACCGCACCCUAGGUAUUUAUUUUUUAAAAAUAUUUUACAGCCGGUUCGUUGUUGUUUUUUCCCAUUGUUUUGUGUUUUGAUAGAUAAAAAUUAAGGUAGAUUAGAAAUUUACUUUCAAUAAUCUUUUUUUACUUGUUACAAUCCAUAAGAGUAAAUUUAAUUAAUUUAAAAUUAAAUUAAAUUAAUUUAUUAUUUUAAAUAUAAAAAAUUAUAUGAAAAAUAUUAUAAAUUACAACACUUUUCAUAUAAAUAUGAUUAGAAAGUUCAAAAUAUUAGUCAAAACACAAGCAAAAUAUGGCAAAGUAAAAAAGAAUGGGGAGUAUCUUUUUUAAUCUAAAACAAAUUAUCAAUAUAAAAAAUUAAGUAAAUAGAAAAUUAUGAUUUAGCGAGCGGUUAAAAAUUGAUUAUCACUAGCAUAUGAAUAUAAAUUUCAAAGGAAAUGAUUAAAAAGUGGUUAUAGUUAUAAAAUUUUAAUUAGGAACUAGUAAUUAAUGCCUGGUAAUCCAAAAUACAUUUUGCUUGUUAAUGAGAUUUCUUGAACAAUUUAUUAGAUAAAAGACACUGGUUAAAAAAGUGAAUUGAAGUUUAGCUAUUUAUAUUUAGGCUUAACAAAUAUGUCUGCAGUCAUAUUAGUCAGCUUGUAGGUAUUUAGUACUAGGCAAAUCGAAUGUAUGUGUAUGCAACGAAGCAAAUUUAUUUUCUAUAAUUUCAUUACAUUCAGCUCAUUUGAAUUUGGAGAUAUUUUAAUAUUUCGUUUGCUUUUAUUAAGCUCUUGUUUUUUUAAGGUAAAAUUUAAAUUUGAUAAAGUUGUGAUUUUUGAAAAUUGAAGUUGUGUUUUAACAUGUAACUUGAAUUUUUUUUUUAAAUUUUGUGAGUGGAAAUUCUUAGAAAACCAAAAAUUGAUACGGCGAUUUUUGAAAAUUCAAAGUUUAGAUUUUCAAAAUCUAAUCAACUCAUGAUAAAAAAGAUAUCUAAAAUAAAAUUUUAGAAUCUAUAAUCGAAUGCUAGCUAAAAUUAAAAUGUUUGAAUUUGAUAACUAAACUAUAUGCUAACUCAAAAUGUGAAUAUGUAUAGUUUAACUUUAAUUGGAAACUAAUGAAUAUAUAAUCUAAAGUAAAUUAUUACUAAUAAAUAUAAAUUUUACAAAGAUGCUUAAUAGAAUAUUAGUUUACAUUGUAUAGAUAAUUUAUUCAAUGAAACACCUUUAAAAUCUCCUGACAUCAUUAGCGACAAUUACAUGAUCAUAAUCUGAUUAUCGACGGUGAGCAAAAAGGACAAGAGAAGUUUGAUUCUAUUUCCUCACAUCCUCAUCUACUCUCAUUCAACUUCAUCUAUUAUAUUUUGUCCUUUCUUGCCAUCUCUUUUUCGUCAUCGAUUUUCCUUUAUCUCCUUAUUUUUCACUUCAUUUUCUUGCGUGUUUCCUCCUCCUUCUUUGUUGUUUUUUCUUUCUCUUUUUCUCCUUUAUUAAUUUCAUUUUUCUUAUCUCCUAAUCCUUUUUAUUAUAAAUUAAGUGUUAAAAGAUUUUUAAAAUGCAAUAAUAUUAUAUUAGUACGCACUUCACAUCCUAAGCUAGUCUAUCUAUUAUUAUGAAAUUAAAAUAGAUUGACACUUUGAAGUAGACAGUUAGAUAUUCAAAAAAAAAAAAAGAUAAAUUGUAGAAUUUCGAUUUUAUGAGGAAAGUUUGAAGAAAGAUAGACUACGGAUUCAUUUGUAUCAUCAGUCUAUUAGUAUUUUGAAAUUCAUACCAAGUGGAAAAUGUCUAUAUUUAUCACUUGUGAAUAAAUCAGCACAACAUCUCUAUUUUUAGACUCUUCAUUUUCUCAGAAAAAAAUUGAAGAAUGAUUCUUGAGUAGCAAAAAUGGCAAAACGCUAUUUCAAAUUGGGAGGAUGAAUGAAUAUAAUGACAAAAAACUCAAGGCAACAAUGCAAAGGGAACUUUGCUGCCUCAAAUCACACUGUAAGGAAAACAAAAUCUCGACGGUAUUUUAGCAGAAUAAUACUAUGUUUUUUAGUUCGCACUUCAUCAAAUCAAGCUGAAAUUAUAUAUAGGAGCUAAGGGUAAUGCUCGUUUGAUGUCCUAUGUUGCUAGUCUAUCAGCUGUCUAGGACUCUAGAACAUUAUUUCUAAAAAUUACAUAAAUAUACAAUUUAUAUUUUCAAUAUUACAAAAAAAUCCCAACUCCCUAAACAUAUUACAAAAAUCUCAACAUAUACACAGAAUGCUAUGUAUAUGUCAGCUAUGUUAUGUAUAUUAAUAGGGAGAGAGAGUAAAAUAAUUAAAAAAGUGGGAGAGAGUGUAAUUACUUCCAAAAGGGUUGGUAUUUAUGUUAUUUAUACUUUUUUUUUUUUAUUUGGGCUUAAGUCAUCGUCAGACCCUCAAGUUUAUCCCGAAAAUUCACUUAGACCCCUCAACUAAGGUUUGUAGCUAUAAGGCUCCUAACCCACCCGAAUUUUGAUCCAAUUAGGCCUUUUUUGCCUAAUCAGCAACAGACAUAGAGUGUGUGUAAUACACUCGCCUGCGUGAUAAAAUUAACUAAUUAAAAAAAAACACGUGACAAAAAAAAUUAUACGUGAAAUUUCUGUUUUUUUCUAUUUUUCUAUUUAAUUAUCUAUUUAAUGGUAAUUUUUCAAUUAAAGAAAAAAAACACCCCCCACCCCACCCAGUCGUCAUCUUCACACCCCCUCCCCCGGCGUCACAGUUCAAAUAAUAAUGGCAAGGGAUUUGAAAGAUUUAAAAAAUUGUUUAAUUUACCUUUAAUUGUUUAUUUGUUCAAUGAAAAAUUUCAAGGUCGCCAUUUUCGUUAUUGUUCAAUGGUAAAUUUACCAUUGCAAAAUUAAUGAUUGAAAAAUUAAUGGUAAGGAAUUCCAAUGUCGUCAUUUUCAUUGAUGAAAAGCUGAGAACUCGUAAUCAUCAUCCUUUACGAACGAGUUCAAAUCCGCCAUUUCCAUUAAUUAAAAGCUUUAAAAUCCGUCAUUUCCAUUAAUGAAAAGCUUUAAUUAAUGAAUUGAAGACGACGAUGAUGGGGUGGGGUGUUGUGAAGACGACGAAGACGCGGGGGUGGGGUGGGUUUGAAAACGAUGAAGACGCGGGGAAAUAAAAUUAUAAUAAUUAAAAAUUAUAUUAAUAAAUUAAUUUAAAUAUAAAUUUUUUAAUUAAUAUAUUUUUGGGGUCCCUUAGUGUCACUUGACACAUUUUCAUUCGUGAUUUAGUCAAAAAAUAUCUCCUCACGCGCCCUAAGUAAGUGUAUAACACGUUGUGUGCCAUAUAGGCAAAAAAAAUCUGAUUAGAUCAAAAUUCGGGUGGGUUAGGGGUCUGAUAGGUACAGACCUUAGUUGAGGGAUCUAAGUAAAUUUUUGGGAUAAAUUUGAGAAUCUGUCGAUGACUUAAGUCUUUUAUUUGUUAGGGUCACUUAGAAGGGAAGUGGUAUUCUUCUCUCUUGGUGUAGUAUUUUAUUACUUUGAAAUUAAUAAAAUGUAAUUUAGCUGCCAAAAAAAAAAGUAUAAGGCUUCUAGAAUGAAUGAAUCUUGAUAGUUGCACAUAAAUUCUAUAAAUUCUAUAUAAUGUAUUGAUUAUGAUUUGAUUUUUAAAUUGCGCCUUAACUGUAAUAUUUAUGUUGGAUAAUAAUUAAUGUAUGUGUGUUAAACUUACAUAGUAGUUUGUUAACUUUUAAAGUGGUCAAAUAAUAGUAUUUAAUGUUUAGACAUAUAUUUUUACUAGAUAGGUAUGUCCGUGCGUUGCACUGGCCCAACACGUAUAGUAGAAUAAAAUGAAGAUGUAGCAGUAAGAGACUAUCCCGUUUGAUUGAAUCCGUUGAUGGAAAUGAUUCCAAAUGUAUGUUUUAUACAAUCAUGAAAAUAACAUACUACUGGAUACUCACAUUCACAUGUAAUAGUGCAUGUUGUCUAUUUACAUAGGUAUAUAUUAUCCCGUUUAAUUGGAUCAGUUGAUGAAAAUGAUCCCAAAUGUAUUGUGCUCAACUAUUCAAUUGCCUUGAGGCACAUCAAUCCUUCAGUAGCUCAAUGUUACCUUUUGUUUUUAAGUAAUCUACACGCGAGAGUUGCAGAAGAAUUUAGUAAAUACGAUAUGUCUACAUAUAAAUCAACACUAAUAUAACAAUUAUAUAGUUUAGGGAUGAGGUUGACAGUUGACUUCUACCAUAUUUAGCAACAUUUUACUUCUAAUCAUCAGAAAUUUUAAUGAACUCCAAAAAGGCAAAUAUUAAACUUCUAUCAUUUAAUAAGUAUAAUUGCAAGUUCGCAAGGAGGUCGAUAAAAGUUCGUUUUCAAAACAGAUGUCAACUUUCUUACUACUAAUCAUAUUGUUAUUAAAUAAAUAACAAACUGAAAUAGAUGAAGGCAGUAAGUUUUUUCUCUUUGUCCCUACUUUGUUUAUGAAUGUUUAUGAACACGGAGAACAAAAAAAUGCAAGUUACAUAUGACCAAGGAAGCAGGUAUCUAACCUUUCCACUUGACUGUCCGUAUGCAAAGUAAUCAUACCUAAACAAGAAUUCAGAUGUUGCAAUGGUAGUCAUACUUGUAUGCUACGUGCAUAGAUAAAUCGACUUUUGCGCUAUAAAGAAUACUAAUAUAUUUAAAGCAAUUUUCAUAUUGUGUCCAAAAAAUAGAAGAAUUAUGAUAAUCAAUCAAACAUAACACUUCAUUUUUCAAUUCAUUAAUAGUAAGACAGUUCACUUUGUUAGUUGCUCAAACCAAACCAAAGGCAGUUGUGUUGGUUCUGUUUCCUUUUUCUGUUUAUGCAAAAACUGUGAAUGUAAUGUGUUGGCUAGCUCAUGUAUUGAAAGUCAUUUUGUUUGUAAUGAAUCCAGUAAAUUAUGACUUUCUUUGAUUUUUGGUUUGUGUUUGCCCUUUGAUUCUGCUUCUAAGUUUACCUAUUGUUUGCUAAUAUCUGUGUUCAGUUGGGUCUCUUUAUAGUAAUCAGUCUCUAUAACAACAUUUUGCUAUCACGACCAAGUUUUGUUCGGACUAUCAGACUACCACUGUACCAAACGCGGCCCACAAGUGGCCUUAGUCUUAUAAGUUUAUAUUUGUAUUGAUUUAAACCAGAUUUUGUUUAAUAGGAUUCUAUCUAUUUAAUAAGGAUACUUGUUCAACUCAAUGAUAGUUUAUAUGUUUACUUGUGUACAUUAAAAGCUGAAGGGCGUAGAUACCAGCUAGGGCCACGUUAAUAGACACAUUUAUGUUAAAUAUCGAUCUAAGUGGCCUCACACAUUUAAAAUCUCAUCAUAGGUGGAAGGUUCAAACUAAAUAUAAAUAAUAUCCAUAUAUAUAUAUAUAUAAGAAGUUCUAAAACACAGAAUAGUUACUGCUCUUUUAUCCAAUUAUUAGAUAUAAAGUAUUUUCAAUAUUUAGUAUUCAAAGAGUCAUCAAAACUUUAUGCAGUAUUUUAAAUAAAAUUCAAGAAGUAUAUUAGCAGCAUACUACUCUCAAGCACAGCCAAAGUGCGCAAAUACGUCAACGCCCACUGCGAAUGAUAAAAUGUCAAAUUCAAAAAGUAAAACAUUCCGUCAUACAUGGUAACCAUCUUUUAACAUUAGAUUAUACUAAUAACUAAAAUAAAAUGCUAACGAAUCUUUGAGAGUGCACAACUCAACAAUGACAAUGAUAUGGCUAUUGUAACCCAAAUUGAUUUGCUAUAUAUCAGAAAAAAAACUGAUACGCACUCACACUGCCGGAGACAACCCUUAAAACACUCUAAAUAUAAGUGAGGUUAAGAACGCUUAAGAUACUAAAGUGCUGCAUUUCAACAUUCAUUAAUCCACAUCCUGGAUUUUUUAUACAUGUAGUGCAGAAAUUUCAGAAUUGAAAUGAAAAAUCUUGUAACAGCUGACUUUCCAGUGUAGUUCUCAUUGACUCGUGGGAAAUCAAUAACUGACUCUGACAGUUUCUUCUGUGAUGCUAAACCAUUCUUCAUAUUGAACCUCAUCUCAUACCUGACAAUUACGAGUAGAAUCAAGAUAAUUGGAAGAUCUGAAAGUCAAAUAAGAUCAUCAGGUUAGAGUUUUCCUACAGCUCAUUUGUGAAACCAUCAUGUUGUUAUACUUUUUCAGUUCCAUUAAUCACAUCUAGAUCUAGAUUCUGCAGGAGGCAAGUGAUCAAGACCACAUCAUCUCUUUCCUCCCAAGCAUUGGCUGGUCAAGCAACAAAAUUAGACUCAGUUUGGACCAAUUAGUCAGACUAAAGCAUGUACAUCUUGUGAUUCAUUGAAGUUUAUGUCUGGUGGUGUCCAAUAAGAGGAUAAACAUUUUUGUAUUUUUGCAGUUUGUAAUAGAAGUUUCUCAAGAUCAAGUAGUCAUUAUGUCUAACAAGACGAUCUGAAAAGUGCAAACCAUCUACAUUGGGUCCUAAAGCGUAUCCAUCUCUUUGAAGUGAAAAAUUAUACAUUGAUAUCUACCUCGUGGCUAGAAAUUUGUUCUAUUUUCCAAUCAAGGGGCAUGAACUUCCACAUAUUAGAUAUAAAAAUCAAAACAAAUUUCAAAUUUCAAAAUUUCAUACCAUUGUGGAAUAUGAAGCAGUUAGGCAGCUCGAACCACUUGAUUAGGGAUUCAUUUUCUGCGUAGCGUGAAAGAACUCCAAAACGAGCCUUCUUUGUGGGGUCAAAGUUGUAUGCCAGUUGUAUGUUUUUCACCAUUUCCUAAGAAAUACAUAGCCUAUUAAUCUCACUUUUGUAAUGAAAUUCGGUAAAUAAAAAAAGCAUGAGGAAACUUUUAAGCAGUUGACUGAACCAAGCAAUUGAACUGUCAUUCAUCUGUAAAGGCAUCAAGUGUAAUGUAACACCCCGUACUUAAUUACGUGCAUUAGUCAUUGUUAUAUGUGUUGGGGUAUAUGUAUUGGUCCUAAGUUAGGUAUAUAUGAGUUUAAGUAUGAGUAUUGAUUAUUUUGAGAUGGUUUCAAGUGUAUAGUUUGAUUAUAGGUGUAUAGGAAUCGACUUUAUUUAUAUCGGAAUUUUCCCGUCGAUGGUUCCAUACGAAGGUUAUUGAAUAAGCUUUCCAACGAUAUAAAGAUUUCCAAAAACGGAUAAGUUUCGGAUAUAAGCGAGCUCGUUCGAAACUUUAAAACGGUGGCCGGGAUGUGAACAGUAAAAUGUGCAGGAAACUACUGAGGCCUGCCAGUUUUUUGGGUCAACUUUGAACGAUCAUAACUCCCUCAAUAUAAUGAACUGGUUGAGCUACCAUAUAUCAAAAGAAAGAUCUUUGAGUCUUCUUUCCAAUGAAAUUGGUUUCAUCCAAAUCCAACAUCUGAGUAAGGAGUUAUACUCGUUUUACUUCAGCCUCUCAAAACAGAUUUUUAGGGUCAACUUCAAACGAUCAUAACUUCUUGUACAGGACGAACUGGGUGGAUUAAUUUAUAUUAAAUGAAAGACCUUUGAAUUAUCUUUCUAACGAUACCAAUUUCACCCAAAUCCGAUAUCGGAGCAAAGAGUUAUGGCCGAUUUACUUUAGCCUAUCAAAACAGUCCACCAUGGACAGAUUCGGAUUUACUUAAAUUUUUAAGGGCAAUAUGGUCAUUUUCCAUCACCUCAUGGACGAAAAUUGGUCAUUAUAUACAUAUACUUAGCCUUAUAUCCACCAUUUAUCAUCCAAAUCAUUGAAGAAUAAGAAACCCUAGCCUAAGUUCAACUCCAAUUAUCUUGUGAUUCAACCGUAGAAAAUCCAAAUUGAUUCCGUAGUUGUGUUCACCGUCUCAAGGGCUUCGAGAAGCACCCCUUAUUUGUGCCAACAGGACUUCGAAAUCAAAAGGGCCAUUUUUUUUGGUAAGGAUGUAAAUUAUGUUGGUGUUAUUUAUAUGGAUAUGUAUAUAUAUAUAUAUAUGCAUGUGAGCAUAAGAAGUAUGUUAUUUGAUUGUUGUUGAAAGAUGAUUGGAAAUGAUGUUGGAUUAUUCUUGUGCAUGGUUGGAUUAUGUUAAAUUGUGAAGGAAUUUGGGGUGAUGAUGUGGUAUUGAUGAUGUGGUAUUGAGAUGAUGAUUAUAUACAUAUACACACAUAAACCUAUUGUUCAAGUUGGUUUUUGGAAUGUUUUGCAAAUAUUGGUAGUAUGGAAUUAUGGAAGAGAAUUGUGGUGUUGGGUUGCUAAUACUAGAUGCCAAACAUUUCAUUGUAGAUAAGUGAUUUGUAAAGGCGGGAAGUUGUGUUGAAUUGGUAUCUGAAUCUACAACGAGGUAUGUAAAGCAUACUCUAACAAUGUUCUUUGGCAUGAAAACACCAAUGUUCCAUCAAGUAAGAUUCCGAGGUUGUCCAAAAACAUGUAUUGUUCUACGUUACCAACGAAGUUGUUUCCAUCCUAUAAAGUGUCAAAAUGUUCAUUGAUAUACCAAAAGGCUCUUAUUUCAUUGUUGUGAUAUUGAUGAUUCUGAAACAUAUUGUUGAUGUACCAAUGAGUCCUUAUUACAUCGUUAUUGUAUAGAAGGUCUAUUACUUGGUUCCUAUUGAUGUAUCAUUGUUUCAAGGUAUCAAAAAUGUGGUGACGACCGAAAUAACAAUCUCAAAGAUUAAUUGAACUAAGUGAUGAAAGUUCUCUCUUAUCGGGUGGUAUCCCAGGGGCAUAAGCCUAGCAUGGGUCGAUCCCUAUUUCAUGUGUUUAUGGGUGGUAUCCCAGGGGCAUAAGCCUAGCAUGGGUCGAUCCCAGUUGAUAUGUACUGGAGGCAUCCUAAUGGUCACAGUACAGUACAGUAAUGAUUACAAAGACGAUAAGAACGAAGGUAAAGUGAUUGAAUAAAUACAAUGUACAGGUUGUCACAAGUUCUAGUAAGUGUGGUCCACUCCUAUUACGACUUAUUCACUUGUUUCUGAUUUCUAUUGAGCUCCUAUAUCAUAUGUGAUUAUUUACAGCUUUACAUACUCAGUACAUAUUUCGUACUGACGUCCCUCACGGGGGACCUGCAUUUCAUGCUGCAGGCACAGGUACCUCAACUCAUACACCGCACAAGUAGGAGCCAGGUCAUACAGCUAUUGUUGGUGAGCUCCAGUUUGCUUCGGAGCUUUCCGAGUCGGUUCCUUAUGUUUUGUUAUUGUACAUGAGUCACGUGUGGGCGGGGGUUUGUCCCGACCCUAGUUAUGUCAUGUAUAUCCUAGAGGCUUUGUAGACAUAAGGAAGGGUAAAGUCAUGGAAGUUUAUAUAGUAACGUUAUAUUUGUAUAUGUGGUGGCCCCGACGGCCAAGUAUUAUAUAUAUAUAUUUGUGCGUGUUGUGCUGAUACAGGUAAUUAGACCUUUCUAUAUGCAACGAAGUGCUGUCCAAUUUUUUUGGUGACAUGUAAGUGAAAGUACAGGUAUUUGAACGGGUUCUCCCGGGCCUUCUCGGCUUCGGGUGCCAGUCCGGCCCGAUGGGAUUUUGGGGCGUGACACAAGUGAUCAAAAAUCCACUAUGGUAUGAUGACACAUUUUUUAAAGACAAAACUCUCUUCUUAAAAGAUGAUAGUUUGUCAAUUGGAGGGGUUAGUGGUCCAAAAGAAGGGGGUGUAUGUUCUCCAAUGACCUAUUCAUUCUUGUGUGAACCCAUGCUUGAUCAAGGGCUUAAUGCUUGUAGAUCAAAGGGUGAUUCUAUAUGUGGGCACACCUUAAAUAAACUUUAUUUAAGUAACACCUUUCUAUACCACUUUUUUUGCAUAUGAUGAUACUCUUUCCUUUGAGUGGAGUAUGUUAUGUGAGAGUAGAGUGUCAAUGGGGCAAAUAGGUGUAUGAUUUUACCCAUGUUUAUGGAUUGCCUUUUCCUUUUGUCCUGGUAAUGAUUUGAAUAGUGGCGUUUGUGAUAAAAUACUUGGUUCAAAUGACAAGAAAGUUGUGGGUGAGGUUGUUGGCUUGCGUGGUGGUAAGUAUAGUAGUAACAUAUUUUUUCUCUCAUAUGAUUAUUGCUUGGUGUUAUUACUUGAUCUUAUAUGUUUAAUAAGAUAUAUUUGCCAAAUUAUGUAGAGAAUACCUUCGUAUUUAAUCUCCAAUGAUGAAUUAGGAGUAAUUCUAUUCUUUAAGAUAGUUAGUGCAUUGGAUAGAGUAUUGACUUGGAAUGACCUCAUUUAUGACAUGAAACAUAGUUAUAUGGGUUAUCAUGUGUUACAUGACUUAAAGGGAGAUUUUUUUUUCUAAAUUUAGAACCAUUGAGGACUUGUAUCAGUGGUUGCCUAAACACCAUGGUUCUUUUGAUUUGCCCCUUUGUCAAUGUUUCCUAUGUAGCCAAGUAUAUCAAUUUUUGUUGGGUGACAAACCAUUUAUGACUCAUUUUUUUGCUUGGUUAUAUGUUAAAUGUGUACACCCUUGGCAUGGCCAUAAAUUUGUUAUUGAUAAUCCUUGUGUUAAACCUCAUGCUACGAUGAUAUGUUUGUUGUUUUUCCUUCUCAUUUUUUAAAAAAGUUUGGAUUCGUGGAUGAAUUCUUUUGAUGAAGUGGAUCAUGAUUAGCUUGGAACAUAUUAGGAGGGUCUUCCAUGUAUGGAUGAUAUCUUGGAGUUUGAAGGAAGGCAUGAAGAAAUAGAUACAUAAGGUCAUUGGCAAUCAAGAUGCCAUUUGGCCAAUUAAGAAGGUCCCUUGUGAGUUAUUUGUAAAAUGGUCACAUUAGGGAGAUUUUUGUAAUAGACUUUUUCUGUAAAGGCACUGACUAUAAAUAGUUUCUUUAUCCAUUUUCAUCACUUAGAUUUGGAAAAGUGAAUUGUCUUGAAUAGAAUUGAUAUUUAGUUAUUCGAUAUUAGGGCAGUAAUUGGGUUCAAUUUCAAUUGUUAGCUUAGAUUGAGUGAUUAGGGUGUCUUUCUAAAUUGUUUGUGUUAUCUUCUUCACUUGAUUUAUCAUUAAGUUAUCAUAUUAUGGAUUCAAUCUGGUUUCUCGUCCAUUUGAUUAAGUUCUCUAUUUUUCUUAGCUUAAUUAUUAUUUGAUUAAGUCUUUCUUUCAGCACUUCUAUAAUACCCCAUAUUAUUAUUAGGUCAGUUCAUCUUCUAGUUGUAUGCAUAAGGGGCUUAAGGCCUAAAAAUUUCACUAAGUGUUGGGGAAUUAGUCAUUUAUAAGUCCUCUUAACUUCGAGGAUUUUUCGAUUGGUCUUCCCGAUCCUAAGGUGUUGGUUUUUGAGUUAAUUCAUAUUCAGGGAUGUAAGGAGCAUGUCUUAGAGAAGUUUCAAAUUUUUUGAAUGAGGUUUCGGUCAUGUUUGGAUCACAAAUCCAGAAAGUCACUGCGAUACGGCUGCGUCGCUUUAAUAUUUCCAUUUGCAUGCUCACUGCGUUGCGGUAAGGGAAAUGGAUGACUUCAAUUAGACCGCGUUGCGGUAAGUAUGUUAUGCCCAGUUAUGAAUUUAAUUGCCUGAGGGGAAAUUGUGUCUGUUCCCCUCAACCCAAAUCAUGCAUAACACGAAUUGAGACAUCAUUUAGAGCAUUAUUUGCCCUUCUUCUCUAAAUCCAUCUCAAGAAAACCCUUCCCACUUUCUCAAAAUCACCAAUUUCAAUUUUUUUCUCCCUAAAAAACCAAGGAACUCAAGCUUCAAAUUCAAGAAACCCUCAAGAAAUCUUCAAGAAAUCAUCUAUUAAGGUAUGUGGAUGUUCAUUCAUGGGUUUCUUUCUUCAGAGGAAAUCAAUUUGGGCACAGAAGUGAGAGUCAGAGUUCGCGGACAGUGGGGUACCAAGGUCAAGGGAAUAUGAGCCAAUCAAGACCUCCUCGAGAGCCAUGCAAUAAAUGUGGAAGGUAUCAUUUGGGCGCAUGUCGGCUGGGGACCAAUGUUUGCUUUUGGUGCGGUAUGUCGGGGCAUAUGAUGAGGGAAUGCCCACGAAGGGACAUAGGGGGUAUGGCACGACCUACGGGGUCAUUUGUUGCAUCAUCAUCAUCGAUGCCUUAUUCAGGAAGGGGUGCACAGCCAAUGGGUCGUGUUAGAGGUGAUAGAGGAGCCACGAGUUCUAGCGGGGCUCAAAAUCGUACGUAUGCUCUAGCAGAUCGACAGAAUUUAGAGGCUUCUCCAGAUGUGGUUACGGGUAUGUUGGCUAUAUUUUCAUUCAAUUUAUAUGCCUUAAUUGAUCCCGGUUCUACAUUAUCUUAUGUUACUCCAUUGGUUGCUGGAAAGUUCGAAAGAAUACCCGAACUGUUAGUUAAGCCAUUUGAAGUGUCCACACCGGUCGGGGAAUCUAUUAUAGCUAGAAGGGUUUAUCGAAACUGCAUAGUAACUGUUUGUGGUCGUGAUACGAUGGCUGAUCUUGUGGAGUUAGAAAUGGUAGAUUUUGAUGUUAUAAUGGGUAUGGACUGGUUGGCGUCUUGUUAUGCCACAAUUGAUUGCUGCACGAAAAAGGUAUAUUUCCAUUUUCCAAAUGAAUCAGUCCUUGAAUGGAAAGGUGAAAUUAGCGUGCCAAGAGGUAGAUUUAUUUCUUAUUUUAAGGCGAGAAGAAUGAUUUCCAAGGGAUAUAUAUAUCAUUUAGUUAGAGUAAGGGAUACAGAAGCGGAGCCACCAACUCUUCACGCUGUUCCGGUGGUAAAUGAAUUUUCUGAUGUAUUUCCUGAAGAUCUUCCAGGUUUGCCUCCUGAACGAGAAGUAGAGUUUGGUAUUGAUGUAAUACCAGGCACCCAACCAAUCUCCAUUCCUCCGUAUAGAAUGGCCCCAGCAGAAUUACGAGAAUUGAAAGAGCAAUUGAAAGAUUUGCUAGAAAAGGGGUUCAUUAGGCCUAGUAUUUCCCCUUGGGGAGCACCAGUGUUAUUUGUACGCAAAAAGGAUGGCUCGCUGAGGAUGUGUAUUGAUUAUCGGCAAUUGAAUAAGGUGACUAUUAAGAAUAAAUAUCCUCUCCCAAGAAUUGAUGAUUUAUUUGAUCAGUUACAGGGCGCCAAGUGCUUUUCUAAGAUUGAUUUGAGGUCAGGUUACCACCAAGUGAGGGUCAAAGAAAAAGAUAUACCCAAAACAGCUUUCCGAACAAGGUAUGGUCAUUAUGAGUUUCUAGUUAUGUCAUUUGGGCUAACAAAUGCACCCGCAGCUUUUAUGGAUUUGAUGAAUAGGGUUUUUAAGCCAUUCCUGGAUGUAUUUGUGAUAGUUUUUAUAGAUGAUAUUCUAGUUUAUUCUAGAUCAGAAGAGGACCAUGCCAAUCACUUACGACAGGCAUUGCAGACUCUUCGUGAUUGUAAGCUUUAUGCAAAGUUCUCUAAAUGUGAGUUUUGGUUAAAGUCGGUGGCAUUUUUGGGUCAUAUUGUAUCUAGUGAAGGGAUAAAGGUUGAUGCUCAAAAGAUAGAGGCUGUGAAGAACUGGCCAAGGCCCACAACGCCUACGGAGAUUCGUAGUUUUCUUGGGUUGGCCGGUUAUUAUAGAAGGUUUGUCAAAGACUUUUCUUCCAUUUCAGCACCCUUAACCAAGCUAACCCAUAAAGCAUCCAAAUUCCAAUGGAAUGAUGCCUGUGAGAAGAGUUUUCAAGAUUUAAAGAACAAGUUGAUUUCUACACCCGUGUUGGUACUACCAGAAGGCACCGAAGGGUAUACAGUGUAUUGUGAUGCUUCCAGAAUUGGUUUAGGAUGUGUAUUGAUGCAGCAUGGUAAGGUAAUAGCAUAUGCUUCUAGACAAUUACGGCCACAUGAGAAAAAUUAUCCUACACACGAUCUUGAGCUGGCAGCGGUUAUUUUUGCUUUAAAGAUAUGGCGCCACUACUUAUAUGGGGUUCACGUUGAUAUAUAUACUGACCAUAAGAGCUUGCAAUAUAUUUUUAAUCAGAAGGAUCUAAAUUUAAGGCAGCGGAGAUGGCUUGAACUAUUAAAGGACUAUGAUGUUGAUAUCUUGUACCAUCCAGGGAAAGCAAAUGUGGUAGCUGAUGCGUUAAGUCGUAAGGCUAUGAUGGCGCCUAUAGAAAGGCAAGGGAUGGUUAAAGAUCUUCACCAGUUAGCUAGUUUGGGAGUUCGCCUUCUUGAAACUCCGAAUAAAGAGCUUAUCGUACAUAAUGCUGCGGAAUCUUCAUUAGUAGCUGAAGUGAAAGAGAAGCAAUAUGCAGAUCCUAUUUUAUUACAUCUUAAGGAGAACGUUCAGAGUGGUGCGACCAAGGCAUUUGAGCUUACGCGAGAAGGAGUACUUCAGUGCCAAAACCGAUUGUGUGUGCCGGAUAUAGACGGGCUAAGAAAGAAGAUUAUGACAGAGGCACAUUUUUCAAGGUAUUCCAUUCAUCCAGGAUCAACCAAAAUGUAUCAAGAUUUGAAAGAUAUGUAUUGGUGGAAUGACAUGAAGAAGAGCAUUGCAGAAUUUGUAGCUGAAUGUCCAAAUUGUCAAAGAGUUAAAGUUGAGCACCAAAAACCCGGAGGCUAUAUGCAAUGCAUAGAUCUUCCAAUUUGGAAGUGGGACAUGAUCAACAUGGAUUUUGUUACAGGUUUGCCUCGUACAGCUCGAAAAUUUGAUUCUAUAUGGGUGAUUGUGGAUAGGCUUACUAAAUCCGCACAUUUCUUACCCGUUAAGACCACUUACACAGUUGAAGAAUAUUCGAAGCUGUAUGUUAAAGAAAUAGUCCGAUUACAUGGAGUGCCAACUUCUAUUAUAUCGGAUCGGGGAACUCAAUUUACUGCAAACUUUUGGAAGUCUUUCCAACGGGGUUUGGGAACACAAGUGAAUCUGAGUACAGCUUUUCACCCUCAGACGGAUGGACAAGCAGAGCGCACCAUUCAAACACUUGAAGAUAUGCUACGAGCAUGUGUUAUAGAUUUUAAAGGCAGCUGGGAUGAUCAUUUACCUCUUAUUGAGUUUGCCUACAAUAAUAGCUAUCAUUCAAGUAUCAAAAUGGCACCAUAUGAAGCUUUAUAUGGGAGAAAGUGUAGAUCACCAAUAGGAUGGUUCGAAGCGGGUGAAACUCUUAUGUUCGGACCGGAUCUUGUGUAUCAAGCCAUAGAAAAAGUCAAGGUGAUACAACAACGGCUAAAAACAGCCCAAAGUCGUCAUAAAUCAUAUGCAGAUAUUCGGAGAAGAGGGCUGGAAUUCUCUAUUGGAGAUUGGGUAUUUUUAAAGGUAUCACCAAUGAAAGGGGUUAUGAGAUUUGGUAAAAAAGGGAAACUAAGCCCACGUUACAUAGGGCCAUAUAAGAUUACCAAGAGGGUCGGACAAGUUGCAUAUGAAUUAGAGCUACCCCAGGAACUUUCAAUGGUUCAUCCAGUGUUUCAUGUGUCAAUGCUUCGAAAAUGCAUAGGUGACCCCUCUCGUAUCACUCCUAUAGAAGAUGUACAGGUCACAGAGGAUCUUACUUAUGAAGAGGUACCGGUUGCUAUUCUAGAUCGCCAAGUUAAAAAGUUAAGGAACAAAGAAAUGGCAUCAGUAAAGGUACUUUGGAGAAAUCAACAAAGGGAAGAGAUUACAUGGGAAGCUGAGGAAGCAAUGAAAUCUAAGUACCCUCAUUUGUUCAAAGAUGAAGAGGAAGUUCAAGAAACGGAGUUAGAACAUUAACAAGUAAGUUUUUGUUUAUAUAUGCAUAGUAUUUAUGUGAUGAUGUGAAUGUUAAUGGUGGACUUGAACUUGUUUCGGCUAAAUAACUACAUUCACAUUCGAGGACGAAUGUCCUUAAGGGGGGAAGGAUGUAACACCCCGUACUUAAUUACGUGCAUUAGUCAUUGUUAUAUGUGUUGGGGUAUAUGUAUUGAUCCUAAGUUAGGUAUAUAUGAGUUUAAGUAUGAGUAUUGAUUAUUUUGAGAUGGUUUCAAGUGUAUAGUUUGAUUAUAGGUGUAUAGGAAUCGACUUUAUUUAUAUCGGAAUUUUCCCGUCGAUGGUUCCAUACGAAGGUUAUUGAAUAAGCUUUCCAACGAUAUAAAGAUUUCCAAAAACGGAUAAGUUUCGGAUAUAAGCGAGCUCGUUCGAAACUUUAAAACGGUGGCCGGGAUGUGAACAGUAAAAUGUGCAGGAAACUACUGAGGCCUGCCAGUUUUUUGGGUCAACUUUGAACGAUCAUAACUCCCUCAAUAUAAUGAACUGGUUGAGCUACCAUAUAUCAAAAGAAAGAUCUUUGAGUCUUCUUUCCAAUGAAAUUGGUUUCAUCCAAAUCCAACAUCUGAGUAAGGAGUUAUACUCGUUUUACUUCAGCCUCUCAAAACAGAUUUUUAGGGUCAACUUCAAACGAUCAUAACUACUUGUACAGGACGAACUGGGUGGAUUAAUUUAUAUUAAAUGAAAUACCUUUGAAUUAUCUUUCUAACGAUACCAAUUUCACCCAAAUCCGAUAUCGGAGCAAAGAGUUAUGGCCGAUUUACUUUAGCCUAUCAAAACAGUCCACCAUGGACAGAUUCGGAUUUACUUAAAUUUUUAAGGGCAAUAUGGUCAUUUUCCAUCACCUCAUGGACGAAAAUUGGUCAUUAUAUACAUAUACUUAGCCUUAUAUCCACCAUUUAUCAUCCAAAUCAUUGAAGAAUAAGAAACCCUAGCCUAAGUUCAACUCCAAUUAUCUUGUGAUUCAACCGUAGAAAAUCCAAAUUGAUUCCGUAGUUGUGUUCACCGUCUCAAGGGCUUCGAGAAGCACCCCUUAUUUGUGCCAACAGGACUUCGAAAUCAAAAGGGCCAUUUUUUUUGGUAAGGAUGUAAAUUAUGUUGGUGUUAUUUAUAUGGAUAUGUAUAUAUAUAUAUAUAUGCAUGUGAGCAUAAGAAGUAUGUUAUUUGAUUGUUGUUGAAAGAUGAUUGGAAAUGAUGUUGGAUUAUUCUUGUGCAUGGUUGGAUUAUGUUAAAUUGUGAAGGAAUUUGGGGUGAUGAUGUGGUAUUGAUGAUGUGGUAUUGAGAUGAUGAUUAUAUACAUAUACACACAUAAACCUAUUGUUCAAGUUGGUUUUUGGAAUGUUUUGCAAAUAUUGGUAGUAUGGAAUUAUGGAAGAGAAUUGUGGUGUUGGGUUGCUAAUACUAGAUGCCAAACAUUUCAUUGUAGAUAAGUGAUUUGUAAAGGCGGGAAGUUGUGUUGAAUUGGUAGCUGAAUCUACAACGAGGUAUGUAAAGCAUACUCUAACAAUGUUCUUUGGCAUGAAAACACCAAUGUUCCAUCAAGUAAGAUUCCGAGGUUGUCCAAAAACAUGUAUUGUUCUACGUUACCAACGAAGUUGUUUCCAUCCUAUAAAGUGUCAAAAUGUUCAUUGAUAUACCAAAAGGCUCUUAUUUCAUUGUUGUGAUAUUGAUGAUUCUGAAACAUAUUGUUGAUGUACCAAUGAGUCCUUAUUACAUCGUUAUUGUAUAGAAGGUCUAUUACUUGGUUCCUAUUGAUGUAUCAUUGUUUCAAGGUAUCAAAAAUGUGGUGACGACCGAAAUAACAAUCUCAAAGAUUAAUUGAACUAAGUGAUGAAAGUUCUCUCUUAUCGGGUGGUAUCCCAGGGGCAUAAGCCUAGCAUGGGUCGAUCCCUAUUUCAUGUGUUUAUGGGUGGUAUCCCAGGGGCAUAAGCCUAGCAUGGGUCGAUCCCAGUUGAUAUGUACUGGAGGCAUCCUAAUGGUCACAGUACAGUACAGUAAUGAUUACAAAGACGAUAAGAACGAAGGUAAAGUGAUUGAAUAAAUACAAUGUACAGGUUGUCACAAGUUCUAGUAAGUGUGGUCCACUCCUAUUACGACUUAUUCACUUGUUUCUGAUUUCUAUUGAGCUCCUAUAUCAUAUGUGAUUAUUUACAGCUUUACAUACUCAGUACAUAUUUCGUACUGACGUCCCUCACGGGGGACCUGCAUUUCAUGCUGCAGGCACAGGUACCUCAACUCAUACACCGCACAAGUAGGAGCCAGGUCAUACAGCUAUUGUUGGUGAGCUCCAGUUUGCUUCGGAGCUUUCCGAGUCGGUUCCUUAUGUUUUGUUAUUGUACAUGAGUCACGUGUGGGCGGGGGUUUGUCCCGACCCUAGUUAUGUCAUGUAUAUCCUAGAGGCUUUGUAGACAUAAGGAAGGGUAAAGUCAUGGAAGUUUAUAUAGUAACGUUAUAUUUGUAUAUGUGGUGGCCCCGACGGCCAAGUAUUAUAUAUAUAUAUUUGUGCGUGUUGUGCUGAUACAGGUAAUUAGACCUUUCUAUAUGCAACGAAGUGCUGUCCAAUUUUUUUGGUGACAUGUAAGUGAAAGUACAGGUAUUUGAACGGGUUCUCCCGGGCCUUCUCGGCUUCGGGUGCCAGUCCGGCCCGAUGGGAUUUUGGGGCGUGACAUGUAAACUCACAGAUAGCAUGUAGUUAAAUUCCUUAUGCAUAUGGAUAGCACAUCUCAAAGUUGAUCUGAUGAAUACUAGACUUCAAAUAGCCAUAGAUUAUUCAUUAAGCACUUGAAGAUAAGAAUUGAAUAUCAUAAUUUACUUUCCAUUUGCAAGAAAUUCAAAAUCAUUUAUUUUCAUUUUAGUCAUUAUUUUACUUAACUCCUUUGCUUAUAAGACAACACCACCAUCUCCGAGAACUCAAAUUUAUAAACAAGAAUGAUGCUACUUCACCAGAAUAACUUCUGUCGUUAUCAUCAGGAGAGCGAACCCAAAACUCUACAAGUAUAGACCAAUAGAAAAAGAAAUUGCGAAGAUGGCAUACCUUUGGUCUGAAGUACAAUGGAAGAUCCAUCAUAAUUGCAUAAUUUUCAGUAAUAGUAAAAUUGUGCAUCAUAAAUGAUGUUGGUAUUGUUAUUGGAACUGGAUCUUGCAUGACACCAUCCUUGGAAAUGACUCUAUACGUAGCUGUAACGCCUCGAAAUCGGAUCCCGAGACGUCACACGGUGCUUAGGGUCACAAGCUAACCUUUCUAUUGGCAUAUCUCAUAAGCAACUGAAUAAGAAGUACAAAUAUAUAUAUAUAUAUAUAUAUAUAUAUACAUACACAAAUCUACAGAAAAUAACUCUUUUUAAAUUUGAUUAAUACAAUACGAAUUUACAAGAUUACAACUAGUAGUGUUGUAUUUUCUUUAUUCAGUCGUAUUGAGUUGGGAUAGUCGGGAGUCAUGACCCAGCUACCUACAGUCAGUACUAGUAGAGGCUUCAUAGACAGUCAGUAGAACUGACCCAAACCCUUGACCAAAAGGACUCAUUACCUGCUGAAUGGAUACCACGAACUAACUGGAUCUGAAGAUGUACACUAUACCUUGUACCUACAUUCCGAGAAAAUGUAGCCCACAUACGAAUAUGUGGGUCAGUACCAUGGAAAUGUACCGAGCAUAUGGGGGUGCAAUGCAUAUAUAAAAUAAUAUCUUAAUAUAAUCAAAGUUUAUAAAAUUAUGCAUGCUGAUAUAAGUGACUCACUAUCUCGAAUUAAAAUCAUCAUAAUCAUAAGAGAGUAAAGUGUAUUGGGUGAAACAUGUGAUUCAAUAUAAUAAAUCUCAAUUCACUUCCAUCUCGAUUCCAAAUCAUCAAAGCAAUCAAAUCUCAUAAAAAUUCUCUUUGGAAUAUAUGUUCAUUAAAUCUUUCGAAAAUAAUGACUUUCUCAAACUCAGUCUUUCAAACAAAUAUGUUUUCAUCUCAGAUAGAAGAAUAAGAAUUUUCAUAUUAGAUAGGAGAAUACACACACACAUUGGGAGUCUUUUACAACUGACAUAAACCAUGUGAGCUACAUGGAGUCCAACGUUCUACCCACGUUGGGGAGAGUCGCUCUAUUCCUUGCCAUCGGAGUAGGACCUUAAGUCAUCAAUCCAAACACUAGUGAUCACUAUAUAAAUUAACCUCAGGCUCACAUCCUACGGGGGUACGUAGUUCUAGGGAAGUACCAAAACAGCUAUACCUUCCGCUCGGUGCUAAAGACUACUCCCGGACUUAGCUCAGAUCUUUUCAAAAGAAAAUCUACUAAUAAACAGUUCAACAAUUCACAACAGAAGCCAUCUUGCUACCCUUUUCAUAAUAAUCAAUAAAAGUGGAUUUCUUUUCUCAUUUCGGGUUCAAAAACACCUCUUUUUACGACCGAAAGGUGAAAGUUUCUUCAUCAUCUCAAAUCAUUCAAACUCAAGGUGUUUAUAACACAUGAUUUCUCAAAAACAACAAUCUCAAAUAGAAUUCAAAACUCAUGUCUCAAUAUCACAUUAAAACUUAUCAAGAUUCAAGCUUUACAUCAUAAACAUAUAUAAAUCCCUUCAAAAUCUGGAAAAUUCAGUUAUAAGGCACAAAAUAUCAUCAUUCUCAUAUAAUUCCGCUUCUAAAAUAUCAAAAAUAUCAUAAUCUCGUGAUAAUCAAUAUAGGAUAUAAGUCCAUGCUUCAAAAUCAUAGUAAAACAUAUGAAAUCUAUAGCUUCGUAAAAGAAAGUAUUUUUGGGCACAAGAACGAAAGAGAGAUCUUGUUGAAAAACCCCCACAUACCUUAAACUUGAAGCUUUGAAUGACUUUCUGAAUGGGGUAAUGCUAUUCACGAACUUUUGGGUGUCACUCGUAGCCUUCAUAACGGGGAUUCCAGAUAUGUAAAAAUUAUAGAAUUCUCACGAUUGAAUCUCUAGCUAUUGUCGUUUUUAUGUUGAAACUCUAAAGGUUGUUCUUGGUGAUUUUGAGAGAAAGUAAACUUAUUUUGAUGUUGUGGGAGUUUAAUCCCGUGUUAUAGACAUACAGAGGGGUGUUUUUGGCACUUGGAAGUGAGGUAUGCGGAGCACAACCCAUGGCAGACCUUAAGGUGUGCGUCGCAUACCUUAUGGUAGAAAUUAAAGUGUGCCUCGCACUCCCAAUCGCACACAUUUGAUUGAGCGGCGCAUUGCCCAUCACACACCCUUACUGCCUCUUACAAAAAUGGGCAUAACUCUUCACUCGGGUAUCGAAUUUUUGCGAAAUUGGUAUCGUUGGAAAACUAAUUCAAUUAUCUAUAAUUUCAUAGGUCUUGGGAUUAAAACUUCCAUGUAUAUUAAGAGAUAUAGACGUUUGAAGUUGACCCUUGUAGAAUCGAAUAUCAAAUGUUAGACAAAUCAAAUGAACUUAGCUCAACUUGGCUCUAAAUGAUUUAUAUGAACAUUGUUGACCUCAAGAGCACUUCACAUACUAGGAUAAAGAUCAUGAAAUCUAUAUUCAUGUGGGAAUCACUUGGAUUAGAGCUUAGACGCGCAGGAACGAUGGUUAGAAUUCUAGCAUGAAAAUAUGGGGUAUUACAGUAGCGUAAGGUGGUGUCUGUGAGUAGUCAAAAGUAAACAUCUCCCCUGCAUGCAAAUGUUUUCAGAUCAAACUCUAUAUUUACAUAACAACAUAUAAUUGAAUAAAUCAUCACAUAUUUUACUCCCCAGCUUUAUUUUAGAUCCAUAUUUCAUUGUACAUCUAAACAAAAGGCACCUGGACACCUAAGUUCUUUCUCAAAUAAAGGCCACGUAAAUUGAAUCAAGUUAACAUCAAUUCCAAAUCCUUGUGAUCUCCACUACUAAGUGGUUAUCUCCACUACUAAGUGGUUAAGUGUACUUUUAUAAAAUUGUAGUGGGUAGUAAUAGGAUAUUUUAAAGGUUCUUAUAUCUCUAUUCAAGUAAUGACCUAUAUGGUAUUUAGGAAGCCCGGGUCCAAAAUGGGAAGAAGAACCUUGUUCAUUGGAGAACUCGGAGGAUUUUGCAAUUAAAGGGAAGGAUACAUGGAAGUGAUUAGCUGAUAGCCACAGUUGAUGUGUGUUACUUUUUAAAAGUUUAGAUGUCACGACCAAGAAUAGGAUCAUGACCGGUGCUAAGGAGUUUAGGACUCCAAAACAAGCCUCGUCAGAAUUCUACAAGAAAUUGGGCAGAGUUUCCCCUAUUUUUUAGGCCUAACAAGAAAAUUCUCAGUCUCAAUUCAAUCAAAAAAACAACACAACAUCACAACCACCACACAAACACCAAUACAACUCACCAUAUAUCAUCAACAAUUCACCAAUACCACCAACUAACAAUACGAAAACCAUCUUCAAAGAUGAGAGAAAAUCCAAUAUUUCAUAAAUCCAAUAUAACGAAAGACUCAAAACUCUAAAGACAUGACUAUGGAGCAAACUAAGAUUUUUUAAGAAAAAAAAACAUAACGAAUAAAUAAACUAUAGCCCACGCGAAUAAUUGUGGGGCUCACCAGGAAUAUGCUACUCGAAUUCUCUAGCCAAUGAGAUCCUCAUCGUCACCUGCGUUCUCUGGAAAAUAAUAGAGAGGAGUGAGACACUAGCUCAGUGAGUAAUAACACUUAACCACAAUCGUUUUAAUAGGGACAAGUUAGAAAACAUCAUGAAAUAAAUACUCUUUCAGAAAACAGUAAUAAUAAAUAAUAUCAUUGUUUCAUGUAAUCCAAGUGAACUAAUAGUUCACUAAUAAACUUCAAAAAACAUCGUAUCAUAUCAAAUAUUACAUAUUUGGGAGGUUUUCAAUAAUGAAUCAUGUAAUCAGUGUGACAUUCUUCUUCAUUAAGAAUAACCGCAUAACAGUGGACCCCUCAUAAAGAGUCAAAUAUCAUAUCAGUAUAAGUAUGCUAGUUCUACCUUCCCACUAGCGAGGACUGUAACAUUCAUUAGUAAAUACAAGGUACACUAGGUUUAACGAUCCCGCCGUUAGCUGCGGGAUUCAAUCAAGGUCUAUUCUCAUUCACAAAUUCUUUGUAAACAAUAGAAUAUUCGUAUAAAAACAUCUUUCAGGAUAGUACAUAUCAUUUAAAGUUCAUAUUGAAUCAUGUUACAUGUAAACUUGAAUAAAAACAUAUGUCAGAAUACAUACUUCUCAUGUAAAUGAAGAAUUUUCACAAUAAUAAUAUCAUGUCUCAAAUAACCAUUUCAAUAUCAUAUCAAGUAAAGAACUUGUCCCACAUGUAAAUUUUCAAAGCACUCAAUACUCUUGUUUUCAUCAAAACAUAUAUAAAUAUGUAAUUUAAGAAACAUAAAUUGUGGUAAGAUUACUACUCACAGUACUAUUGUCGAAAUAUCGAAUUUUUCACCCCGAGUGAUUCGUAUCACUUUCUUGGAUCAAACCUAUAAUCACGGCAUAUUAAUAUCGUGUUAAUUUUCUUGAUCUAAGCUAAAACAUAACCACUACAAAUUAUCCCGCUCUAGAAUUUUAGGCUAACUUCCAAAUCAUCGAAUUUCAUCCUCAAAAUUACACCUAAUUGUUCAAAUUUCUUAUCUUGAUGCCUAAAUUUUUACUACCCAGAUCAAAUUAACUUGACUAAAAUUUACAAUAAAGAUAUAGAAAAGGAUUUACCUUAAUCCCGAUAGAUAUUUUCGAAUAAACCCACUUCUUCUUUCUCUUUCUUAAAUCACCUUUUUUAUUUAUUUAUUUACUUUCUGCUUCGUACGUGAACUGGGUAGAAAUACUACUGCCUAGUUACUCCCAUUCCAGUUUAAAAUGGAAGAUGGGCAACACCCUAUCCCUUAUCUUUUUUCCUUUUCCUUAUUAAUAUGGGCCUUAGCCCAUUAUCUCUUAUAAAACAUAUCACUACUUAUAUUUUGGGGGUAUUACAUUAGGUAACAUUCUUUACGAACAAAGGACUGGAAUCAAUUAAGUAGUCAUAUUUAUUUCCAGAAUUGGUAGUAGAUUCAGAUGACUAUUCUCUUACCACCUUCGAGUGAGCAGUGAAGGAAUGUUGCAACCUUUUAUUGUAAUCCAGCAUGCCAAGCGUUUGAAGAUCUCCAUCCUCCAGAAUUUUAACUACAUCUGUGAACAGAAUAUUUAUUUUAUCCAUAUAAGAAGGAAAACACAGUAUACCAAUAAUUGAGUUCUUCAGUGGCGCAUAGUCACAAACUUCAACAAACAACAAUCUUACUAAAAGAACAGUCACAUCACUAUUUGACAGCUUGAAUGCAUAUAAGAUCGUCUCUGGCAAUUAGAAAGUUACAAUCGUACAAAAUAAAUGGAAAGAAGUAAUUAACUAUAAGAAGUCAAAGAGUCUUGAUAACAUAUUCAGGUCAACAAAUAUUUAGAUGAUAGAUUGCUUAAGUUUAUCGCCUAAUAGAUCAAAUGAAAAAGUAACUUAUAUGGUUUAUCCCCUUCAUGAAGAGCCAAAAGCUUUCCAUGGUGAUAUAUCAGAGUUGUAUUAGCUGAAAGUUCAGAUGAAAGAAUGGUGAUAGCUUCUAAAGUCUGUGUUAAAUUACUCUUCACCUGCAAAUCAAGUGUGGCAUGGCAGACUUUCCUCUUCACAUUCUCCAUAAGAAAUGCGAUCUGCCAAGAAGAGUGUAAGCGAAAACUACCAGGCUUAGUGAACCUAAGAAUACAGAGUAAAGGUGAAAGAAAGGACAUGUCUGUAAAUUCGGAGACUAAAACAACAACAGUUGAGACUUGUAAUCUAUGUCGUUAAAGAUGAAACUCCCAGACAUGGGAAUGAAUUAUCUAGUGAUGAUCUGCAUCGAACACAACAAAAUAGACCUCAGAUUGCUGCUUCGAUCAAACAUGGUUGUAUAUCCAAUUAAAGUAGAUGUUACAGGAAAAAAGAAGAAGCAAGUUUCAAGAUAAAUAAUGAAGCAGACACAAACCUUAUACCAUAUAUUAUCUGUUUCUAGAACAGCUAAAAUUAUCAUUUUGGUCCAUAACAUGUUCAAACUCACGACAUGCACCUAAUCUACACAUCACGCGUAGUGGCUAGUGCUGCUACCACUGGACCAGAGUCUUAGAAAUAUUUUCUGGUUAAAUAAUCUCUUUCAUUGAUCCUAAAUUUCUUGCAAAUCAAGUAUGGCAUGACAAACUUUCCUCUUCACAUGCUCCAUAAGAAAUGCGAUCUGCCAAGAGGAGUGUAAGUGAAAACUGUUAGGCCCGGUGAACCUAAGAAUACAGAGUAAAGGUGAAAGAAAGGACAUGCCUAUAAAUUCGGAGACUACAACAACAACAGUUGAGACUUGUGAUCUACGCCGUUAAAGAUGAAAUUCCCAGACAUGGGAAUGAAUUGUCUAGUGAUGAGCUGCAUCAAACACAACAAAAUAAACCUCAGAUUACUGCUUCGAUCAAACAUGGUUGUAUAUCCAAUUAAAGUAGGUGUUUGAGAAAAAAAGAAGAAGCAAGUUUCAAAAUAAAAAAUGAAACAGACACAAACCUUGAUCACUUCUUGUGAUGCAACUUCUCCAACGAAGGAAGCUAUAGCAUGAAGCUCUGAAGCAUCAUAUUGAGACAUCUCAUUAAUAAGGUCUUCUGAUAAGGUGAAGCCAUUGCAACCAAGGUCGUUGAGUAGGCCAACAGUUGUAGUUUUCAGUUGGAAUAUAUCCUCAUCCGUAUCACUACCAAGAAAUUGCUAAAAGUUAGACAGUCAUAAAUUAGCUUUUCCUUUAGAAACAAAAUUAUAUGGACGAAAAGCAUCAAACCUUACCCAUCAUAUUGGCCAGAAAAUUUGUUAUAGUUUGCAGCAAACCGGUCAGCUGCUCGAAGAAGAAUAUAAAGACCCGCAGCAGUACUUUCAUCAAAAGAAAGUAUGCAAAAGCUCCUUCAUUAAAGACUAUUUAUGCAAAAUAACUAAUGUUUGGAAGAUCAACACCAGCACAUGCAUUCAAAUGCAAAAACAUUAACAGUUUGUAAAAAGAAAAUUUUUGCACAUCCAUUUGGAGUACAAGAAGCAUUAUCAAGCACUCAUUAAAAAUAAACCCAAUUCAUCUUUGCUCCGUCUUUUUUUAUGUAAUGCAAUUUUUUAAUUGAAACUAUGUUUACUUUUACAAGUAACAUUAUCGUGUACAUCUUUUACAAGAUUCAAGAACUCAAAUUUAAUAAGAAGCAACACAAGUUUGGAUAUAAUUUCCUAUACCUAAGUUUGGUAGUUCCAGAUGCAACUGUUUCCUGAAUAUAAACUUGCCAAUAUCCUGUAAGCAAGAAUAGAAAGAAUGAGCGACAAACACUAUUUUUUCAGUAAACAACGUCAUCUGAGUCAAUAGAACAUCAAAUCCUUAUAACAAAAAUUCACAAAUCAACUGUUAAUUUUUGAAGAUAUCAACGAUCUCAAAUUCCUGGUACAAGAUCUUAAGAAAAAUAAUGUGAAGAAAAAGUAAGACCUGGAGAAAUGAAGAAGAAAAAAGGGUGAAUGGUGUUGAAUUUGAAAUUAAGGAAUAGCACACUCAAAAUGAAAAUUCAAUAGCGUUUAGAAAACAUUGACAUAUCAAAUAAGGUUGCACUCUUUAAAUUUAGCUGGUGAAGGCCCCAUCAAAAGAUAUCAUCAAAUUUUAACCCAUCGUAAAAUCACCAGCAUCGAAUAGCUUGUAAAAAUCAUAAAUGUCCGGGCUAGUCCUAUGGGUUAUAGCUUCAUAUGAACCUUUCAUCGGCCACUCAUCUUAUUAUAAUUAGAAAUAAACUAAGCAGGAGACAAAACAUAUUUAACAAUAAUGUGAGAAAAUUUUAUCUCUAAGAUCAUUUACAAAAUAUGACAUAAAAGUUCUUAAAAAAAGAAUGCAAAGGAGAAGGUAAAGGAAUAUGGUACACAAUUGUUCUAGUCUGCAGAUGAAGGGGACGUGCAAUAAAAUCAUUAAAAGGUUUGUUAUGCUCCCAAUUUUUAAAUUUGUUAUCAUGAAAGAAGACACAUGGACAAUUUCAUUGCAUCGUCCUCACGGACCUAACAACGGUCUCUGCAAGUUAAAAUUUUUCUAUAAUAACUGAACACUUUUCGUUAUGCUCUAAUUUGGACAAUAAUGAGACUUUUACACAAAAGUGAAGAUUAAAAGAUUUGGACAAUCAUAUCUUAUUGGUCAAAUUUUAUCUAUGAAAUUAAGAAUUAAGGAUAUCAAAAAGUACUGAGUAAAAUUUCUCACCUUUUCAAAUGGAUAUUCGAACUACUGAAAUAGAGCAAAAAACUGAAAUAAGAAAGAGGGAACAAAAAGUAAACUAAUUAAUAGAGAAUUAGUAGGUAGAGAAAGGUAAAAAUUAGGGUAUCAAAGAAAUCAAUAUCAUGCUAUUGGGAAACCAAGAAUAAAAGGAUAUAAUGCAUCAUUUGGAUUCAAUAAUACAAUCAACGAAUUGACAAAACAAGUAAAUAUCAGAACUUGAAGAGACAAAUUCAGAUCGAAUUAAAUAUUCUAUAGACAACCCUAAAUAAAUUAAAACAAGAAAUCAAUUUGAGAAUCGAAGACAACAUUGGAGGAGAAAGAAUUGCAGAGCUCAAAACUAACAAUAAGCUUCGCUCUUUGCCUUUGAACUCGAUCAGCCUCCUCAGCAACACAUACCCCAGAUAAAUAUAAUCAAGAAAAUCAUUAAAAAAAAACUAUGUAUACAAACUAAGAAGAAAAAUACAGUAAAUUUUACAUAACUUAAAAGAAAAAUUAAUAAGAGAAUUAUAACAAUAAGAAAAGAUCCAAAAGAUUAUAAAGAUUUUCGUAAAAACAUGAAUAGCAGGAGUAAAAGCGAACUGCAACAUAAAGUUGGAAAACGAGGGAAAGGAAAGAUUUGGAAUGGAAAGAAAAUAUGAGUUUGUGGUUUGCUAAAAGAAUUUUUUACCAUUUGCCCUUAAAUAUUGAGUAUAUUUAUAAAAAUUCCCUUGGUCGUCUUCUUAACUACCUCUUCUAUAUAGUAGUAAUCAUGCUAAUUUUAUAAAUAAAUUACUUUUAUAUAGCUUAUAGCUAGUCAUCAAAGUAGACUAACUAGAAUGUUCAUAACUUAUACAUAUGCUAUAAAGUUAUUUAUUGUUUAUAUUAGAGAAAAGACAUCAUCCCCCCGAACUUGUCGUAUCAACUCACUUUAACACUUAAACUAAAUUUCUGUUUAUUUACCCCCUUAAUAUCUUUAAAGUGAAUUAUUUUCACCCUUUAAGACUAAAUACCACCCUCACAACAGAGAGUGUGUUACACUCGCCUACACAUCAACGCUACGUCAACGCCACAUCAGAGCCACAUAAGAAAUUACUAUUUUUCUAAAAAAAUAAUAAUCUCCCACAUAUUAUUUUUAUAUAUUUUUAAAAUAAAUAAAUAAAUAAAUAUAUAUAUAUACUAUUUUAUUUAUAUAUAUAUAUAUAUAUAUAUUUAUAUAUAUAUAAUUAUAUAUAUUAAAUAAAAAAGGUACCCCCACCCCCAUUNNNNNNNNNNNNNNNNNNNNNNNNNNNNNNNNNNNNNNNNNNNNNNNNNNNNNNNNNNNNNNNNNNNNNNNNNNNNNNNNNNNNNNNNNNNNNNNNNNNNNNNNNNNNNNNNNNNNNNNNNNNNNNNNNNNNNNNNNNNNNNNNNNNNNNNNNNNNNNNNNNNNNNNNNNNNNNNNNNNNNNNNNNNNNNNNNNNNNNNNNNNNNNNNNNNNNNNNNNNNNNNNNNNNNNNNNNNNNNNNNNNNNNNNNNNNNNNNNNNNNNNNNNNNNNNNNNNNNNNNNNNNNNNNNNNNNNNNNNNNNNNNNNNNNNNNNNNNNNNNNNNNNNNNNNNNNNNNNNNNNNNNNNNNNNNNNNNNNNNNNNNNNNNNNNNNNNNNNNNNNNNNNNNNNNNNNNNNNNNNNNNNNNNNNNNNNNNNNNNNNNNNNNNNNNNNNNNNNNNNNNNNNNNNNAAAAGAAGGGGGGGGGGGUGGGGGUAGGGGUGGAGGUGUAAGAAAAUAAAUUAAAAGAAAGGGGUGUGGGGGUGCGGGGAUGAGAGGUAAGGGGGGAGGGGUGGGUGGCAUUGGAGAAGAAAGGAUGUGAUUUGGAUAUAUAUGAUAAGAAAUGGUGUAAUUUGGAUGUAUAGGAGAAGUUUGGUAUGAUUUGGAUAUAUAUCUCUAUUAUAUUAAAAGUGUGAAGGACCUUAUAAAUGUCAUUUGAACUUUUUGCCCUUCAUUAAAAGUCUCCACUUUAGAUAAAAUCAUAUUUUCGCCUUUUAAAUUACAAAAUUUAAUCUUAUUUUAUUUAAUGGUAAUCACGUAAAUUCAAAAAAUAAAAUAAAAAAAUCAACAAAGUGUUAUUCCAACCAAUAAAGUCAUGUUCGUAUUCCAUUUAACAAAGUCCUAUUCUACUUAACAAAAUCUUAUUCUACUUACAUUACAAUAUCUCCAUAUUCUAUUUAACAAGGUCUUAUUCUACUUAACAAAGUAAAAUAGGAUAAAGAGCAAAAUCCAAUUCUACUUGAAACCAAAAAAAGCAAAAUCCAUUAUUAAUUAAAUUAGGACAAAGAGCUCACUGCUUCUAUAAACACGUUCAUAACAUCCAAUUAAUUUAUCUCUUGUUGUCUCGACUUUUGUAGUCAGAUUUGUCUCAGCUUUUGUCUCUUUUUCAGAUUUUUAAAUACAAUUUCUUUCAACCAAUUCACCUUUUUUCUUAUGUUUUCCACUCCUAUAUUGUUGCCAAUAUUAGUUAUUAAAUUAAACACAAUAUUAAUUGUUAUGCCAACUUAAAAGUUGCUUUGCUUACAUUAAUCCUUAUGUCCUUAAGUUACUCGUCUUAUCUUCACAUCCAUUCUUAAUUUAUCUAAUUUGUGUUGCUGGUUGAAUCUAUUUAAUAUUUUUUUCCUAACAUUCUUCUCUUUUAGGUAAAGGUUAGAUUAAUUGUGUUGUUUUGAUAUCUUUAUUAGUGUAUUAUUUUGCAGUCGUUUACAGGUCAUAGAUGAAUGCCUAUUGACUUUGAGGAGAUUUUUUUUGUGUAAAAGUUAGGUUUAAUUGUAUUGUUUUGACAUUUCUAUUGUCGCAUUGUUUUGUUAUAGUUUACAGGUGGUAGAUAAAUAUUGAUCGGCUCUGAAAAAAAAUUUAGGUAAAAAUUAUGUUUAAUUUUAUUAUUUUUAUAUCUCUGCUUUGAGAAUUUUUUUAAUGUAAAAAUUGAAUUUAGUUGUAUUGUUUUGAUAUCUAUUAUCAUAUUAUUUUGUAGUUUACAGGUUGGCUUUGAGAAAUUCUUUAGGUAAAAAGUUAGGUUUAAUUGUACUGUUUUUAUUAUCCUAUUGCUUUGUUGUAUUUUCUGGUGGUUGAUGAAUGUCGGUCGACCUUUAGAAUUUUUUUAGGUAAAGAUUAAGUUUAAUUAAAUAAAUUCUCCAUCUUUACAUAUUCAAAAAAAGUUGAAUUUAAUUGUUAUAUUCAACUUUGUUAUUUAAAUAAAUAUUUUAUUUAGUGUAGCGUUUGAACUCAAAGUUAAGUAUAAGCGCGAGGUGCAUACAUCUAAAUUAGUAUUAUAUAAAAGUGGGACCAUUUUUUUAAAAAAAUUAAAUCACGCGCUUUUUUUUUCUUUUUCUUUUUUAAAUGCCACGUCAGCAUUAGGGUUUAAAUUAAUUCACUUGAAAGAUGUUAAGGGGGUAAAUAAACGAAAGCUUAGUUUAAGCAUUAAAGUGAGUUGAGACGACAAGUUUAGAGGGGGGAACAGUGUCUUUUCUCUUUAUAUUAUAUACAUGAUCAUUUUUCACAAUUUAUUAGUCAUCGAAGUACCAAAUUAAAAUAUUUAAAAUGUACAAACAUAAUCACUAAAUUUUUUUAUGCAUAUUUAAGUUAAUAACGAGUACUAUAUAGUGUGUCUCGUUGUGUCAAUUUUGACACUUUUUGUUGACUUGACAUAUUGUGUGUGUCGCACAUGACUACCUUUUUUUUGUAAAAAAAAAUAAAAAAAAUUGCUUCAUCUUCUUCACUGAAUCUCCCUCCACCUCUAUCUACAAAAUUUACGAACUUAAAAUAAAUACUUGAAGAUGGAGAAAAUAAUUUUCAAGGUAAUUAUGCUGAAAUUUUAAAAUUAUGUGGAAUGAAUUUCGUUGGAGUGAUGACAGUGGAAUGCUUUUCAGUGAAGAAAGGUUUGUUUCGAUGUUAAUGAGGGUGAAGAUGAUGCUAUGUUAAAAAUAAAAAUUGAGGAAAAAAUUGAUAGAGGGAGGAUUUGUUGAUUGUCAAUGAUGAAAACUAAUAAUGGAGGUGUAUUCAAAUGAAAAUUGAGAAAAACGGAGGAAUUAGUGAAUUGGGUGUUUAUAUGCCCAUUUGCUAUUUAGGCUUUAGCCACAAUCCAUUAAUACCUACUCAAAUAAUACAAUCACCUAUUUUUCCUCAUAAAUUGCAUCACCUAUUUUCUUUUUAAAUUUCAUUCUUUCCAUGAAAAUAGAUAUGAAAAGGUGAGAAAUAUGAAUUUUAUUUUUAAUUUUUUUAAUUUAUUAUUUUAUUUUAUUUUUUAUUUAAUACUAAUUUAAUCACACAUGUCUCGCAUGUGUAACGUUUGAUUAAUUAAAAUUAAAUAAUUUAUCUAUUGCGCAUGUUAUUAGCUUUUCCGUGUUAAUCAUGAUUCUAUAUGAUUUAAAUUUCAAACUCACAUGUCCUGUUUGGUCAAUACCAUGUCAAGUAGUCAAAUUCAUGUAUUUAAUCAUGUAAACAUGAUAUCCUCUCAAGCUUAACUUAUCCCCAUGUUGUAAUUUACGAGAUUAUCAGUUAUUUUAAAUACAUUAUGUUUGGGUUCCCCAAAUCAUGACUUCCUACCAAUGUUUUAGAUGAUGUUAUCAUUUUUAAAGUAUCAUUCAGUUAUGGCGGGUCAUGAACGUCUGAUAUCUAUGUGUUUACUCACUCUUCAAAUUUUCAAGUAAUAAAUCAGUUAAAUCAUGAUUCUUAUCAUUAUACUCAGUUGUUAUGAUCAUGUUGAGCACUAUCGGAUAUGAUAUUCAGUUGAAUUCAGUCAGUACCAGUGUCAGCUUAGUUGGUAGGAUUUAGCACCAAGCAAAAUCAGGAAUAAGGGUUCACCUGCCAGUAGAGGGUGUGACCCUUAGUAACAAUUUCUGAGUUCCAAAACUGCAUAGCCAGUGUAGGUUUGAGAGUCUUCCUGUCAGUUGAGGAUUGAUACAUAUCUUAUAUGAGCACCUGCUAAUAGAGGGUGACUCCCUAGUCCUUCGGGAUACUAGUUUAGUGAAUUCAGACAUUCAAUAUUAGUACCCGUAUAAGGUACUGACACCCUUUCAAUUAGGGUUAUAGGUUGGACACCGAUUAGCUCAGAUUAAGGCAUGUCAGUUACAUGUACCUCCCACAGAUUCAGUCUAGUUAUUCAGACUAAGUACAGUUCAAUUUUACGUGAUCAAUAUUCAUAUAUUAGUUAUUCAGUAAACAGAUAUCAAUUAUUCAUUAAAUAGAUAUUAGUUAUUCAGUAUACAAAUCUCAAUUAUUCAGUAUACAAACCUCAGCCAUCCAGUUACAUAGAUAUCCAAUUGCUCAAUUAUACAAAUACCAAUCAUUCAGUUAUUCAGACCAUUCCAGCACAUGUUAUGUUUGAUUUUGUAUGUUUGUACAUUCAUGCACAGUAUAUUUGUAUAUUCAGAUCCCCGAGUUAUGUCGGUUCACAUUUCAAUUUAGAUAUGCAUGAUUUUAUGUCAGUUUUCAUCACAUAGUUUCAAAUCCAGUAUUCAUACAUGAUCCUCGUUACGAUUUUAUAGUAUAUUCAGCCAUACGAAAGAAUUUCAUACAGUAUUCAUGUUUCUAUCGCUUUUCAGCUUACAAAAUUAUUUUUAACUCAUGAUUUAGAAAUUUCACUACGGCUUACAGAUUUCACGUACAACCAUGAUUGAAAAUGCAUAUUUCGGCAGAUAGUUUAUGUCUUCAGAUUUAAGCAUGUUUUAAAUAUUUUUCAUAACUUAAUGCAUGUCCCCAUGUACUCAAUAUAUUCCAAAGUACUGACCUCAUAUAUGCGUUUGUGCUACAUUCCUUCAUGAUGCAGGUAUCAAAUGUAGUCCACAUACCAGAUUAGACAGUUCCUAGUAUUCAGCCAGGAAGUGAUGAGUUCCCUUAUUUCGAGAAUUUCAGUCAGUUGCAGUUUGUGCACCGUAUUAUUAUUUUUCCUAUGUAUUAAUUUAGUAGUAGUUGGAGACUUGUCCCAACUAUCUAUAGUCAGUAUAGUUCAUAAAUAGUCAGUCAGAGUUAUGAUAUGUAAUUCAAUUUCUUUCUUCAGUUUUAUCAUGCUGUAAACCUUAUCAGUAUUAUACUUAUUCAAAUUUCCUCAUGAUUAUUUUUCCACUCAAUAAAUUUAGUUUUUAUACAAUUUAAUUUAGUUGCUCAAGCAGUAUGCCAGAUCAUGGGUUAACUUGUGAUCACUUGUGGUUCUAAGAACCGUGUUAUGAUUAGGGGUAGCCUCGGGUCGUGACAUGUGGUAAACUUCCAAAGUCUAUACUUAUAUUUUAAAAUUCGUAUCUGACUGAAAGAUGACACAUAAAAUGAAACAGAAAAAAUAUAGUUUAAAUAUUAUUUCCUCCGUUUAAAGAUUGAGUUAUUUUGACUUGAUACGAAGUUUAAGAAAAUAAUUUUUUUUUUAAAAUCUUGUGAUUUUAAAUUAAAAUUAUGUCAAUUGUAUCAAAAUGUCAUUUAAUCUCGUAAUCUCAAACAUACAUGUGUAAAGUUGAAGAAAAGAAAAGUAAUCAUUCUUUUAAAAAUAAAUUAAAAAUUAAAUAAUUCUUUUCAAAAUGAACGAAAUACAUAUCAAAAUCAUACGAUACAAUACUAUACCAUAAUAUAUAAUGAUGGGAUAUCUAUCAACGAUCCAAAUUUAAGUGUAAACACAAGCCAUGGGACCUAUGAGCAAUUUAUGCAGGAUAAUUAGCCGGCCAUCUGGAGCCCUGCCUUUAGCUCAGCAUCGCUUUAAAAAUGGCAGCAUUAGUACCGCAAACCCCCCAAAUUCGCUCAUUCUCCACUCUUCCCAAGACUAGAAAAUUCUCCCGAGUAGCUUCAUUCUCAGUCAUGGCUUCUGCUACUACUAAAAAGGUGCCUACCAUCUAUAUCGCUCGCCAAUUAUUUUUCUCUUGUUUUGAAAAAUGAUUUGGAUAAGAAACGAAUUUAAAAUUUGAAGUUUAGGUAGAUAAAUGAUUUCAAUUAUAAUAAUAAUUGAGUUUAUAGUCAAAUAAUUGUGUGAAGUAUGCUUCGAUUGACAAAUUUUAAUUUAACAAGUUUUAUUAUUUUUGAAUUAAAUUUUAAUAUAUUUUUGUCAAUUUUCUUAACUGGCAUGACAUCUUUGAAUGUGUGUCUCAUUUUAUUUAAUAAAUGUAUCAGUUAAUACAAAAAAUGAUAAAAUUAUAUUAAAAUUAAAUUUCAAGCGUAACAAAUUUAAUCAUAAUUUGAGGUCAGGGAUGGCCAUCUCUAGAUAUUUUUAGUAUGUAGACGUGUAUUGUUUAGAUUGUUCUCCAAUUACCUUUUUUCCUAUUUGAUUUCACGGGAGUCGAAUUCUUAAUAAACAUAUAAAUUCAAAUGCGAUAAGGUAUGAAAGUAAAAUAUUCAACAACCAUCCGAACAACGUGUAAAUGCAAUCUAUCCAUGUAAUUAGCCGGCCAACUCGAGAGCGUCUCGAAAAAAAAAAAAAUGGCAGCACUAAUAUUGCGACACCUCACUAUCCCCUUUAUAAAACUUCACCAAACCCCCCAAACUCACUCAUUUUUCACUCUCUCCACUUUUCGCAAGACUAGAAAAUUCUCUCGAGUAGCUUCAUUUUCAGUCAUGGCUUCUGCUGCUACUAAAAAGGUGCGUAUUAUCUAUAUCGCUAGCCAAUUAUUUUUCUCUCCUUUUGAAAAAUGAAUUUUGAUCGGACAGAAAUUUCAAUAUUUUGAAAUUUAUUGUUCAUGAACCAUUUCAAAUGGAUAAAUAGCUAGCGGUUGGUCAUAGAUUUUGGAUAAAUCUUCAAAUAUCUGUUUCGCUCAAGUAUCUUACUAUUUUUGGUAUUUUGGGACUUCCAUUCACAGAAUCUCGAAUUGUUUUAGAGUAAAAUGCAUGUCUAAACACACUUCAAGUUCAAAAAUCAGUAUUUCAAAUUGUACUUGAAUUUUUAAUUUCAAAAUUUAUUAUAUAGGUGUGUAUUAUCUAGAUCGUUCUCCAAUUUUUUUUAUUUUUUUUUUCUCUUUUUGGAAAAUGAUUUUUGAUCAUAGAUGAAUUCAGAAUUUGAAGUUUACGCAUUAUUCAAGUAGAUAUAUAAUAAUAACUGAGUUCACAAUCAGAUAUUUAUUGUUAUUUAGUAUAUAGGUGCGUCCUAUCUAGAUCCUUCUCCAAGUACUUUUUCAUGUUUGAUUUUCAGCUGAGACGAGUUUAGAGUUUGAAGUUUAUGUAUGAUUUCAAGUAGAUAUAGUAUAAUAACUGUGUAUCAAUAUUUAGUAUAUAUAUGUGUAUUAUUUAGAUCGUUAUCCAAUUAGUAAUUUUCAGCAGAGACGAAUUCAGAAUUUGAUUGUUUACAGUUCCUGAACGAUUUAACAGUUGAAUAUUUAUAGAUGUUUAGUAUAUAUGUGUGUAUUAUCUAGAUCGUUCUCCAAUUACUUUUUUUUUUUUUUGCUCGAGUUGCAAAAUGAUUUCGACAAAGGCGCAUUUAGAAUUUAAAGUUUAAAGAUUACCGUGUCUGAAUGAUUUCAAGUAGAUAUAUAAGAAUAAGUGGACUCGUGGUCAAAUAUUUAUAGAUAUUUAGUAGUAUAUAGUUGUGUAUUAUCUGUAUCGUUCUCCAAUUGCUUUAUUCUCGUUUUGAAAAAUGAUUUUGACCGGAGACGAAAUCAAAAUUUGAAGUUCAUGAAUGAUUUCAAGUAGAUAUAUAAUAAUAACUGAGUUCACAGCUGGAUGUUUAUAGAUAUUUAGUGUAUAGUUGUGUAUUAUCUAAACCAUUCGCCAAUUACUUUUUCUUUCUCUAAUGAAAAUGAUUUUCACCAGAGAUGAAUUUAGAAUUCGAGUUUAUGGUUUUUGAAGCAUUUCAAGUAGAUAUAUAAUAAUAACAGAGUUCACAGUCAAAUAUUUAGAGAUAUUUAAUAUAUAGGUGUGGAUUAUCUAGAUUGUUCUCCAAUUACUUUUUUCUCGUUUUGGAAAAUCAUUGACGUUUACAUUUCCUCUGCGUUCACAAUCAAAUGUUUAUAGAUAUUUAGUAAAUAGUGUGUAGGUGUGUAUUAUCAAGAUCCUUCUCCAAUUACUUUUUCUUGUUUUGGAAAAUGAUUUUGAUUAGAGACGAAUUCAGAAUUUGAAGUUUACCAUUUCUGAACGAUUUCAAGGAGAUAUGUGGUAAUAACUUGGUUCAUGGCCAAAUAUUUAUAGAUAUUUAGUAUAUUUCUUAGUUUUUGGGUAGAUGUGCCACUGGUUGUGACAUACUUUUUGUUUGAUAUAGGUGUUGGUUCCGAUAGCGAAUGGGACAGAGCCGAUUGAGGCUAUAGCACCGAUAGAUAUACUGAGGCGAGCUGGUGCAGAGGUUACUGUUGCUUCAAUUGAGAAUCAGCUUCAGAUUGAAGUAAUGUAUGGAAUUAAGAUGGUUGCUGAUGCUCUAAUUUCGGAUUGCACCAACACUGAAUUCGACCUUAUAGCGCUUCCGGUUUGUUUGUUGUUCAAAGUUCACUAAUUAGGGAAGAAUCUGGGUGUCAUAAAUCAUUUGUUUAGUUCCCUGGUAUAACGCUCCGAAUAGCUAUUACGUGCAUAAUUUAUGCUCUCCCCUCUCAGUUUAUGUGUCUUAGUGUGAUUGGACGCGGAUAAGCUCUUCUGAGACGGCUCGUAUUACUUGUCUGUUAAUUCUUUUAUCUGAUAUUUUGGUGGAAGACUUGAAGUAUGGAUUCUAGAUAAAGUCCUCCUGAAUUAUAACUAUUGUAUGUUCAUUUUUCCUCCCAAAUAAGGGUAAGGUGUGUUGCAUGCAUGCUACCUUCCCCAGAUUCCACUUUGUGGGACUACACUUAGGACCCUUUUGUCAUAGAUUUCCCAAGUAGUUUUUGAGAAAAAACUUGGCAAAUAAUGUUUGGACAUAUCCAAAUUCCCAAAUACUAGAAAAAAAACUACUAUUUGGGCCAAAUUCCAUUUUUUGGGAACUUUUACAAGUGAAAUGUGUUUCCCAAAUACUAUGGCCAAACACAGAGUGAAAUUUCACCAAAAAAUGACUUGCCAAAAAUAUUUUGGAAUUUAUGGCCAAACGCUAGCUUAGUAUGCUGCUGCUGUUGUUGUUCAUUGAUAUGUGAUUCAGUUUUAGCAAGACCACUAUGAUCAGUUGUGUAAGAGCUCAGAUGCUAUGAUUAUUAUUUUAUCAUGUCCAUACUUGUGUGUAUACCAUUCAUGAAAACUGUUAAUUCAAUUAAAGAGUUAAACAAGUAUGCAUUACCAGUGUUCUGGAAUGCGAGCGCAUCACCGCAUUGAUGCGAUGUGAUGCAAGGCUUUCCCACUGUGAGUAACUGAUGCGAGGCUAUUUAACAAAUGCGGGCGCAUAACCCUGUGAUGCAAGAUGCGAGCCGAUGCGCUUGCAUCAUGUUGAUUUUAUUUAUGGGGCCAUUUUUAAAUUAAAAAUAAGUCGGAUCAUUGUUGUAUUCUCUUCUACGAAUUUUUCGGGUUAGCUUUGAAGAGAGUCGUGACUUCACUGCUGCGACCUCUUUUCUUCUUCACUGAGAUUUUAUGGUAAUUUUUCUUCAUUCUCUGUUUUGCUGCUUUUCACUGCUGUGACUUCACUGGGUUUUUCUUCUUUUUCUUCUUCUUUUUUAUCACUUCUGUUGUUCACUGCUGCGAUCAGUUACUGUUUUGCUCUUUUUUCUUUCUCUGUUUUCUUUUUCUUUUUCCCCGGUUUUUCACUUCUGGUCCUCGCUUUUUUUCUCCCUCUGAUUUCGGUGAUCAAGCGAUUUUGGUGCGUCGUUUAAACUUUUGCUUAUAUAUAUUGUCUUUAUUGUUGUUUAUAUAGUUGUUGUGGUCUUUUCAGUUAUGACUUAUGUUUGGAUGCUAUUUGGUCUUUUUCUUUUAAAUAAAUUGUGGUUCAUUUCAGUGAUGCGGUCGCGUCGCUUCACGCAUCGCGUAAUGUGUGAUACGGAGCCUUGUCACUUUUUUCUGUAUCACGCUUCCUUGAACACUGUGCAUUACAUUAUCUUUGUUACUUUACUGAGGUUAAAAAAGACGUGCUAGAAGAAGUAAAGUGUUUAGGGUUGGGGGAACAUAAGCGGCAAAAGAGGAUGCCCACACAAUUCUUGUCCAUUUUGCAAACCUUUGUAUUGGUCCUUUAUAGUUGUAUUGGUUAGUAGCUGGAAAUGAUGAAUUUUGCAAGAUGGAUCUUUUCUUACAUGUCCUGUCCCCUUUCCUGAGCCAACAUGACGUAUGAUACUUAAAUGUUUCUUGAUACCGAUCAAGUCUCAUUCAGGGACGCUUGAUGUUAGCCUUUUUAGUUAUGAUUCAUUUUUUUUUUUGAGUUAAUAUUUUCGCCAUUCUGCAGGGAGGAUUACCUGGUGCAGCCAACCUUGGGAACUGCAAAAUUUUGGAAAGUAUUGUUAAAAAGCAAGCUGAAAAUGGAAAGUUUUAUGCUGCAAUAUGUGCUGCUCCUGCGGUAGCACUUGGAUCAUGGGGGCUUUUGAAGGGGCUGAAGGUUAGCUCAUGCCUUCUUUUCCUGCUUAAAAUUCAAAUAUCUUUUUUUUCUUUUGAAGAAACAGAAAGCUAGAAUUGUGUUUUCUCUUUGUUCUUUGAUAGGCAACGUGUUAUCCAUCAUUUAUGGAGGAACUAUCAUCUCAUGCCAUUGCUAUUGAGUCAAGAGUCCAAAAGGAUGCGAAAGUUGUGACAAGUCGUGGACCGGGAACAUCCAUCGAGUUUGCUGUUGCAUUGGUUGAGGAGUUGUAUGGAAAAGAGAAGGCUAAUGAAGUUUCUGUCCCACUGGUAUAUUUUCCGAUCUCUUCCAUUCGUUUUAUCAUAAAAGUGGAAGCAAUGUCUUGGCAUGACAUGGGCCUUGUGUUGUAAACCUAAAAUUUGGGAUAUUCAGGAAUUGGGAUUUGCAUCUGUGUCUUAUGUUAACAUAUGCUGAAACAAGCAAGUUGAUUCCUUUCUCUUCUGUGAAUGAUUCUUUGUCGGAGGAGAUAAACUAACUAAAACGUUAAAAUGUAUCCUACUAUGCUGCAAAAGAAAAGAAGGUUUGUCUCUGAAUAUUUUAUGUCAUAGUUAUGUGAACAAAGCUGCUGGGGAAACUGUGGGGGUUCAACUGUUGAACAAUUGGCUGAAGGUUGGGUAGCAGAAUGGCUUUAUUCUUCGUAGAAUCUGAUCUUUUGGAGGAGAGUAGAGUGGUUAUGACAAAUAGUGUUGACAAUAGAGCUCGGGCUUACCUUUGUUGAUCUUGUAUACAAGAUCAAGAUGCAAAAUGCAACGUUGUGGCCUCAUAUCUUUUUCUCAUCAUCUAUCAAUUUGGCUUACUGAAUCAUCUUGCGCUGAUGAUUAUUUUUAUGUGUACAGUUGUUGAAAUCAGUUCUUAGUUCAUAUUCUGGUAUUGAAUCUUUUGUUUGUUCAUAGUCCAUUUUCUGUCACCAACUGUUCCGUGCAUCCUGCUCUAAGUCAAUGCUUUCUCUUAAUUAUUUUUGCUUUAGUAUUGGAGACCUGUAGAUGUUAUUUUCGUUUUGCAGUUCUGUUGGUCCUGUAUUUGCUUGGUGCCUUUUACUUAUGAAUUUUUGGGAUUGUUCAUAUUCAGGUGAUGCGCCCAAAUCACAGUGAAGAAUUUGUAUUUGCGGAGCUUAAUUCAGUAAAUUGGACAGUCACAAGUAAGCCGCUGGUAAGAUUUUUGGCUGAGGUUGCAGCUCUGUCAGUUUCUGUACAAUCAUAUAUGUACUUUACAGAUUAAUCAUUUCUCUACAAGUGUUCCGCUUGGAUUUUGCAUAUAUUAAGAUCUUCUGAUAUCAUGUGUAUGUUGAUACAUUUUUGAUAAGGAUGUAUAUGUUGAUACAUACAUUGUUGAGCUGGUAAAUGUCGUAGGGAAACUUUGUGUGUUAUAUAUGCCAAAAGGCAGAGGAUGGGGUAUUAUUCUAUUGGCAUCCAUGUAUAAUCGCAUUCCCAGGGUGAAGGGUUAGCAAACUUUUACGCAAACUAUCAUUAACAGAUGUCUUUUUACCUUUGGAAGUAAUAGCAGUGUCCUAUUUCGUGGUAGAAUGUUUAGCUUCUGAAGUAACAGCAAUAUGUUGUAUUUAUAGUAUGUUAUGAAUUGUAUUUUCGAGUUUUGGAGCUGAAUCACCCCUAUAUUAAUAUUCAAGUUCGUAAUAUUCCCAAAUUUAUCUAGAGUUACUUGUUUGACAGAUUCUUGUACCUAUUGCAAAUGGUUCCGAGGAAAUGGAAGCUACUAUUAUUAUUGAUGUACUUCGGCGAGCAAACGCCCAAGUAGUAGUGGCAUCUCUGGAAGAUACAUUGGAGAUUGUUGCUUCCAGAAAAGUUAAACUAGUAGCAGAUGUGCUCCUUGAUGAAGCUGCUAAGCAGUCAUACGAUCUCAUUGUCCUGCCUGUGAGUGCGAUCCUCUGCAAUACUGCUUCUAAAGCUCCUUGAAGUUCUUGUCUUACUGUAAUAAACGAAUAUGCAGGGUGGUCUUGGUGGUGCCGAAGCAUUUGCCAAGUCAGCAAAGUUAAUUGACAUGCUGAAGAAGCAGAGAGAAUCAAGCAAACCAUAUGGAGCAAUGUGUGCAUCUCCAGCUCUAGUCCUAGAGCACCAUGGACUGCUCAAGGUAAGAAGACAUUCUCAUGCUCUUGGAUUUCGAAAGUUGAACUAUUUCAGAGCAAGUGAAUAUCACCUCAACUCUCGAGUACUAAUUUGUACAGUACCUUGGUUAUCAGGAUCAAAAGGCCUCGACUUAAAGGUCUUGAUGGGCCUUAACCUUGUUGAGCUUAGGUUAUCUUGGUUCAUCUUCAUAGUUUUAAAAGUAACAGCAUUACAUUAUUAAAUGUACAGGGGACUUGUUGUCCCAAGUCUUAUAGCAUAGGAUGCUUUGCGUUACACUAUUUAUGCAUUUGACUGCUUUAUUUCUGAUCUGUUAAUUUGGCUCUGUUAGUUGACAUGCAUCAUUUUACCCGCCCCAGACCCCACUUGGUGGGAACUCACUGGGUAUGUUGUUGUUUUAGUUGACAUGCAUCAUUUUUUGUCUCUCAGGGUAAGAAGGCUACUGCCUUUCCAGCUUUGUGUAAUAAGCUCUCUGAUCCAAGUGAAGCAGAAAACAGGGUGGUGGUUGAUGGAAAUCUCGUUACUAGCAGAGGACCAGGAACUACCAUGGAAUUUGCACUGGCCAUUGCAGAUAAGUUUAUUGGGCGCAAGGAAACAUUAGAGCUAGCAAAGGCUCUGGUUUUCUAAGUAUUAUAACUUUAUGGCCGGUGUCUUCAGUCUUUAGCAUCAUGUAGACCCCCAUAGUUGUAAACCUGUGGUAUAAUAAACUUUGCCAUCAGUGUGCACUUAAAAUCUAUGAAGUUGGUGUUGGUUGAGCUGUGUACGAAUUUGUCAGUCGUGCUUGCUAAUUUCCUAGUCAAUUCGAUGGCUUUUUAUAGUUGGUCCAAAGGUAUAUGCUACUAUUAGUCAAAUGAGCUUGAAAGCUGUAGUUGUCGUCAAGUGCACCCAUCUUCGAAACCAAACAGGCUAUAAAGGAUGUACAUCAUUUGAUGAUGUUCUACAAAUAGGUUCAAUAAAUUCCUUUUGAAUGUUGAUUAACGUGUAUGGUUGCAUUCUUCUGUGGACUGAGUUCUGAAAUGGACUUUUGUUGAUGUGGAUUGCACUUGGUUAUUGUGUUGAUUAAAAAGGUAUUGAUUCUUUCAUUAAAAUAUGCAUAUGUCCUACCAUGUUUUUUAAGUGUAGGAUGUAGAGAAGACCUUAGAUUAUUCAAAGUCUUCAAAGAAAGGAAAACUUGUGUGUUAAUGAAUUUCUUUGUAGUUUCAUGGCACCACUAACUAGGACCUACUUCACUGUUAUUGACUCCAAACUGGCCCCAAUUAUAGCCUUUCCACUUAUAGUCUCCUUUAUUAACCCCCCCACCUCCAAUUAAAAAAAAAGAAACCUUUUUGAUAAAGGAGUAAUUAUAAGCAAUGUUGUGUCAAAAAGGUUUAAGCAUGCUCAUAGCUCAUAAUGUCCAUUGCCACUUUUAUCAGUGUAGAGAUAUUCUGAAUAGACUUUAUUUACGGAAGAAGUUGACAUUCAUCGAACUAAGAAAAUAAUUUGAUCAUUAUGAAGUUUGAUUUUCUUAUUGAGUAUUGUUAUAAUAUUUGUAACCACUUGUGGUUUAGGUCGGCAACAUGUCAAUUGGCAAAUAUACAUAUACAAGAGGGAGAUACUUGAGCAACUUGGUGUCCAUGUGUUAAUAAUUUCCAUUGAAGAUUACUUAGAAUUAUAUGAUUUGCAUACAAGGCUAACGGCUUGUGUACUCUUCCUUUUGGAAUCAUUAAAGGAAAAUUACACGAGUUACACUGUUACUUCUCACCGUGGAGCAAAAUAUUUUCUACCAAAUACAAUUUUAUUCAUCAAAACUUUUAAUUAAGGACGAAGAAAUACUUACUGCCAAAAUUUUUUCAAUAGCUACAUUGAGAAUUCUUUUAGCUAGAUUUGAGUUCAUGGAAUCAUUCAAGUUUUUCUUGUACGAUGUCAGGUUUGACAAGUUGACAUCACAUUUGCUUAUAUCAUGUUGAAUUAUUCAAGCCAAAGAACGUAUCAACUAAUUACAAUCUACUCCUUUCGUCUCAUAUUAGUUGUCAAGAUUAGUAUACUAACAUUUUUGACCAUGAAAUCAAAAAUAUAUUUACUUUAUUUGGUAUUUUUAUGGUUGAAAAUAAAGUUGAAGUUGUGUUUGGUUAUAGUAUUUUGGAAAUUGCACAUUUUUGAAGUUAAAAAAUAAAAGUGAAAAUGAAAUUUUAAAAAUUUAUAGUUUUAUGAAAAUUGGAUUGUUUUAUGAAAAUAAAAAAAACAUUUUUUUUAAAAAAUAAAUCUAAAAAAGUGAAUCCAAAAAUAGUGAAAACAUAUCUUGAGGUGUUUUUCAAAAAUUCAAAUAUUAUGGAAACGUAUUUUGAAACCUUAAUGAUCAAAUAAAUAUUUCAAAAUAAAGUGAAAACAUAUUUUGAAAUAUUGAAAAUAAUAUUCAUGGCCAAAUGCCUAUUUAUUGGAGUUGUAUUUGGAACAAAGUGAAAAAUAAAUCGAAAAAAAAAGAAGAAAAAAACUCUCAUGGCCAAACCGACUUAGGCCCCGUUUAGCCAUGAAAAUAAUAAAAUUUUAAAGUUGAACCUGAAGCUAGAGCUGAAGUUAGAGUUGUUGUUGUGUUUGACCAUGAAUUUAAAUUGCGUUUAUUUUUAAAAUUUUGUGAGAAAAAUAAGAAUGAGAUUAGUGAAAACAAGUUUCAAAAUAAUUUUUACUAAAGUAAAUAUUUUUUAUGGCCAAAUACUGCUAUAGUGUUGCUCUUAAAUAAAAUGACAAUUUAUUGGAGAAAAAUACUAAUAAGGUAGUAAUUUAUUUAUUUAUAAAUUAAGGAUAUAUUUAUGUAAAAGAAAUGUGACAACUAAUUUAAAAUAAAGACACUUAUUAGAGCUGAUCAAGUGAUCGAUUAGAAAAAAGCAACCCUUAUCACCUUUCGGGGAAAAAUUAUACCAUUUAUAAAUAAUUAAUAUUAUUUUUAUGUAUCUCUAAUAGGUGUUGAAUCCCUUUAACUAGGCUUUCUUCAAAUUCCGCUUCUGAAAAAAGUAGUAUGAAAAUAGAUGAUUUAUGAUUCUUUAAGGCUAUGUAAAAGAAAAGGUCAAAACUAAUAUAAGACGCAAAAAAUAACUGAAAAUCAAGUCAACGAUGAAUUAGAAAAAAGAACAUGGGAAAACAGAUGAUAUUCGAGUGUGAAUGUAUUUAUUGAAGCAUGGUCUAUGUUAUAACACUGAAUUUACUUCUGACUUUAAAAAAAAAAUAAAAAAAAAUCAAAGACUGACUCACUCAACCUUUUUUUAAUCUUGAAUGAAUUAUGCUUCAAGCAUGGGGAAAUCCAUUUUGUCAUUUUACGUUUGCACAAUUUUGUCUAAAUAUAUGGAAAUAUGCAUUUUCUCAAAAAUCUCCAUUUCAACAUUGUCAAAAUAUUUUAACUUUAUUUUGUUUAAUAUGUUCCAUAGAUUUAAGGAAAAAAACUACUCCCUCCGUUCCAAAUCAUUCGUCCCAAAAUUUUCAUUUUACUUGUCUUUUUUCAUUAAUCAAGAAGAAACAAUUUUUUUUACAUAUUUUACCCUUUGUAUUAAUUACUUUUUCUUCCAAUUAAAAUAUAAACAUUAUUUAAUAGGGGUACUAUUGUAACUAAUCAUGUUAUUAAUUAUUUUCUUAAUCAAUGUGUCAUCUCAAUUUGGGACGGAUAAUUUAAAACGGAGGAAGUAUUAGGUAAUUAAGUAAAUUAUAAAAAAAUAAACAAAAAAAAAUUAAACUUUGGUAAGAGUAAGAAUGAUGAUUAAAGAGAAUAAUUGGUAAUCUUAUAGAAAGAAGCGUUUUUUAUGAAUUGUUUAUUUUAAGUAUUCAUUUAUUAAACUCAUAUAAGUGAAUGAGUUGAAUCGCCAUCCAUUAUUUAAUCAAUCUUUACCUCAUUCAUCUCAAUUUAAUUAAGACAUGUUUUUAAAAGUCUAAUAAGUUUAUAUUUAUUAAUUCACGUUUUAAUUUAGUCUAUUUAAUCAUUUCAAAUUCAACUCAAUAUAUUUAUUUUACACCUUUUAAAGUUUUUUUCGCCUAUUAUAUUGUGGUGUUCAAUAAAAUAUGUUGCAAUACAAUUUCAUUACUUAGUACGUAGUAUUUGUUCUUCUUAAAAUUUGAACACUAGUCAUUAAAGGGGAGAUGUGUUGGUAUGUAUGUUUUUAUUAUGAUAUUUUUGAUAUAAUGUAAUUGAGAAUUUUUUUGGAAAUCAUAAAAAAAAAAAUUGUAAUCGCUAUUUUCUUUGUGUGCUCAGGUGAAUUCACCUCUUUGAAAUCACUCUUAGAUCAUACAGAAAACGUAAGGUGCACUAACCAAAUCUAGCGCGCUAAGCGCGAUCAAAAAAAUAUUAACAAGAAGAAUCAAUUUUUUACCACCUUAUGAGAUACUGCUAUUACAUCAAUUAGUAAUUUUUUCACUGCUCAUUAUGUAUUUUUUUUUUUAAAUAGUGUUUUCUUUUGUGCCAUAAAGAAAGAAUAGUGGAUAGAAUUUUGUCAUUUGUAGCCUAACCUUAUCUUUUUCUGCUGUAUUAUUCCAUUACAUAUAUUACUUUUUUUUUAAAAAAAAAUAUAUAUCGAAAAAGUGGGUUAACAAUUUUGAACUAUUUGUUGAGAGAUUAGCUGGAAAAAAAAAAAGAGGGAAGAAAUUAGGUGAAAAACUUUUCUCAUGAUAGGGGAAAAAAAUAGAAAAUCAAUACUAUACCAAAAAGUUAAAAGUAGUUUUUUCAUGCAAAAUAUUUUGCUUGAGAAUGUGAUAAAAAUGAAACCGUAAAAAAUAAUAUUAAUCAAAUUUAUUAUUUUAGUAAUAAAUGAACAAUAAUAACAUACUUAAUGUAAUUUCAUAAAAUUGAAUCUGAAAUGAUUCAAAUUAAGUUUUUUCAUUGAUGAAGCCUUAAAUAUUAAAAAUUACAUAAAUACACAACUUAUGUUUCUAAUAUUACAAAAAAUUUUAACUCCCUAAAUAUAUUAUAAAAAUCUCAAUAUAUACACAAAAUGCUAUGUAUAUAUCAAUUAUGUUAUGUAUAUCAACAACGAGAGAGAAUAAAAUAAUUAAAAAAAUAGAAGAAAAGAUUUGAUCUUUAUAUUAUUUAUACUUCAAAUAAAAAAAAGCACACAAGGACCCAUCUAUGUAAUCAUCAUCAAGUCAAGACUGCUAAUUUAUCUCGUGAUAAAAAAAAAAAUCUUAUUAUUAUAAUAGUAAUUAUUUCGACUUUUUGCUGAUGUUUACAUUUAUCCAUAUUUUCCACGUACAAAAUAAAAGACGCAAUUGAUUUAUUCUGUUUUUAAAGCUAGAUGGAUAUUUCUAAAAUCUUGCUAAUGACGUGUUAACAUAAUAACAAAGGCCUACUAUUCUAUUAAUACGGUGGAAUACUAAAUAGUCUUUUAUCCUUAAUCAGAUUCUGAUUAGAUAAUAAUGUACUUUUUAUACAAGUUUUCACGGAGAUAGAGCCAUUUUUUAAAUUCAAAAAAUUUGAAUAUACCUCUUUAUCAAAAAAUUAUAAUAUUUCUACUUGAUUAAAUAUAUAUAUAUAUAUAUAUAUAUAUAUAUAUUUAUAUAUAUGUUUGCUUCGUCACUAUAAAUCUUAGUUCGUAUAUUUUAUUAAUAAAAAUUCUAAAAUUUUAUACUUUAAUAUGAGAUUUUUUUGAUUUGAAAUUUGAUAAUCUAGUUAAUAUGGAUAUCAAUGAGCAUAUGUAAAUAAAAUAAAAUAAAUAAAUGGCCUGCAAUUCUUUCCCAACAGUUUUAAAAAAGUAAUCAUCAACCAAACUCAUCUUUUUCCACAGUCAAAACAAAAAACCCUCUCUCUACAAUUUCUUCUUCUGCUGCUUGCUUCAACAAGUACGUAAUUCAAAUUUUUACCUCCUUCUUUUGAAUUUUCUCUGCUUUUAUUGAGCUAAAUUUAGCUUCUUUUUCGUUUCCCCUUUUAAAAUAAGCUAAAUUUCAGCUCUUUUACUUAGAAAAUUAGUUUUCUGGUAGAUAUUUAUGCUUUUUGAUUGAUCAAUUUAACCAGGUUAGUGUUUUCUGUAUCAGGUUUAGUUCUUUUGAAGCUUUGGAUUUUUAUAGCUGUAAUUGUUUAUUUGUACUUUGUUGUCAUGUUAUCUUUGAUUCUUGGAAAUGGGUGUCUAGAAUUUCUUUUUAAGUUUAUAAAAUUGAUGGAUUUAUUGGUUCACUGCUUGUUGUUUUUACCCUCAGCAUCUUAUAUUAUCGCUGUUGCCCACCUUUUCUGUUGUUGUUGUUGUUGUUGUUGUUGUUUGUGAUUGUUGCUGUUGCCCACCUUUUCACUGUUUGUUCAGGUGAGGGUCACUUGAAAACAACCUUAUGUUGGUAGGACUCUUCAAAAAUGGCAAUUAUUUUGGAGAAUUCGACAUGGGUGCGACAAUAUUUUUGGAGAGUCCGAGCAGCUUAGGACGAAAGUCCGUGUAUACUCUAUCCUCUCCAGACCCCACUUGUGGGAUUACGUUGGGUUUUUUGUUGUUGUUGUUGUUGUUGUUGUUGUUAGUAGUGAUGAAAAUGUAGCUCAUGAGCAGUAGGUUCAAAAUAAUGCGUGUUUGAAAAUCUUUUUUGGGUUUGAUAUAGCGGAGAUAUAGGUUUUAUUUCUUGUUCGUUUCGUUUUUGGGGUAGAAUUCAGGUGCAAGAUGUAAGCUUUUGUGCAUUAUGUGCCAUAUCUGUAACAGUGUUAAAGGGAGCUAAGUUUUGGAAGUUUUAACAUGUUGGUUUUGUUAUGUCACAGGCUUGGCAGCGGAGUUCCUUUUUCUUUGCAUUAAUCCUUCUUUCCAGUGCGACAGCAAAAGUGGUGGGAAUGAGUUGUUUUGGUUGCUUUGGAGGGAGAGCAUCUGCCCCCCACAACCAUGUAGCAGAAAUUGAUGAAGGUUGAAAUUUCAACUUUUUCUCAGCUCUCACUUCUAUUACUUGUAACUGUUGCCAGGUUCUAUAGCAGUAUAGCAUACUUGAGCAGGUUGUAACAAUUAGGAUUCUUUGUUCUUCUUAAGCAUGGAAAGGCAUUGCCUAUUUCAUAAAUGAUCUCUCAAUAACGAUUUAAGUUGUUGUGGUCUAGUGGUCAAUGAAGUGGGGGAGAACCAUGAGGUCUCAUGUUCAAAUUUCAAUUGAGGCCAAAAAUCAGUAAGUGCGUACUUCUCAUCUGCCUCAUUGGUGGGCAGAAUUACCCGGUACCUGCACUGGUGGGACGUAGCAGGUAGUAGGUGGAAUAAUCGAAGUGCAUGCAAGUUGGUCCAGUUACCACUGUCAUAAAAAUGAUUCAACUUGUUGCUAUCCUUCAAGACAUAUUAAGGUUUCUCACUAAAUUUGAAUUGUUCCAGAAAUUUCCACCAUUGAGAAUGCAAGGGUGUACAGCUACAAUGAAUUGCGGGCAGCAACCGAAGAUUUUUGCGCUAUAAACAAAAUAGGGAAAGGAGGGUUUGGUUCGGUCUACAAGGUAUUUUGUUAUCUAUAAAAAGAUCUUUCGCUUUUGCAAUUCCAUUCAAUUAAUAAGCUAACUUUAUAUUCUGUCGUUAGGGAAAGCUAAGAGAUGGAAAAAUGGCUGCUAUUAAGGUACUUUCUGUUGAAUCAAAACAAGGUGUGAAGGAGUUUUUGACAGAAAUAAAGGUGAUCUCAAGUAUAGAACAUGAAAACCUGGUGAAGUUGUAUGGCUGUUGUGCGGAAGGGGAUCAUAGAAUAUUGGUGUAUAACUACCUGGAAAAUAAUAGUCUUUCCCAAACUCUGCUCGGUGAGUUGAAGUCUUUUGUCAUUAUUAUUUUUAACUUUUCCUUUUCCUUCUCUUUGGUUUGUACUUGUGGCAUGGAUACUGAAGUUUGCUUACUCACAGGUGGUUCUCAUAGUAGUCUCCAUUUUAGCUGGAAAACACGAACUAAAAUAUGCAUUGGUGUUGCACGAGGACUUGCAUUCCUCCACGAAGAAGUUCAGCCUUAUAUAGUUCAUAGAGACAUUAAAGCAAGUAACAUCCUUCUCGACAGAGACCUGACCCCAAAAAUUUCUGAUUUUGGUCUUGCUAAGCUUAUUCCAGCUGAUUUGACCCAUGUUAGCACUCGUGUGGCAGGAACUCUGUAAGUUUACGUAUUCUUAUGCUUUCUUAUCUUCUUAAGCAAAUAUCUCUUGGUGAAAUUAGAGGUUACGAAUUAAAAUGAGAAGCCAUUCAGAAACGAUCAGGAAUAUUCUGAGGUAAAAAUUAUUAAAGAACAAAAUGAUGACUCGUUGGUAUCAUUUCUUUCCUAUUCAUAUAGUUCUCCUUUUUGCUUUAUUAUAAACAAGGUCAACUUUUGAUGGGGUGGGCAAUGAAUAGAGUGGUCCACUUGGUUGAAUUGAUUUUGAUGGUGUAAUGUGGAAGAAGGGUUUGGUUUGCCUAGAUUGGCAUCUAAAAUAUUUAAUGUGGUGUAUUAUCGAAACCUCAAUACCUUUUGGCAUAAAGUAGUACAAAGUAUGGCAGUCAGAUACCAAUACCAGAUCUGGAAAAUUACCUAUUUCAGUCUUAGUUCAACACAUAGAUUCUUCCUUUAGUGUGGAUAAUGGUUCGUCCAGAUCAGAAGAACCAUGAGAGUGGUGUUUUCAUACUUUUGUUUUUCACACUGGUUACUAUCAUCUUUUUCCUAUUCAUAGUGCUCCUGUUUUUGCUUAUAUCCCACAGAUGAAGCUUCCAUGUCUAGGAAUACGAUUUCUCUCGUCUAAGCUAUUGGAAUUUGAUAUUUUAGUUUGCACUUGACACUAACUUCUUUCUGUUUUUCCUAAUUCUAGCCUUGAUCUGCAAGAGGUCAAGCAUGCUGCUCAUCUCAUAGUCUUUCUUUCCCCAUCUUGUCCUUGAUAAUUUUCCUUGGCUUUUAUUCUUGUAAUAGAGCAAAGAGUUUCAGUUGCAUUUAAUUUUUGCGCUGCUCUUUUCUCGAGGAGUUAUCACUGAGGCUGUUUAGCGUGUGUGUUAGUUCAGGGAUAGUUCCGCUAAUGUGAAUAACUUCAUUAUCUUCAAAAGUUAGCUGUUUGAACUCAAGAUGGUAAGAUACUCUAAAAAUGUCCAAUGCCUGGAGUUGGGUAGUGUAUUUGACUUGAGCUUGAUACAGUUUGUUCUAGUUUUCUUUGCAGUAUAAAAACGGGCUUAUUUUGAGAUGGUCUUAGGAUGAAUUGGUGCUUGGCAAAUUGUAUACAGAUUAUGGAGCUGGGAGUAUAAUGGAUGAUGAUAUCAAUGAAAUAAUGUAUUUAUUGUCAACUUGGUUCUUCACACUUUUAUUUGAUGUUUAAUUUAAUUUUGUAAUGUCAAAGCGUCUUGUGCUCCUUCGUAACACUUGUUCCUCCUAAAUUGAGGAAUUUUCUAUCUUGAGUUGCUAUAUUUUGUCGGUCUAAUUUAGUAGAACGAGGGGUUAAUGACACAACUUGGUGGUAGUAGUUUAAAUUGCAAGAAAAAAGAAUAUCGAAUAUUUUUUCCCAUCACCUUUUGAGACAACGAUGCUUUGUUUUUUUUUUAAGUCUGUUCCAUUCACAUGCAGGUGGUGUAGUUGACUAUUUAUAGGCUCUCAUUCUUUCCAUUUUAUAGCUGUCUCUUUCCUUUUGUCUACCUACUUCUUUUGUUCACAUCUACAUGCCCCCAUCUCUAUAUUUUCUCCUUCCUGAUCCUGAUCUAGCAAUGUUGCAAAAGAAAAUGUAGAAAGGCUAUUGAUGUAUAUUCAGCUAAAGCUGGACACAGCAUAUCAUUAUUUACUUGUUUAUCGUAUAAGUUGUAACGUGCUUAUUUAUUGUAGAGGUUAUUUGGCCCCUGAAUAUGCAAUGAGAGGACAGUUGACACGGAAAGCAGAUGUAUACAGUUUUGGGAUUCUCCUUAUGGAAAUCGUUAGUGGAAGAUGCAACACAAACAAGCGGUUACCUGUUGAGGAACAAUAUCUUCUUGAGCGGGUAAGGAGUUGCUUUUAACAUUAUUCUGUUUCUGUAGGAUCCCCACCACCUUUCGACCGAAAAUAUCUUAGAUCAUUAUUGUUUCUAUACAUUAAUAAAUAUGAGGGAUGUAUGGCCAUUGGUUUCUUGACUGCUCAUAGUACACGAUGGGAAGAUCAGCUCGAGUUGUUAAAUUAUUUGGUCAACAACAUACCCAGUAUAAUCCCACUCAGUGGGGUCUAGUCUAGGGAGGGUAAAGUACACGCAGUCUGUAUGUACCACUACCUCAGAGUGAGGUAGAGAGAGAGGCUGUUUCCGAUAAGACCCCCGGCUCAAGACAAAAACAAUCUAAACAAAAACAUAAUAUGAGAACAAGAAACAAUAGGUAGUACAAAAUAACAGAUUAUAAUAGAAAUAAGACUACUACAAAGUAAUGCUACACUCGAACUAUCGGAAACAACACACAUCAUCAAAACCCUAAGACCAAAACACUAUAAACUAAAUCCGGCGACUACUGGCACAAAUAACAAAACAAAGCACACUUACCUACUAGUUGGGACACACUCCUAUCUAUUAACCAUCUACCUUAAUUCGCGUCCUCCACACCUUCCUAUCUAGGGUCAUGUCCUUGGUAAGCUGUAAAUGCUCCAUGGCAUGUCUAAUCACCUCCCUCCAAUAUUUGUUCGGUCUUCCUCAACCUCGCUUCGCGCAUCCUCUUCCACCAAAGCCACUCCCACCUUGUUCAUGUUAAAUUAUUUGGUCAUUGCUUUAAAAAGUAUUAAUCUGACGCUCUCUUUGCAUGGUUACAACAUUCUUAUUUGCGCUUCUGCAGACUUCAUCUUAACCUUCUGAAAUGGCAAUUGACAUGGUCCAAGCAGCUUAUAUAGUUCUAUGCCCAUCCAAUCCAUUGUUUGUUAAUUGUUUUUCUCAAGCGGGCUUAUCAAUAUACUUUAAGAUGAUAAUUGUUUUCUUUAGAACAGAAAGAAGAUAUAAAUUUCGACUGUUGAUGGUACAAACUUCAAUCCAACCAUUGAAAUGGAAUUCAGAUAGAAAAUAGAUAUAGGAGGGUUGUAUACAUGUAUUACAUACAAUAACUUGAUGUGCAGGCAUGGAGACUGUUCAAGAAGGGGGACAUCAUUCAAUUGGUAGAUGCAUUAUUGGGAGACAAGUUCAAUGUUGAUGAGGCGUGCAUAUUCCUGAAGGUAUCUCUCUUAUGCACCCAAGUCCUGCCCAAGAGCCGACCAUCAAUGUCCACUGUGGUGAAAUUGCUGACUGGUGAGAUGGAAGUGCAUGAAGAAGAGAUAUCUGAGCCAGGCAUGUUAUCAGAUCUAGUGAAUCUCAGGAAUCAGAAAAAUACAUCAACAGACUCGCUAUCUGCUGGCUCAGGGAAACAAGUUGAUUCCUCGUCAUGUGCAAACACAGCGACGACACAUGGAACUAUGACUUUCACUACAAUAGAAGACCGAAAUAGCUGAGCUAAACGCAGCAUGGUAAUAUACACGUCCUUGUCUGUCAUCCUUUUUAUCUGUGAGUUUAUUACUUGGUAGGAUUUUUCUUUGUAGCGUGUGAAUUAGGAGUUUUUUUCUUUUCACUUCAUUUAUAUUCUAAGCUGUAAAUAUGGCCUGGAAUUCCUUAUAAUUAGACUAGGUAGUUGACAAUUCAUUGAGACUUUUCCUUUUCUUCUUUCUAUUCAAUUUCAAGUACAUGUUGCAAUUGUACCACGAGAGAAUUUUUCUUGGAAAUACAAGUAUUUGUAAGCAUAUUUCUUCACAUGGAACUUACAGUAUUGGUGUGCAGAGUACGCUGCAAAUGGCUUGAACAAAUUCUCCAUGCACAUCAUUUAUUAUCUUGCCAUACUAUUUAUAUGAUCACCUGCAUCAUUUGUUAUCUUAUCAUAGCAUUCACAUGGUCACCAGCAGUACACACUAACUCUCCCUAUCCCUGAAGGCUAUGUUGCUCGGACUCUUCAAAACUGAUGUUUCACCCAUGUUGGAUCCUCCAAAAAAUUACACUACUUUUUGGAGGAUCGAUACUCACCUUAUGUCACCUUUUGAAAAGUCCAAGCAACAUAGCCUAAAGGGCAUUGAGGACAUGGAUAGUGAAUGACAGAGAAUAUAACAUGGGUCGGAGAACUUUUAUUUCAUAUGAACUCUGAACAUGAAAAAUUAAUAAUCACCUCAAUGACUAAUCCAUCUUCUUACAUCUACUUACCCAAUCAAUUUAAUCAUCAGAAUAAGAAGAAAACGAAUACUGUAACAAGACAAGAAUGAAAAGCCUAAUUUCUGGUUCUGUAACAUCUGCACCAUAAAAUUAGAUAACAGAGAACUCUGUAACCCAAGAUGAAACACAGCAUCACAGCUAAGUUGUUCCAUUUCUGUGAUUCCUUAAGGUCUUGCUGUCUCAAGAAGUCGGUCGCGAACAGCUUGCAUUCUCCUCUUUCACUUUCUAAACAUCUUUUCCCUCCCUUGCCUCCAUACUCAUUUAUCAAGAAGCACUCGAACGGGUACUUGAACAGACUUAGGUAGUGCAUGAAGAUCCAGUAACUAGGUAUCUUCUCUUUUGACAGGAAAUAGCCUGAGAAUAGGAAGAAAGACCCCAUCAAGCCAGCAAUAAUAGAUGUUCCCAUGAUGAAGUUUGGGACAAGCGCACUGAAACAUGCUGUAAAAGAAUUUGACAUUAAGACAACCAUCCAAACCACCAUGGAAAAAUAGAGGAACCCAUCCAUGUUUCGCCUCAGACCAACGAGCCAGUAAACCGGGACACUGUAGAGAAGGCCAACCAUUAAGAGGAAAGGAAGGAAGACAAAUGUGUUUGCCACAACAUAAGAGGAUACUCUGUAUGCUCCUCUUGAAGUCUCCCUCAUAAAGAUGGUUCUCUCUUGUAAGAAGAUUGGUAAGCCUUCUGUCAUAGUGGAGAGCAAGAACGUUAGACUGAACGCGAAGAAUCCUAGUCUAGUUUGUAAAGCAACCUGCCCUAGAUUGUUGUCAACAUUCAUGAAUAUUGACCCCAAUAUAAAGCCUGCUGCUAAUGCUUGUAUUAUUCUGGUUGCAAAAAGUUGCUUGGUUCUGAAUAUGUUCUUGCAAAAUCUUCCUCCUAGUAUUAAAAUCUCCUCAAUGUGAGAAUUUGAGUAGGAAGGACACUUCUCUACCAUGUCAUUGUGGUUGGAAACUUUAAAUCCCUCAUCAUCUUUCCUUGGACUUUCCUUCUUUUCGCCCUGAUCCUUGAGGCGGAAAUGGAUAUUGGGAGUUUCAGAAGUUUGAAUGACAAUGCUGCCUGUGACAUCAAUGGCAAAUUCAAGCACAUUGAUGUGGGGUGGAAUCGGGAGACCCGAAAACUUGAUCCUCUCUUCUAGAUACUUCAAUGAACCAUUGUGAAGAACACACCCAUUCGAGAGCAAAACAAGUCGAUCAAACAGUUCAAGAAUUCGAAAACCAGGUUGGUGGAUAGUCAAGACAAUUGUCUUGCCUUGAUGAGCCACCAUCACUUGAAGAAGUGAUAUAACAUGAAGUGCUGAUGCUGAAUCCAGCCCAGAAGUUGGCUCAUCAAUGAGAAUCACAGCAGGAUCAUGUACUAACUCAACUCCAAUCGACACCCUACGCCUUUCACCACCUGAAAUUCCCCUGUUUGAUCCUCCCCCAACUCUUGCACCAGCUACCUUUUCCAAACCAAGCUCCUUGAUUAGCACUCCAACUCUAUUUGCGGCCUCUUUUUUCCCACCUUGUAGCCUCAGAAGAGCACUAUACAUGAGUGUUUCUUCAACUGUGAGCAGGGGAAACAAGGCAUCUUCUUGUGUGACAUACCCCGAUAUUCUCCGAAAACACUUGGCAUUGACUGGAUGGCCAUUAAGUAGUACCUCUCCAAUAACCGUUGUUGGUGAUAUUUUCCCUGCAAGAAUCUCUAGCAGUGUUGUUUUUCCAGCCCCACUAGGACCAGCAAUAGCUGUUAUCUCUCCUGGCCUUGCUUCACAAUUCACAUCCUUUAUGAUGAACUUCUGAGGUUUCUUAGGAUUCUUGCAGCAAUAAAUCCAACUGAACUCAUCAUAUAAACUAGGGAGUGCAUAGGAAAGAUUUCUUGUUUCUAUGUUAUAUGGAACUUUCUUCCGGUCUCUAUAAUCCGGUGUCGUGACCGGAAGUUCCAUAGUAGAAUGAGAUGAAAAGAGGGUGGAGAAUCAAAAUCUAGGAAAGGUGAGAAGAAGACAAGAGGAGAUGAGCUAACACACCAACCAUAAUAGUCUCUUGUGUAAUAUUUGUAUGUGGAGAAAAUAAAGUUUAAAAAGGAGCUUUCUUGAACUUCUUGGCUUUGCCAAAAACUUCUUGUUGUUGGUUACUAGAAGUAAUGAAGUUUUUUGGUGAAUGGAAGCUAAUGUGUUUGAAGCAUAAAGGAGAAAAGUGAGGUUUCUUGAUUGUGUUUAGUCUUGCAGGUAAACUGCAUUGUUGACCAUGCAGCCUCUUUCUUGGUUACAUAUUUAGAUUCUUCUCUACCUGCCAGCUCUAUUGUUUCUACCUAUCUCCAUUCUAAUGUUUUAUUUUUAUUUUCCACCUGGUGUUAAUUAAUCGUAUUGAAGCCUAAUUAAAUUUGGAGCGCAGAGAAAAUACUCCUUAAUGAAGGUGGCUUUAUCAAAGGCGGAGCCAUGCCUUAGGUGAAGGGUGGUCUGGUGUGGCUCCGGUACACACCCUUUGCUAGAAAAUUAUAUCGUGUAUAGAGAUUAAAUAUUAGUUAUUAUGAGUUUAUGUUUAAUUUUUCACUCUUUGCCAAAUUCAUGGUUCUGCUACUCACUCGAUGCCUAAAUCGGCUCAAACCCGAGACCAUCGGUUAAAAAUGAAUAAAUAAUUACUACUCCAUCACAACCUUGUUGGUUGACACUUCAUUCCAUUUACACUAUUGUCCAUGAUUUUUUAAUCAUAAAUAUUAGUAAAGUUACUGCCAGGAUUCAAGUUUUGGAAACAAUCUCCGGCAGAAAUACAAGGUAAGAUUGCGUACAAUACACCUUUGUGAUGGGAUCCUUCUCCAGACUCUACACAUAGCGGGAGCUUUAAUGCACUGAGUUGUCCUUUACUCUAAUUUUAUUUUAUUUUAAACUAUGGAUAUCAAAAUAAAAGUAAAUACUUAUCUCCGGCUCGCAUUUACACUAACUCAAUAAAUACACGACACAUGAACCAUUAAUUAAUGCACAUACUUGCUUAUUUUAUGAUUUAAGAAAAUAAAUUGUAUAAUUUGGUAUAAAUAUGAGAUUGAUAUAAGUUUCCACAGAGGAUUAAUCGAUUCAAUCUACACCAUUGUAAUUUGUUCUUCUAACCAUCAACAUUUAAGAAUACAUAAAAGAAAAGGGCAGAUUCAACAUAUUUAAAUAGUUUAUAUCAUUAUCUAGGUAUAACUUAAAUGAAUAUUUUUCUAUUAUGAGUCUGCUUUAUUUAACUUAGAGUAAUUUAAUCCAUAAUGAUUAGUCCUUACGUUAGUCCUAAUAUCAAAUUUGUUCAUGAAUAUUUUAUGACCAUUUGUUAGAGAGAAGAAGAAAAUAAAAAUAGAAAGUAUAAGAAUGCAUUUUCUAAAUUAGGUCUACUGUUCUACAGAGGGUUUAACAAUUCGUGUUAACAUAAAUAGUAAACAAUACAUCAACAUCAAUACCAACUCUUAUUAUAGAUUUGUUCCAAACAACACAACUACGUGCCCAAGCAAGCAAGCCCUAUAAUAAACAAUUUCUUUGCAUUGGUAGGUUACUUGGUUUGCGUGUAUCUCGAUUAUUUCACUAGAUAUCAGAGACGAAUCUAAAAUUUUAAACUGAUGAAUUUUUGAUAAAAUAAGAUAUUAUAUAAUAAUAAUAAUAGUAAAAAAGACAACCCCGUCAGGGAUCAAUCCCAUGUUAAUGGGGAACCAUAAGCAAUUGAAGGUUCCUUUUAUGCCAUCAAGUCAGCCUUUCAGUUUGUGUAUGAGUUUAUCUAUAAAAUUUUAUUGACUUCGCAUAUGUCAUUUACACACUUUUCUACAUCCACGCACGGGGUUGGAAUUGAAAAAGUAAUUGAAUCGACGAAUCGAAUUCACUCUGACAUCUGUCGAAGCCAACCUGUGGUAAGAGUUGGGCAGAGAUAGCCCUCAAUUACUUACUAACUUACUCGGUAAAUUAGCUAGCAAGAGGCUAAUCCUCAGGAAUUUGAUUUUCAAGAUAAACCAUUCGAAUGCUACUAAACGUUCUGUUUUUUAAUAUAUGUAGAGAAUCUACGAUAGCUGAUGGGGAUUCCCAAAAAAUCCCACCGAACACUGUAGAUCCGCCCUGAUAGAUAAUUGUUGUUGUGUCUAAUGUCUUCCAUCAGUAUAGGUAUUGGAUAAUUCUCUCUAACCGAAGCAACCGUUUUACAUAUGGGUUCAGCAAAACUUAAAAGUUUUACCUAUCAUGAAUUUGUUUUUUUAAAAAAUAAAAUAAAAAUCACUUAUCAUGUAUAAAUAAUUUAUGCAGAAAGAAUUGAUUGAGUUGUAUUGUCUAUAAUUCAGAACUCAUAAGCUCAAAACUUUAGCUGCUCGAAUGGACACAACCUUGGCCAACCUUUUGACUUCUACUCAGCUACAUACCUCUAUUCACUAAGAUAUAAACAGAUAUACAAAAAUCACCUAACAUGUCUCUCAUAUUAACUUAAGUAUUUAACUGUUAAACGUGAAUUAUUUAAUUACUUAGCUUAAAUUGUAUCAGACCGGCCCUGACAUCGAUCGAUUCUCCUCCACUUCAUUGAACAUGGGAAUAAACAAUUACUAUUAGAUAAAGAUGUUGUACUCGUGUAGAAACAAAGUAAUGGAGAUAUUUUGAAGCAUUUUUAGCUUUUAGGUACAGGGCAAUGAUGGAAAAAGUCAUAUUUUGGGCUUAAUAGACUUUUUCAAUAGUUACGCCUUGACAAAAUAUCAGUGGAUAAAUAGUUAAACAAAUAUAAGCUCAUCUCUAUGCUUUGUUCUUUAAAUUCCAAACUUUUGGUAAUCUGUUUCUUAUAACUUUUGGUAGCUUGUGAAGAAAAAUGGAGUAGCUCCAAUUUCUGGUUUGGAGUAAGGUAUAAGUUAUAAUAGUUUCGUCGUUGGACAUAUUAGUUGGUCAAAAAAUUAUUUAUUCCACCAUUUAUGUUUUGGUAAUGGGAUAAGAUAUCUCAUAUAUGUGGUGAAUAACUAAUUUUGGGAUAACUAAUUACGAAAUUAAUUAUUCCGAAAUAACUUAUUCCCAACCAAAAGGCUAUCGGGAUUCGGGUGUGCACUUCGGAAGUUAAAGUUUGAGAUUUUAAUUUAUAGCUAGUGUUUGACCAUCGCUAUUAUGGGAGUACAUUUUAAAAAUUUAUCUUCACUCACAAAACUUUAAAUUUUUUUCAUGUAAAAUGCAUGUUCAAACACAAUUUCAAGUUCUAAAACUAUUUUUCGACACAACUUUAAUUUUUAUUUUUUCAGUUUCAACUAAAUUUAUGGCCAAACUAAGAAGCUCGGAAUAAUUUGGUUGAUUAUGUGGUAUAGCUAAUCUUAUUAUAAAAAUCUCACGUAAAAUGAUAUUUAUCUAUUAGGUUGGUCGAAUAAGAAAAAUAAUUACUGCAUUAUUUCGUGCAAUUCUUGAUUGACGGUAUCAAAAUAAUAUUCAUAUUCAAUUACGAAGGAUUUGCGUAUUUUAUGCACGAUCAAAUGUGAAAUAUUGGCGUAUUAACAGUGCGAAAAUUGGUUUAUUUUAGAAAAAAAAGUGAAUAAUUCUUAUAUAACAGUAAUCUCUUUUUUUAAAUCACCGCAUAACAAUUUGUUUAUUAUUAAUCGCCAUAUAAAUAAUCCACGCAUUUUCAUCUUCACGUAACUAGUAUAUUAACCAUAGCACCCCUUAAUUAAAAACUUGUCACUUGAAUUGAAUCUGUGUUAUGAUUUUUUAUUUUUUUUUGGUAAACUGAAAAUAUUUAUAUAGAUAGAUUAAGUAGGAAAAAUUUUACUUUGUGUCUCAUGGAGCUUUGGGCUGUAAGUGACAAAAGAGUUUUAAAAUAAGGUAUAGGUGACACAAGUCUUAAUUAUUAGGUGGAGGUAAUAAUUACUUUAUUAUGAAUUAAGAAAGAUAACCCACAAGUUUUUAAAUUUACACUUUGAUCCAAAUGUUAGCCCAUAUAAUGAAAAACGGAGGAAAAAAAAGCGUCUUUCUUUAUCUUCUCACCCAUUGUUGUUUUCUCUUUCUUAGCGAUUUUUGUUGUUCAUUGUUGUUGCUGCUUAAUUCAUCAUCUUCUGCUUCAUUAUCAUCUUCUUGUUGACCAUUUGUUGUUGUUGUUGUUGUUGUUACUGCUACUGUUGCUAUUUGAUCAAUUUCUUAGAUCAAAUUUUGUUUCGAACAUCACUUUCCACUUUAGCAUUACUUCAUAGGAGAUCUUGGUAAGUCAAAUUAUGAUUUUUAGUUGAAUUUGUCAUCUGGGUAACUACUAUUGUGUUGUUGUUUUCCAACAAUGGAUAGAACCUAAUUAUGAAUCCUACAUAAGAUCCAUCUGUUUAAACAGAUAAAUCAUCUGUUGCGACAGACGAGACAUCUGUUUCAACGGAAGGUUGAUAUGUUGGAUUCAUGUUUAGACAGAUGGGUCAUCUGUUGCAAUAUUUGACACAUUUGUUGCAACAGAUUAGUUAUCGUGCGGCAUGAUAAAUAUCUAUUUCAACAGAUUACUAACCUGUUGCAACAUAACCUGAACACGAUUCUAACAGAAGUGUUGUCUGUUGCAACAAGGUAAAUAUCUAUUACAACAGAUUACUAAUCUGUUGCAACAGGUAAGUCAUUUAUCGCAACAGGUUAAUUAUCUAUUGUAACAUGUCACUCAUCUGUUGGAUCAGCUUCAAAGGUGAUUUAGUGCUAUAACAUCAAUCCCAACAGGCGCUUCAACUGUUGUAACAGAUAUUCAGGAGAGUAACAUGAAUCCCAACAGGUAAGUAAUUUGUUGCGACUGAUCACUUACCUGUUGCAACAGAUAACACAUCUGUUGGGAUUCAUUCACGGCACUAUGAAAUCACUAUCAACUUUUUUUAACAAAUGACUUUAUUUAGGUACCAUUAAUGGAGGGAUCAAUAACAAUAAGGGUGGAUUGUCAUGGUCAAUGGGUCGAGAAGAGCAAUCCAUAUGUAUGGCGUUGGAAGGAGGGUGAAAUGUUAGAGACGAUAGCUAUGACAGUCCAAAGUGAUGUUUCGUAUGAUGAUUUUGUGAACUUAAUCAUCAACUUUUGUGGACUGAAUUGUCAACCAGAAGAACUCGCCGUUAGCUACAUGUACAGCUCCUUUGAAAAUCAGAGGGUACUGCCUUUCAAGAUAACCGAUCAGGUUCGGUUGCGUGCUUAUCUAAGUGAUUCAAUCAGGACGGUGUUAAGGGUGUACAUGGUUGAAAAGACGAGAGAAAAUAAGAACCAGAACGUAAAAGAAGAAGAAAAAGAAGACUUCUUUGAUGAUAGGUUGGAUGAUCUACACAUGAAUAUUUCAGAUGAUGAUCAAACACCUGCGCCCGUUGAUGCAACCAAUACAAUGUGCAGUUCUUCUCAAUCGACACAGCUUGGAAAUUUUCAAGACGACGUGACCAACUUUUUUAUUGGAACUUCAUUCAAGGACAAGAAUGAACUAUCUAACACUUUAUUUAUUUCUUGCUUGAAAAAAGAUUUCAGAAUAAAGAAGGUGAUUAAUUCGAGCAGUGUCUCUUGCUUCAAAUGUGCUAAUUCAAACUGCAAGUGAUGGUUGAGAGCGGUGAAGUAUGCAUGUUCUGACAGAUUCGCCAUUCAUAAACAUGAAAGCAUCACACAUGUGGUUCGGAGCACAUCUCGAGCCAAAAUCCUCACGCCACAACAAAGGUCCUCGCUGAAUAUUUCAGAAGUAGUUUCCCCGAUAGCAAAGGCCCUUCAACAAGGGUUAUGUCCAAUCAACUCCUUACGAUUUUGGGUGUCCUCGUCAGUUAUUGGAUAGUAUAUACGGCCAUGGGGAUUGCCAAGGACCUGGUUAGGGGGACACUCGAGCAUAGGUAUAAAGUCCCGGAUGCUUACUGUUACAUGAUUGAGUCCACAAAUCCCGAAAGUAAUACGACAUUGCAUCUGGAUGAAAAGGGAAAGUUCAAGUACUUUUUUGUAUCCUAUGUGUCAUACCUAUUUUUUAACCAAAAACGAUUCAGUUAAGUUUCGAAAGGGUUUUAUUUGUUAAAGUGACAAAAUGAAAAUUUAUUUUGAAAAAGACUUUUAACAAUCAAAACUCAGAGUCGCCAUUUGGCAUAAUUGGGUGUGCCAAGUCAUCUUUGAAAAUCCCUUUUCAAAACUAUUUUUGACUCUUUGAAACUGAUCCGCGAACAGAGAUUCCGGUUAAGGAAUUCUGUUGACCGAGGGAAAGGUGUUAGGCAUCCCUCGAUCCCGUGGUUUGACCGCGGUCGCUUGGUGGAAUGUAUUGGCUAAUUUAACACUAAGGAUGUAUAAACCACAAAAAACACAUAAAAAAUCAAUCAAACACAUGAAACAAAACAAAUCUAAAAUAUAGUGUUCAGUCCAAUUAUUACAAACCGAAGUAAAAAAAAGUACUAAAAAGUAAACCUACACUAAUCCUAAACUAUGCUCCAGUGCUUUACCCGAUGACUCGGGCCUUCACCACGAACCUCCUUUACGUACAUGAUACCUCGGGGCAUUCCCCAUUAAAUAAGUACAAAAGAUCCGGAGGCAUCCCUCGAUAAAAUGAAUACAUCUUUUCAAUGCGAUAAAAUCAAACAAUUCAACAAAAUUUUAAACAUUCAACAAAACCACAAAUUCUAAACUUUGCCUACCUAGCCUACGUUUGCCUACCCCACUCGACCUCUCAUGAUACUAUCAAGUUCGAUUAAUCGUUAAUUUCAAGUCAAAUAGUAACCAUGAAUCAUACCAACUAAAAUUCACUUUUUAUCAACUUCUCAAUUCUGUCCCAAACAACCAAUUUUAAUUCUCAAAUGAGAUACCAUUUCACCAUGCAAAUCAUAAUCAAAGGAACCAACCACGAAUAAAAAAAAUACGUGUUCAUCACCAACAGGGAUAAAAAAACACGAUAUUCAUUUCAAUACACCAAAUAUAGCAAACAAUGAAAUAAAAAACAAGGAAAGAGUAGAAUUUGACCUCAAUUGUCUAUUUUGAUAUAUCGUGGAUAGAAUCGUAUCCGAAAUACCUCGAUAACCAACAACCCCAACUUGGUAUCGCAAUUUACCACCCGAACGUAUUUGAAACCCACAAACAAACUCAAUAUGAACUCUCAAAUCGACAACUUCGCACAAAAACUUCAACUAGGAACGCUCCCUCCGAUCACUCUCUUCUCCGAUUUGCCCUCCUUUUACUGCUUUUGUCUCUAUCUUUUGAUCUCUCUCCCUCGAAUCUCUCAAUCUGUAUUCUCUCCCAAACUCCUUUUAUUUUUGUUUGCCAAUUUUUUCUCACGAUGUGCGUGUGUAGUGUUCAACAAACAAAUACAAAAAAACGUCCCUCAGAUCUGUUGUGUCCGUGUAUGAAGCUAUAUGUAAAUGGUUCUUCAAUCUCCCUCCGAUACAGUGUGUGUAUUGUGAGGAUUCUGUGAGUUUUUCACUGAAUUGGGUCUUUUCCAGUGAGGAAUUUUGUUUUUUGUGUGUAAUUUUUGUUGAAGAAGAUGCCUGUGUAUUCAAUUUUGUAGUUCCAUCAAUCCUAUGACAAAAAAUGGAAUUCUCCUAUUUCCUCCCCGUUGUUUUUUGUAUGUCCUGGUGUAUAUCCUAUAUAUCUAUAUAUGGGUGAGUGUAAUUGUGUAUUUAGUGUUUUCUAUAAUGGAAAAUGGAGUGGUGUCGUGUGUGCUCAAAUGAGAAGAAAUAAUUUUUUUUUAAUUGUCUCUCUGAUCGUGGUCCGCCCUCUGUAUUCCCUUUGUGUGUAUAUAUUAUCCAAGAAAUAAAAAAGAAACGUGAUGGGGGUCCUAUGGGGUAGGGAUGAGGUGGGGUUGGGGUAUAGUGGUUAGGUGAGGGGUGAGGUGUCUUUAUUUUAUUAGAGAGGUUGUUGGGAUGUUUAAAAUAAGAUAAAAUUUGUUAGGAUUUGUUAUUUGGAUAAAGACAAAAAUAAAUAAAUAAGUAAAAUGAUGAGGUGGUUAUUUAUUUAUUUUUCUUGUGGAAAAAUUACCAUGUAGAUAGGAUACGUGGUAAGAUGGGGUAAAUGAUAAAACUAAGUUGUGAAGGGACAAAAUUACGUGUCUACAUCAUGCCCCCUUUGGAUGUAAACACAAGGUGUUUUCAGACAAAGAAGUAGACAACGAGAUAAAAUUUUGUCCUGAUCAUUAUUUGAAGGAGGAAAUAGAAGGAAAAAGGACAACCAAGUCUUGACUUAGGACAUCCUACCUACCUAAGUUAUAAAGGAAACCCGUCACAGGUACCUCCAAAGGAAGGAGAAGGAUUAUACCGAGUUGGAGAGUCGAGUGAGGUUCCAUUGAGAUUUCGAUCCGCGGCUCUAUCAUUACAUCAAAAAUAAAAAUUACAAGUUAAAACAUAAGUGAAAUUACAAAAAUCCUAUCUAUGCAGCUUCUUUCCUUGACUCUUGACUUGCUAUAUCAUCACACUAUUCUUCAGGCGGGCUCCUGACUUGCAACUUCUUCAACUUUUGCAUGACUUUCGAGUGCUUCGCCCUGUUCUUUAGGCGAUGACUUGCUAUUUUUUCAACCCGUUGACUUUCAAUAUCUUCACCUUAUUGCUUGACUUUCAACUUCUUCACCCUGUUCUCCCGGCGGGCUUCUGACUUAAUUUUCUCACUCUGUUCUGUGGGCGAGCUCCCGACUUUCUAUUUCAUCACCCUAUUCUUUAGGCGGACUCCUGAAAUCCAAAAUUAAAACUAGAACGAAAAUCAUCCCAAACUAAGAUUAUUAUAAAGAAGGAUUUAAUUUUUGAAAACAUGGUCCCAUUUUACAGGAGGGUCCUGAAAAUAAAGUAAAUUCCCACUUUUCAGGAGGGUCCUGAACAUAAAGUAAAUUCUCAUUUUCCAGGAGGGUCUUGAACAGAAAGUAAAUUUUCAUUAUCCAGGAGGGUCCUGAACAUAAAGUAAUGUUCCAUUUUCCAGGAGGGCCUUGAACAUAAGGUAAAUUCCCAUUUUUCAGGAGGGCCCUGAACAUAAAGUAAAUUUCCAUUUUCCAGGAGGAUCCUGAAGAGAAAGUAAAUUCUCAUUUUCCAGGAGGGUCCUGAAAAUAAAGUAAAUUUCCAUUUUCCAGGAUGGUCCUGAACAUAAAGUAAAUUUCCAUUUUUCAGGAAGGUCCUGAACAGAAAGUAAAAUCCCAUUUUUUCAGGAGGGUCCUGAACAUACGGUAAAUUCUCAUUUUUCAGGAGGUCCUUGAAUAUAAAGUAAAUUCUCAUUUUUCAAGAGGGUCCUGAGCAGAAAGCAAAAUCCCAUUUUUCAGGAGGGUCCUACACAGAAAGUAAAAUUUCACUUUUCAGGAGGGUCCUGAACAGAAAGUAAAAUCCCAUUUUUCAGGAGGGCCCUGAAUAUAAAUUAAAUUUUCAUUUUUCAGGAGGAUCCUGAACAGAAAGCAAAAUCUCAUUUUUCAGGAGGGUCCUGAACAUAAAGUAAAUUUCCAUUUUUUAGGAGGGUCCUGAACAGAAAGUAAAAUCUCAUUUUUCAGGAGGGUCUGAGUUUCAGGAGGGUCCUGAACAGAAAGCAAAAUUCCAUUUUUCAGGAGGGUCCUGAAUAGAAAGUAAAAUCCCAUUUUUUAGGAGGGUCUUGAACAUAAAGUAAAUUCUCAUUUUCCACGAGGGUCUUGAACAGAAAGUAAAUUUCAUUUUCCAGGAGGGUCCUGAGCAGAAAGUAAAUUUCCAUUUUUCAGGAGGGUCCUGAACAGAAAGUAAAUUCUCAUUUUGCAGGAGGGUCCUGAACAUAAAGUAAAUUCUCAUUUUUCAGGAGGGUUCUGAACAUAAAGUAAAUUCCCAUUUUCCAGGAGGGUCCUGAGCAAAAAGUAAAUUCCCACGGAUGUGCUUUUCCAAUGGUAGCUAAAUUAAGUGAAAUGAAUUUUCCCAUGUUUCAACAAAAAAAGUUUGUCUGUUAAAAACUUAGUGGUGGCUUGCAGCACUUGACUGUCCUGACAUCUGCUAUGGUGUUCAUUCCAUUCAUUUUGUUUCAGAUUACUGGCACUUGCCCCUACUUUGUCGUGUCAUUGACCCAAAACUCAGAUUAUUAAGAGUGACUUCGAAAUAAACACUGUAUCUCUACUUUGCCAUGCUUCUCAAAUAAACCUUUAAACCUUGGUAUUUUCAUGAGUUUUCAGAUUUGCCUAUUGACAAAGCUUUCUGCAUGCCUUUUUUUUCCGACUCAUAAUCAUGUCUCUUUCAUGCGUUGGCCUUUCUGUCUUGCUUUGUGCUAUUGAAGAAGUUGGUAGCCAGUUUUGAAAUCUUUUCUCACUUGUUUUGACAUGGACUUGACUUAAAGACAAGAGAAAAAUGACAACAAUUUUUUUUAUUUGGAUAACUGACUCAAGAAAAUGAAAAUAUAACUAAAGAAAAGAAAAAACGACAAUGAAUGUCCCUACUGAAAUAAAGAAACAAAAAAUUUAUCUAAAAAUAAUAGUCAACUCUAAUGAUUAUGCCAUGCAUCUUGGAUUAAUCUGUCUGAUCUUUCCAUCCACACUUUCUACUAGUUGUUUUUGAGUUAAUGGUCUUGGAACUGACUUGCUUCCCUAGUUUAAUUGCAUUUAAGACCUCAUUCGGCUAGUGGCGCCUUAAAGGAUUUUUUUCAAUAAGCCUCUCUCAUUUUUUUUCUUAGUUAACCAUUGUCUUAUGGUGUCUGUGAGGGUUUUCACCAAUGAGACUCUCUUAUUUUCAUUUGUCUCAACUCACCAUCGUCUUAUAGUGCCCAUGAGGGUUUUCACCGAUAAGACUCUCUCAUUUUUAUCUCUCUUAGCUUACCAUCAUCUUACUCUCCUGAUUCCUUAUGCUGAGGAAGACAAGUAGUUCCCAAAAUGCGUCAUCACAUCCAUUGCAUGCGUAGCCUUAACAUUCUCAAAGAUUGAUCUGAAGGCCUUUCUUUGGUUAUAACUUUUCUUUUGGAUAGGGUUAGAAAAAAAUGAUGGCAUGGGGCCCAAAUGACACUUGACGUGGUGUGAGACUUACAACUUUUGAAAUCGACUCAAACAAUGAGGAUUAACUCAUGCCCUAGUUUCUUUUGACUGGGCAAUUCUAAUUGUUUUAUUUGGUUGGACCGAGCCCGAGUAGGGCAACCUAUGUAUCUCUCUCUCGAGAGGAGAAUCAGGUUACGCAUAGUUCUGGCAGCUUGUUCUUUUGCUUGAUUCUGACUUCAUCUUUUUCUCUUUUAUUGACUCUUUUUCUCUUUGAAACUUUUAUGACUCUAUUUUUCUUGACACUUUUCUCUUUACUUUCUUUUUGGACAUAUUUUCUUCUUCUUUUUCUUUUUUUUUUUUUGAAAUUUUCCUAACACUAUUGUUUUGCUCGACACUUUUUUUUUGAGCUUUGCUGACUCUAUCUUGAUUCCAAAAAAGGGGUAUGGAAGAAAAUAACACUAAGGCUCAAAUGGGGUAAACAAAGGAUGACACAAUGUUUGGAUAGCUGAAUGAAAUGCCUUCAUCAUAUCAAUUCUUGAAGAUGCUAGUACAUAACAUACAAUGUGAAAGUGAAAGAUGAAGAUCAUUUGUGACAUUUUUUACAGCACUAAUUUUAACUGAUCUUGUGCGACGUUACUUCUUUUGCAAACUUCACCUUUGUUGUACAUUCCUCAUAUCGAAUGACUCAUGCUUUCGUGGAGCUGAUUUUCUGUUCCUUUUGAUGUAGGAUCACAUGUCCACUACUUGAUCAAAUUGAGACAUCUCUUUCAAUUAAUGACAAAGUUAUUCAUGUGAUUCUCAAAAUAAUUGCCUUAAUUUUCAAAAAAGGCUUCAACUUGUCACCAAAUGUCUCAGUACUCUGGCUAUUUUCUCAAAUAUUUUCUAAAUUUAGCCCUCUGAUUCAAAGUUCAUGCUUAAACUGGAUUUUAAGAUCCGACUGAAAAUUCUGCAGGCAUGUCAUAACACUAGAAUCAACAUAAAAUGUGAUGUGUAAAGAAAACAAACACAUAUUUAAAACACAAAGGGAAAGGGACACUUCAUUUAGUUGAAAUAAAAGAUAGAAAAGUUUGAACAUAAACGGCACAAGGACAAAACAAGAUAGAUCCCGAACUACAACCUUGAAAUAAUUCAAAAAACAGAAAAGAAAACAAAACAAACUACCAGACCUCUUCCUAGUAGGGAGAGGGGUGAUUUCUCAAUUGCUCAGCCUGACAACUUAGCCACUGGUUUGCAUAUCAGCAUGACUAGAGCUUCAACCACGAUCAACAUUUUUCACCAUAAUUGAUUUAUCUUGAAUCAUUUUUUCAAUUUCUCUUUUCAAAGCAUGACAAUCUUUAAUACUGUGAUCCUGAACAUCAGAAUGAUAUGCACAUCGUACAGUAGGAUCAAAACUUCUUAAAUUCAGGUCAGGAGUAUACCCAAGGAGAGGAGUGAUUAUGCCCCGCUGUACCAAUCUCUGAAAUAAGCUGGUAUUUGACUCUCCAAUUGGUGUGAAGCUAUCCCUUAAUUUUUGCCUUAUUUCAUUGUUUGGAAUAAAUCCAAAAUCGGGCCUAGAAAGGCUUUGAUAGCUUUGUGGAGUCGGAGGGUAACUCUGAAGAGUUGGUGCGCGCCAUUGUGAGUAAGAAGGGAGUUGAACAUAUGAUUGUGCGCAGUAUACUAGAUAUAGAGGUGGGGAAAUAGAGUGUAAUUGAUUUUGGGAGGGAUUAUAGAGAGCUUGGGUAUAAACUUAGGCCUGAUAUUGACGGCAACGACGACGUCAUCUUCUUGGAUGUGCCCGUUCUCCAACUACAAUAGCAGCUAUAUCUUUCUCAUUCUUCUUCCCUCUAGUUUCCUUUACUUGAUUGUAAUAUUGUCCCAAAUGUUUCACGGAUUCCUCCUGUCCAUCUUGCUCCUCAAAUUUUGAUAUCUCAAGGCUUAGAGAAAGGUUAGCACUUGUAGACAUGCCCUAGGUUUUGUAUGAAACAUUUUCUUCACUCGCAAGUCUUAGGGAACUUUUCACAGCAUUUCCUGCACUCUUCUGUUUUCCAACCAUUUUCUCUGGCUCUUCUGGCACACUAAAUUUCUUCUUAAGAAAUUUUGGUGGUCCAGUUAGCUUAAAAGUAGGAUUAGGAAUAUAACAAUAAUCACUAAGAGUAUUGAACAAGGGUCCACUAGCAGCAUGGGGAAGCACAACCAUCGGGCGGCUAGCCAAUGUAGAAGCCUCAGCAGAAGGUUAAGCAAUAAAAGUAUAGGCAGUAUGUGGUGCUGUCAAUGUAGCAGGAUUAUACUGAGAAACUAGAGAAAGAGUGGUAAAAGUAUUGGGAUGCUUUUGGAUUGGAAGGAAUUCUGAGUCAUGUUGUAGUGCAUCAACAACAAUAGGAAACUGACUUUACAAUUUUGAUGAAAAACUUUAGAUAUUUAUAGGAUUAAUAGUGAGAAAUGGAGGAGGAGGCAACCAACUGGCCCAAGCUUGGUGCAUCUCCAUCAUUUGUUGUCCUAGUCUGAAAUUCUUUUCCUUUAAACUCUCAAUUUCUUAAUUCUUUGUUUGAUCUAUGAGGUCAGUUUCUAUAUCCUUGUUAGAUAGAGCUAAACCUUCUUCAAAUUUGGUGUGAUGUGAAGGACCAACCAAAAUGACACAAACCAACCACCUUAAACUAACUGAACAAUAGAAACACCAAAUGCAUUAGAGUUCAACACCUUCUCAAAAUCUUUUUUUUAUUUUUCCUUUUCUUUGAGAAAGAUCACCGAAUCUAAGAAGGGCGCCUACGUAUCUCACUCCCGAGAGAGGAGAAUCAGGUGUGCGUAGUUCGUGACGUCUUGGCAAAAUGGCCAAUUAAACUCUGUUUCUUUUUUUUUUCUUGAAACUUUAAAAAAAUGAAAAGAAAAUAAUAGAUUGUCAAAAAAAUUGGCGAAAAUAUAUUUUGUAUUUUUCAGGUUUAAAUCCCUGUACAAAAUAAAACUUAUAAUUACCAAAGAAAAAUCUUUUUGAGUUUUCAAUUUUGAAUUUCAUAUGAAAAAUGAAACUUGAACCUAAUAAAGGAAAAUCUUUUUGUAGUUUUCUUUUAAAGAAGUUUAUGACACCUACUCUUAUAAAGAGUGAAGAACAUCUUUUUGAAUUUUUCAAAUAAGAUCCCCGAACCCACAAUAGGCUGCCUACGUAUCUCACUCCCGAGAGAGGAGAAUCAGGGGUGCGUAGUUCGUUUAGAUUGGUCAAUUAAGGAUUAAAAUGAACUAAGACUUGACUUGAGAGAUGGGAUUACAGACGGACGAUAAAAGUAAAAUCUUUUUGAACUUUUAAUAGACACUUCACAUAAAAAUGACACCAAUAACCAUGAAAUUAAAAUCUUUUUGGUAUUUUCAUUUUAUAAAAUGUAUAAAACUUUUACCAUCUUUUUUGCAUUUUCUCUUUAUGAAAAACCCCAAUUAAAAAAAACUUUUUGAAAUUUUUGAAUCAUGAAUGCAUGGUAAAGGAACAGAAGAAAAAUCUUUUGAUGUUUUUGAGACAAUGAGUGCAAAAGUUAAAAAAAGUUUUUAAACUUUUGGAUUGUGAAAAACAAAAGUGAUAAAGAAGUCUAAAAACUAUGAAGCUCUCUUUUUUUCUGACUCGCUUAUCUUUUCCUUCUUUUUUUCAUUUUUUUUUAACAAUUUCUUGUCUACACACUUUACUUCUAACACUUGCUUUCUUCAAAUCAAUUCAUCAAAUGACCACGUUACCCUUAGAGAUGCAAUAUUUAGCACGUAGGGAUGCUUUAGAGAUGAGUCUCCUACAAAGAACCAAGUAGGCCCCGCUAGGUCUCAAUAUGAUGCACAUAAGCAUGACCUAAAGGCUGACCUACGCUGAGGUUCACUGACAAGGCUUUUCGAGGGAGCUUAUAGUCGAUAGUGGCUGCAACAACUUUCCACCUACUCCAUACAACCCAACGGCUCCCCCUUCUAAAAUAAGGUUGACUCAACUAGAGGUCGUGUACUUACGUGUACUACGAACUUGUUGUAGAAAGAUUGACUCGGGUUAUGCACAUGAUGCCAGAUAUAAAGCGGGGUAACACAUACGAUAAAAAUUGUAAACAAAGAGCAUGUAGUCAUUCAACAAUGAUAAACAAUAACACAAAACAACACAAAUAAAAUGUCUAUACACCUAUAGUGUCAAACUAAGCCAAUACAACUCCAAAAUAAGCUUGAAUUCUGAAAAUUCUCCAGCAGAGUCGCCAGAGCUGUCAUACCCUUUUUUAACCAAAAACGAUUCAGCUAAGUUUCGAAAGGGUUUUAUUUUUUAAAGUGACAAAAUAAAAAUUUAUUUCGAAAAGGAAUUUUAACAAUCAAAAUUCAGAGUCACCACUUGGCAUAAUUGAGUGUGUCAAGUCACCUUUGGAAAUCCCUUUCCAAAACUAUUUUUUACUCUUUAAAAAUGAUCCGCGAACAAAGAUUUUGGUUAAGGAAUUCUGUUGACUGAGGGAAAGUUGUUAGGCAUCCCUCGAUCCCAUGGUUUGACCGCGGUCGUUUGGUGCAUUGUAUUGGCUAAUUUAACACUACAGAUGUAUAAACUACACAAAACAAAUAAAAUAAUCAAUCACACACACGAGACAAAAUAAAUCCAAAAUAUAGUGUUCAGUCCAAUUAUUACAAACUGAAGUAAAAAAAAAAUACUAAAAAGUAAACCUACACUAAUCCUAAACUAUGCUCCAAUGCUUUACCCGAUGCCUUGGACCUUUACCACGAACCUCCUUUGCGUACAUGAUACAUCGAGGCAUUCCCUAAUAAAUAAGUACAAAAGAUCCUGAGUCAUUCUUCGGCAAAAUUAAUACAUCUUUUCAAUGCGAUAAAAUCAAAUCAUUCAAUAAAAUUUCAAACAUUCAACAAAACCACAAAUUCUAAACUUUGCCUACCCAACCUAUGUUUGCCUACCCCGCUCGACCUCUCAUGAUACUAUCAAGUUUGAUUAAUCGUUAAUUUCAAGUCAAAUAAUAACCAUGAAUUAGACCAACUAAAAUUCACUUUUUAUCAACUUCUCAAUUCUGUCCCAAACAACCAAUUUUAAUUCUCAAAUGAGAUACCAUUUCAUCAUGCCAAUCAUAAUCAAAAGAACCAACCAUGAAUCAAAAAAAUACGUGUUCAUCACCAACAGGGAUCAAACAAAACACGAUAUUCAAUUCAAUACACCAAAUAUAGCAAACAAUGAAAUAAAAAACAAGGAAAGAGUAGAAUUUGACCUCAAUUGUCGAUUUUGAUGUAUCGUGGAUAGAAUCGUAUCCAAAAUACCUCGAUUUGAACCUCGAUAACCAACAAACCCAACUCGGUAUCACAAUUUACCACCCGAAUAGAUUUGAAACCACUCCCGAAUUGACAACUUUGGACAAAAACUUCAACCGGGAACGCCCCCUCCGAUCACUCUCUUCUUCGAUUUGCCCUCCUUUUACUGCUUUGCUCUCGAUCUUUUGAUCUCUCUCCCUUGAAUCUCUCAAUCUGUAUUCUCUCUCAAACUCCUUCUAUUUUUGUUUGCCAGUUUUUUCUCACGAUGUGCGUGUGUAGUGUUCAACAAACAAAUAAAAAAAAUGUCCCUCAGAUCUGUUGUGUCCAUGUAUGAAGCUAUAUGUAAAUGGUUCUUCAAUCUCCCUCCGAUGCGGUGUGUGUAUUGUGAGGAUAUUUUGAGUUUUUCACUGAAUUGGGUCUUUUCCAGUGAGGAAUUUUGUUCGCUGUGUGCAAUUUUUGUUGAAGAAGAUCCCUAUGUAUUCAAUUUUGUAGUUCCAUCAAUCCCAUGACAAAAAAUGGAAUUUCCCUAUUUUUUCCCCGUUGUUUUCUAUAUGUUCUGGUGUAUAUCCUAUAUAUCUAUAUAUGGGUGAGUGUAAUUGUGUAUUCAAUGUUUUCUUUAAUGGAAAAUAGAGUGGUGUCGUGUGUGCUCAAAGGAGAAGAAGCAAUUUUUUUUUGAAUUGUCUCUCUGAUCGUGGUUUGCCCUCUGUAUUCCCUUUGUGUGUAUAUAUUAUCCAAGAAAUAAAAAAGAAAUGUGAUGGGGUGUCCUGUGGGGUAGGGGUGAAGUGGGGUUGGGGUAUAGUGGUUAGGUGAGGGGUGAGGUGUCUUUAUUUUAUUGGAGAGGUUGUUGGGAUGUUUAAAAUAAGACAAAAUUUGUUAGGAUUUGUUAUUUGGAUAAAGACAAAAAUAAAUAAAUAAGUAAAAUAAUGAGGUGGUUAUUUAUUUAUUUUUCUUGUGGAAAAAUUACCAUGUGGAUAGGAUACGUGGUAAGAUAGGGUAAACGAUAAAACUAAGUUGUGAAGGGACAAAAUUACAUGUCUACACUAUGGUGCUUGGAUUCAAGGUUUUUGACAUUUGAGAAAAGGCAUAGUCAUCGAUGGUAUCUUCUUGAGGAGCAGGUAUAAUGGAGUUCUUCUAGCGGUGGUGGCGCAGGAUGUGGAGAAUCACAUCUUUUCUGUCGCUUUUUGUGUAUCGGACAAAGAAUGUGAUGACUCUUAUGGAUUUUUUUUGAACAACUGCGACGCUGCAUCGAAGAUACCGAAGAGUUGUGUUAUGUAUCGAAUAGGCAUCCAAGUAUUCCAAAGAUGGGUUCACUUUUCUUCAAUUCAUCUUACUUUGAUUGUUGCAUCAAGUAUCUUGGACAGAACAUUCGAAACAACUAUCACAAUCGAAUAGAGGAUGUGAAUCCCAAAGUAGCAGAAUUUCUCGCACGUGUCAGUUUCAAGAGAUGGAGACGGGCAUUGUGUCCAGCAAAUAGGUGCAUUCUUAUGAAUUUACUGUCUUGUUUGAUUUACAAGUUUAGUAUGAUGUCAUACUAAGUGAUUAUCUUCUAUAGGUACGAUAUUAUAACAUCAAACAUAGCUGAAUCGGUGAAUUCAUUAUUUGACGAUGAAAGAGAAUCUCCCAUCAAGGCUAUGUUUGAAAAAAUAAGCGAGAAGUAUAACAAUUUUUGUAAUGAAAGGCGUGUGCAGUUCAAGUGCCCAGAAAAAAGAACCUGAUUUGUUCUUGAAAUUGAAAAAAAAUAUCAAUGAACAUCAGUUUGGGGAAUAGGUUAGUCUCAUAAAAUAGAAGAUUACAAAUUCCGUAUCACUGGUCAUGGUGAUGCUGCCACGGUCGAUCUUCAAACAAGAUCUUGUACGUGUAGAGUUUUUGACUUGGACAAAAUACCUUGUCCACAUGCUAUGGGAGCGCUUCAAGCUCAAUACGGUCAUAAAUAUGGACCUGAAGUUUAUGAGCACUCCUCUCAAUAUUAUUCAGCGCAAAAAUAUGAAAUGACAUAUAGUGGGCAUAUUAAUCCGGUGCCUCCCGAAGAAUCUUGGGUUGUUCCAGCAGAGCUUAUGGGGAGAUUAAUACCUCCUCCAUAUAUUGACCCGAGCACUAUCAAACCGGAAAGAAAGCCAUAUAAGAGGAGGCGUGGAGUUGGAGAAUUAUUUUGAUCAAGAAGAAACAAGUGCUCCAUAUGUAAGUGCCACAAAAGAACUCAUGCCCGAAUUGUAAUCCACCAUGAUCGUUGUAAUUGCAGAAACUUGUGUUGUUGUUUGUUUGUUUGUUGUGGGCUUUCAUAUAUUUAACUCAUUUGUGAACCUAAUGUUAUCAUUUAUUAUAUAUAAAAUAUCUUUUUUUAAUAACUUGUGCAUCAAUAAAAAGAGGCAAAACAUGAACUAAAUAAUACAGCAGACCACAAUUAUUCUCAACAGUUGCACUAACAACUGGAAUAUUUUCUUCCAACAGAUGACAAAUCUGUCAAAACAGAUGGAUAAUCUGUUGAUAGAAACCCAACAGAUGACCAAUCUAUUCCAACAUAUGGUCCAUCUGUUGAAAGAACUCAAAAGCCAAAAUUUCUAGUGCUACUGGAUUCAACAUAGCUCUUUGCCUCCAACCGUCAACAUGUUAACAUAUAUGUAUGUUUAGAUUAGAAGAAAUAGAUAGAAUGAAAAUUGGAUAAGAAUUAAAAUGCCAAAGUCUGACUAAAAGUAAAAUUUUCAUUAAACGAAAACUAAAAUACAUUAGGUAUAGAUUCGAUAUAGAAAAAUUAAAAUACAUAUGCUAAAAGAAAAAACACAUUCUAAUUAUCAUCAUCAUCAUCAUCAUUAAUGACAGUCGGCCAAUCAACUCGCAGCAGCAGGGCCCUCAUCAGCCUCUGCAUCUCUCUGAAUAUUGUCGCUCUCACAGCGACCAACUCCCUCUGCAGGUCAUUAACCUGCCUCUGAAGUUUCUGCACUGUGUCGCGUAGAAUAGCAAUGUCCAAAAAAGGAUCAGCCAUAUCUAGAACACGCAUGAAUUGAUAAAUGUAAAGAAAAAAGUUUAAAAUGUUACCUCGGCGAGAAAGGAAUAUGUUCUUUGAAAAGUAGUGGUUGAAGAUGUCACACAAAAAUAAAAAAUGCAAGAAAUAAAUAAAGUUGAGUUGAAUAAAGAUUAAGGAGGAACCUAUUUAUAGAGGAUUGAAUCUGGACGUGUCAGGCUAAAACGCAGGACUGUUUAGCUCCAAUGUAUUAAUUACAUUCAAACUGGUGGUAUUUUAUUUUCUGUGAAAAGUCGCGACUUUUUCUUUUACAUUAAUUACGUCUCAUCUUUUUAAAAUGGUUUGAGACUCAAUAAAAGGCGUCAUUAUUGAGCUGUUGUAAUAGAUCGUCCGUCUGUCAUAAUAGAUUUAGCAUCUAUUGCAAUAAAUGGAUUGAAUGUACAACAGAUGGUAUGUCAGGACAAAUUUACCAUCUGUUGCAAUAGAUGAUUUUUAUAUGUAAUAGAAAAGACAUCUAAUGCAAUAUAUGUAUUAUCUGUUGCAAUAGAUGGAUAGUAUGUUGGAUGAGAUGUUUUGAUAUCUUCUAACAGUUGAUUCAUCAGUUUCAAUAGAUGGAGUAUUCAAUUCAUUAGCUGUUUUGAAUGUGUUGGAUAAAAAGUCUCGACUCUUCACCUCUUUUUAAUAGUCCCUCCAUUUCGUAUUAGUCUGGUCCUAUGGGCUUGGCACACCAAUUAAUAAAAAUAUAAAUUAGGUGAUUAUUUUACCAAAUUGUCCUUAUUAAUUAUGCUUUGAAAGUAUAAAUAUGAAUAAUAUACUUUAUGUAGUCAUUUAAUAAUAGGGGUAUUCUUGGAAGAAUAUAACAAAAUUCUCUUGAUUUUAUAAAUAGGACAACUAAAUCAAAACAAACAUUUUUAGCAAGAAGUAAUCAUAUGCGUGCAGAUGAAUAAAAAUACAGUCUAGUUUGUCGCAACAGAUUUACCAUCUGUUGCAACAUAUGGAUUAUCUGUUGCAUCAGAUGGACCAUAUGUUGAAGGAGAUGUUUUGAUUUCUUCCAAUAGCUGAUUCGUCAGUUACAACAGAUGGAGAUUUUGAUUCAUCAAGUGUUUUGAAUGUGUUAAUAUAAAAAGUCACGACUGUUUACACCUCUUUUUUAAUAGUUAUCACAUGCGUGCAGAUGAAUAAACAACACUGUCUGACAUGUCCUGAUAGGGUAGAAAGAAUAAGGUGCGUGCAAUGGAUCCCAUUUUCAUACGUGCGAGUUAUGUAUAUUAUUGAUUAGGCUACCGUGACAGACACACAUAAAGUGCAAUGAUUUUGUGAAUGCAGUUUUUUACCGAUUAGAAAAUGAUUCUUCAAACAAGAUCCUGUAUUGUACAGUUUAGUUUGGUAGGUGCAAACUGAUAAGGCCGAAGGGUUCCAAGACAGUGGUGUUGAUACCCCGUUAUAAUUUAAUGACGAUUUAUGCUCAUAUUUUUAUAUCAAAUUAUGGGGCAGGUUUUAAGUUUUUGGUGGCAGUGUAACUAUCCAAUAGUGAUUGGACCAAUUUUAAUGGCGUAAUGGACUUCUUGAAAGGCCUUUGAAGCCUCACAAUGCAGCAAACAACGAUGAAACCAAUAGAAAUUUUUCUAGUCCAAAUUUAUAUGGAUGGAUUGCUGGAGGAGACUUUUAUACAACAGAAGGUGCUCGGGAGAAUAUCUAUGCGCGAAGGGGGAUGUGGAGAAGGCCAUAUAUCAUUUCAGACCUGGAUAUAUGGCCAAUAAAAUUGACAUGAAAAACCUGAACUCAGACUUUUAUACACCUAUGAAAUUGACAUGAUCUCAUAUUUUUAAUGUAGGAGUAGUUGGUUCAGGUUUCAAUGCAGACCGAUAAUCUUACCACCUUCUGUGCUCGCGAAGCUCCUUCCUUAGAGUUUUAGUCCUGCACUUUGUGAGAGUCUUCAUUUAGGCCACACUCACUAGUUGCAUUUUCGAGCUUAGUGUCCAGCUCCAGUCCUAUUGACCAUUCUUCUAUUUCUUCACCGACUGAUGAAUUUUCAUUUUUGGAUACACUUUAACAUUCGCACCUCAUCCAGUUUUUUUUAUUUUUCAUGUCAAUUUUAUCAGCCAAUUUCGCUACACUUUCCUUCCCACCCUGUGUUUCCACUUAAACAAGGAUUAAGAUGACACUUUCCUUCCCACCCUGUGUUUUCACUUAAACAAGGAUUGAGAUGAUAUAUGGCUUUUUCAACCUCCUCCUUCCCGCACAAUUUUUCUCCUAAACACCUGCUUUAUAAUAGUCUCCUCAAGCAACUCAUCCAUAUAAAUUUGGACCAGGGGAAUUUCUAUUUGUUCCAUCAUUGUUUGUUGUAGUGCGAGGCUUUGGAGGUCUUUCAACAAAUCCAUUAAGCCAUUAAAACAGGUCCAAUCACUAUUAGAUAUUUACACUGCCGUAAAAAACUUGAACCCUUCCCCAGACUUGACACAAAAAUAUGAGCAUAAAGCGUUAUUAAAUUGUAAUGGGAUAUUGACACCACCGUCUUGGUCCCUCAGUCUUACCAGUUCUAACCUAACAAUCUUAACUGUAAAAUGACAUAUGUUGUUUGAAGGAUUAAAGCCUAAUAGGUAAAGAACAAACAUUCACAAAAUCAUUGUACUGGAUGUGUGUUUUCAUGAUAGGUUGAUCAGUAAUACAUACCUCCCACAUAUGAAGUGGUUCUAUUUGCAAGCAGCUUAUUCCUUCGAACCCAUCUUUACUCUAGCCUUUAAUGCUGGCCGGGCAAAAAUGGAUCCAGUUUCACUUUCUUUUAUCUGCAAAUAAGAGAAAUACAUUUGAUGUCAAACAAGAGAAGAACAAAAAGAAAACAAAAAGAACAUUACAAAAGGGUAACACAAAAUUAAGGGAAUCAACAGAUGACCAAUAUGAUACAAAAAAUUACCCAUCUGUUCAACUAAUGAGGCAUCGUUGCAACAGAUGGAUGACAUGUUACAACAGAAGAGUCAUUUGUUGGAAUAAAUCAAACCAACCUAACUACUAAUUUGAUUUCUUUAAACAGUUGCUCCGUUUGUUCCAACAGCUGAUUCAUCAGUUGCAACAAUUGAGGAAACUAUUGCAACACCACCACCACCUACAUCAACAAUAAAGAAACAACACCAUAUGUUCCAACACCAUUCACAACACAAAUGUCACGUGUUCCAACACGACCACCACCCCCAACAAUAGCACAACCAAAGUACCAAACAAAAGAUAUACAAAAAACUAUACUGACAACAAGGCUUUUGAAGUUCUCCCAACAGAUGACUUUUUUUCUUAUAUUAAUAAAAACAACGGUUCGUUCAUUCAAGACUUAAAUAUCGCCUUUCCUUCAAUUUUCUCAAUAAAUAAGAAACUGGUAAUAGGUAAAUCAUUAAUAGCAACAGAUAUAAAUAUCUAAUUUAAAUGACAUACAAAGAAGAAGAAGAGAUGGAAAGAGCAACAGUGAACCGUACCUACAAUGUCAAAAAAUCAAAUAGAUCAGAACAUCCAGUUUAGUCAAGAAAAUAUUAAUUGGUUGAGAUUCUAAAGGAUCCUCGAAAGAAGAGAGAAAAGAGAGAAAAAAAGAAAACAAAGAUAAUUGAGAAUUGAGAAUAAAGAAGAGUGAUGAGUUAAGUCUAGACUACUUUAUGGCUGAAGGAGAGAGUUCUACAUAUGAGUUUUAAAUAUUCAUUAAUAAAUUUUGAGGGACAUGAGGAGACUGUGACAUUGAAAAGACCAGAUAAGACUACUCAGGAGAUUAUUGAGUUAUCCAAGUAGUACCGAGUAAUAUUUUUUACCGCCUUAAUAUUUUAACUUUUUUUUCUCAGAUAGGAAAUACCUAAAUUGCUUUAAAAAAAGCAUCUUAAAAUAUUUAAGUGCAACAGAUGACAAUUUCUAUUUGGAAAUUUUCAAAGCUCUGUCAUCUGUUGCAAUAACCUUAAUUGAAUAAUCUAGGACUAGGGUUGAGUUCUCAUAGGGUCAACUACAAAUUUAAUUAAAUCUUUUGGCAAUUGCAUGAUGAGACGGUAUUGCGUUCCUCUUGACCAAAGUUGUCAAUCGAUCACUCUGAGCCAAACCUAUUCUUACUACCUCAUAUGUUAUACUAAUACCUUAACUGAUUAAUCUAGGACUAGGGUACUAAUACCUUUAUUGAAUAAUCUAGGACUAGGGGUGAGUUCUCAUAGGGUCAACUACAAUUUUAAUUGAGUCUUUUGGCAAUUGCAUGAUGAGACGGUACUGCAUUCCUCCCAACCAGAGUCAUCAAUCGAUAACUCUGAGCCGAACCGAUUCUUACUACCUCAUAUGUUCAACUAAUACCUUAAUUGAUUGAUCUAGGACUAGGGGUGAGUUCUCAUAAUGUAAACUACAAUAAAUGACAGCGGCUAUUUGAUAAUUUACAACAGAUGUCUAAUCUAUUGCGACAUAUGACUUAAUCCAUUUGAUAAUUUACAACAGAUGGAUAAUCUGUCGCAACAGAUGACUUAAUAUGUUUGAUAGUUUACAACAGAUUCAUGAUAUGUUGUAACAAAUGACACAAUCUAUUUGAUAGUUUAAAUAGAUGUGUAAUAUGUUGCAAUAGAUUACUUAAUCUAUUUGAUUUGAUCCAACAAAAAAGACAUCUGUUACAACAUAUUGAACAUUGUUUAUAUAUAAUUUCAAUUGAUUUCAUAUGUUAGACUAAUACCUUAAUUGAAUAUGAGUUCUCAUAGGGUCAACUACAACUUUAAUUUAGUCUUUUGGCAAUUGCAUGAUGAGCCGGUACUGCGUUCCUCCCGACCAGAGUUGUCGAUCGAUUACUCUGAGCCAAACCGAUUCUUACUACCUCAUAUGUUAGACUAAUACCUUAAUUGAUUAAUCUAGGACAGAGUACUAAUACCUUCAUUGAAUAAUCUAGGACUAGGGGCGAGUUCUCGUAUGGUCAAUUACAACUUCAAUUGAGUCUUUUGGCAAUUGCAUGAUGAGAUGGUAUUGCGUUCCUCCCGACCAGAGUUGUCGAUCGAUUACUCUGAGCGAUUCUUACUAACUCACAUGUUAGACUAAUACCUUAAUUGAUUAACCUAGUACAGGGUACUAAUACAUUAACUGGAUAAUCUGGGACUAGGGGUGAGUUCGCAUAUAGUCAACUAUUGAUUAAUCUAGGACUAGGGGUGAGUUCUCAUAGGGUCAGCUACAACAGAUGGCAGCGCCUAUUUGAUAAUUUACAACAUAUGGGUAAUCUGUUGUGACAUAUGAAAAUCCAUUUGAUAAUUUUCAACAGAUGGGUAAUCUGUCGUAAUAGAUAACUUAAUCUGUUUGAUAAUUUACAACAGAUUCAUAAUCUGUUGUUACCUAAUCUGAUUGAUAAUUUACAAAAAAUGCAAAAUCAAAUGCAACAUGUUGAAUAUUUAUUUUUAUACAAUUUCAAUUGAGUUCAUAUGUUAGACUAAUAGUACCUCAAUUGAUUAAUCUAGGACCAGGGGUGAGGGUGAGUUUAUGGGUCAACUAGAGUACUCGGUCAACUACAACUUCAAUUAUUUUUAUACAAUUUCAAUUGAGUUUAUAUGUUAGACUAAAUAGUACCCUUUUGGCAAUUGCAUGAUGAGAGGGUUAAAAAUUACGCAUAUCUUUUAUAAUUUUAAAAAUAAUUAAGAUCAAUUCAAACCAAAUUAAUAUUUUUCAAAACUUGUCAUUCUUUUUCAAAAUAAAAAUCAACCCAUACAAAAUGUUUCAUUAUUUUAAUCUCGAGUUCUCGCUCUUUCUCUCUCAUUCUCACUCAUCAAUACAGUACAAACAACAACUACUCAAUAAAUUUGCUCAACCCUCUACGACAGAUCAUUUUUCAUCUCAUUUUCGACCACAUAGGUAUUAUUUUUGACUUUAUUCUUGCUUGUAUCAGUCAUUUUGUUUGUUUUCGUAAGCAACAGAGUUCGAGAAGAGUUCUAUAUUUGUUAUUUUUUUUUCUAAAAAACAAAGGAUUUUUAGUUAAUGAUGAAAAAUAAAACUUUUAAUUGUAUUAUCUUCGAGAAUGGAUUUAAAAUUUUGAGUUUUGAUGGUAAAAUCAUAGGAAGAACUAGAGAAAUCCCUAGUUUCUGUUGCAGUGUUCCGUUGACUGUCGUGGUAUUAUUGGAUGGUGUUAGUGGUGUUAGUGGUGGUGGUGUUUGUGAUCAUCGUGGUGGAACUGGUGGUGGAAUUUGUUGGUGGUAUUUGUGGUGGCUAUCGGUGGUGUCGGUAUUCGUGGUAUUUGUUUGUGGCAUUGGUUGGUGGUGUUUGUGGUGGUGGUUGUUGGUGUGUCAGUAUUCCUGAUGUUUGUAAUGUAUUUUUUAAAAUUUAUGCAUACAUCAAUUGUAAUAUAAUUUUUGUUUUUCUGUUGUUUGUAGGUAAAACAUGUCUCCUAAAAGAAAAGAAAGUGAAAGUGGAUCAACGGCUGACCACCCAAAAAAAAGGCUACAUUACAAAGGGAUUCAGAGGAGCUUUCUGAACAAUCUCAGUCAGGGAAAAGUGAAGCAGAGGAGAGAUAUAAAAACAACAUUGAGGGAGGUGGACAAGGGUCUGUAGAUGGUGAUAAAGAAAAUGAAAGUGAGAAAGAGGAGGAAUUGGAGAGUGAGAAAGAGAAAGAGGAUGAUCAUCAACAUGAUGAUAAUGGAUCACCAAUGGGGCAUGAAUUAAUAUCGACAUCACAGCAUGAUCCUGUCAAAACUUUUAGUAUUGAUAGAUUUCAAGUUGUGAUGCCGAUAAAUGACCCAGAAGCAAAACAGCUAACUGGUCAAAUUGUACUUAAAUGUCAGAUGGGGAAAUUUUUUGAACAUUUUAUGAAAAUUAUGAAGAACGAAAACAUAGGUGGACUUUGUAAGAAGAGCUGCUUUGGAUGCUUUCUUGAGCUACCUGAGGACCCCUAUGCCCGUAUCUAUUUUCCUAUGGCAAUGGUAUAUGGUCUUCUCAAGCACAUGAUCAAGUACGUAGGGGAUGAUAAAGAUCCGGAUGAGGGGGCAAAAGAAGAUGGAUGAAAUCUGGAUCAACUACUAUAGCAUGCCUGUUUGUUUUGGCUUGCAAGAGUUUGCCAUAGUGAAGGGCUUGAGAUGCCAUCGUCCAGAAGAACCACCACCCCGCAAAAGCUCCAAGGUAAGAAAAGGCACGAAAAAAUAGAUGGGUUGUUUAACAUUGCUCGACGUGGCUACAAAGCAUAAAAUUUGUUGACAGAUCUCGAGGAUAAAACCAUACUAGAGCACUACAAGGAGCAGUUGUGCUUAGUUUGAUUUGCCCAUUUGGUUAUAUUGACAAGAGACGUCAACAAGGUCAUAUAAGAUGAUUUGUUGGCGCGUGCUGAGGAUUUUGAUAAAUUCAACAAUUAUCCCUGGGGAUAUGACAACUUCUACUUAACUGUUCAAUAUUUACUGACAAAGCUAUCCUCAGGGACGAUCACAUUAUACGGCUUUCCUUGGGCUUUUAUGGUAAAAUUAAUCACUAAUUUUACUUAUCCAUUAAUUUAUAUUGAAUAUAAUUAUUAUGACUUUUUUUUGCUUGUUUCCUGUUUACAUUUUUUAGGAUUGGGCAUCAGCCAUUCCUCCCCACUGAAAACAGUUAAUGGAUUACCUGGAUAAGGUUUCUCAUACAAGGAUGUUUAGGUGGUUGGCUGCAAAGAGCAACACCAAUAUUAAAGAGACUGGUCUCUUUAACCCUCCGGAUGAUGCAAUACGUCUUCUUCACGUAAAAUAAUUUUACUCAAAGAAAGAUAUUGAACAAAUGUUAUAUCUGGUGCAACAAAUGUUAUAUCUGGUGCACCAGAUGGGACAUCUGUUACGACAGGUUACCCCUCCCGUGCCAAUCGGUGUAAUAAAUGGAUAAUCUAUUGUGACAGACGAUUGAUAUCUUGCAUCAGAUUAUCCAUCUGUUGCUUUGGUUCUCUGAAUCCAACUCCUAACAGAUUAAUCAUCUACUAUAAAUUUGCAACAGAUGUGUAAUCUGAUAACAUAUUGUUCAUCUAUUGUGAUGUACAGAUCAUCUGUUGCAUAACAGAUUACCCAUCUUGUGCAACUGUUGUAACGGAUGAUUAAUAUUUUACAUCAGAUUAUCCAUGUGUUGCUUUGUUUCUUUGAACCAGACUCAAAUGGAUUUUAACCAUAUACUGCAAACUAUGCAACAGAUGGGUCUUUUUUUUAAAUGUAACCCAACUGUGAAAAUUAUUAUAUUAUAUGAUUUAAAUGCAUCUAUCUUUUUUCUUUAUAGGUUGUGUAUCCAUGGAUCAUGCCUGCUGAGAAUGAGUCAGUGAUGACUUCUUAUAUUACUCUAGGUCAUGUUGAUACUAUAGCAAACCCAACGGUGGAGUUAAUAAAGAAGAAAUUGGAUGGAGCAAUAGCCAUAAGAAGAACAGUUAGGCAAGGUCAGCCUAAUGUUGAGGCUCUUCAUGACCAACCUACUAAGGCAGAUCUGGGUGCUUCUUCUGAUGGAGUUGUUGGUGUUGGUGGCAGGCACACUGAUGCUGCUACCACUCGUGAAGAUGAGCAUGUUGAUGCUCAAGAAAGAAUAAAUAUGUUUGAAAACACCCCUUUUCACCCUUAACAGGUCUCUCUUACCCCUCUUCACCCUCGUGUUCUUGUUGCGAAUGUUAAAAGUACAAGAACAGACAGGAUAAACUCUUUGAAAAAGUAGAGGCUAUCUCUAAAACUAUAGAGGAAUUCAAAUCCAAGAGGUGUUUCAUACCAUCCAAGAAGGUAAGGGAGCUACACACUCUUACAGUAUUGGUUAGGAGAAAGAAAAGAACAGUUAGAGACGUACUCUCCGGUAAGAAAUCAAAAGAAAUUGCAAUUCCUACCUCUUCAAAAGUUGUUGAAGUUCAAGGUCCAGUCAAGAAGGUGGAAAUAUAUGCGGAACUUGGCACCGAAAAGAAGAGGGAUCUGCGACAGGCGAAGAAUGCCAAGCCAGGUGAACCAGAUUACCCCAGGCCUCUCUUUUCCCCCCAAGACUUCCAGACUAUGACUGAUAUGCGUAUAUCGUACGAGGAUAAAGCAAGUUUACUUUUCCUAACCUAUCCAUUCUAAUCUACCCCAUGAAGAAGAAGCUACACAACAGAUUUCACAUCUGUUGCAAUAGCUGGGUAUACUGGUGCAACUGGUAGUGGUUCUGUUGCAAUUUAUUAUCCAUCUGUUGCAUAAGUUGCAUUAGAUUAUCGAUUCAGAGAACUCUAUGCAACAGAUGGAUCAUUCGUUGCAUCUUUACAAUUACUAACCUAUUUAAAAAUUGACUUCUUAUAUCACAGCAUGUUGACAUAAUUCUCUGCCUCAUGAGGAAAAGACAAUUAACGUACCGGAAAGCUUAUGACCCUGCCGAUAGGAUAAUGGACCUCGACUUCUUCAAGAAACUCAAGGAUAGGUACGAUCAACUCAAUGGGGGAGGCAUUAUCCCUUAGCGUGGGACUUUAUUUCCUAGUUCCUACGUUGGUCUUGGGUGAAGAAGAAAUGAUAAAAUAUGUUAAAGGGGAGAGGCUAAAUCCACACGGCAAGAGCUGGACCGAGGCAAAGAGGAUUCUUGUAGUCAUUAGCAUGAACGACAUGCAUUAUCGGGUUGUUGAGAUACUACUCGAAGAGGUAAAGAUCAAUGUUUAUGACUCUAACGUACCUCUCGUUGGCAAUUUUGGUCUUUUUCUCCCCGUGGAGCCACUGAUGGUGUUGUUGCCCAUCUUGUUGAGGGAGACUAAACUGAUGAAUCAUUUGCCAAAGAAAGUGUUGAUGAAGAAAUCAUGGGAUUUUGAUGGUCGAAACAAUGGAAUGAUCCUUCCAAAAGAUGAUGCCGCUAAAGCGAUCGGUUCGCAUGCUCUUACACACAUCAAAUGUUUAAUUACUGGCAUAGAAAUGACCGAGCCAAUGACUUUUCUGUGCGACAACAAUGUGGAAAACCUGCAAGAGGUCUGGGCUUAUGGAGUACUAACUGGACGCUUGAAGACUGUGUAUAUAGAAGAGCCUGUGAAAUAGCAAUUUUUAAUUUCAAGUCACCCUUCACUUUAUUACAUGUACAUAUAGUGACAAUAAUUUUUUCUGAUGAAAGUUGAUUUUUUGAUAAUGCAAUAGAUUGUUAAUCUGUUGUAAAAUAUAUUGAAUCUGUUCUGGCAGAUAGUUUAUCUGUUGCAAUAGGUUGGUCAUCUGUUGCAUUACGCCGAUGUUAUUUCUAUAAAUAAUCUAAUAAUCUAAGUCUAAUCUGUUGCAAUAGUGGGAAGACCUAUUUGAUAAAUUCCAACGGAUUACCUACCUGUUGCAAUGUAUGUCUAAAUUUAUUCGAUUUUUCCAAUAGAUGUGUCGUCUGUUGCAACAGAUACAUUAUCUGUUGCAAUAUUUGAAUCUAGUAUUCCUUUUCAAUUAAUAAGUUCAAAUCUAAGGAAUAAAUAAAAUUCAUAGAUAAAAGAAAAUAAAUCGAAACCUUCAGAAAUUAGCUGAAAUAAGUCAACGAAUAAAUGAAAUGUAAAAAAAUUGUUAUGGGUACAAAUCUCAACAAAUACAUCAACAAAAAUUUAAGUAUGAUGCCAAGGAUUACUUUGACAGGCUCAAGCUAUAAAAAUCUACUCAGUAUGGACAAGUUGUUGUUCAUCCGGUGCUAUGGAAUUCGGCUUUGAUCGUCAUGGAUCUUUAUUGUCGCUUACGUAUGGUUUUUGCGCUUUCUGUCCUCCGUAUUUCCAUAAAAAGAGUAGCAUAUUGUCAAUGCUGUUCAGCAGUAGCUUCUUCUACAUCCACCUGGAAAGCCAGAAUUGGUCAAUGCUAAUCACGGAGAUACAAUAAAACAGAAAAGGAUCACUCAUCUAUUCUAGCAAAUCAAACAGGUCUUCCUUCUAUUUUAAAUUAUCCCAAACUGAUUAUAUUUCUGUUACAACAAUGAAUUAACUGUUGGGACAAAUUUCUACAUGAGGAAGACCAUGUAUGAUAAUUUCCAACGGAUGAACCAUCCGUUGCAACAUAUGAAUCAUUUAUUGUGGCAGAUAGGUCUUCUGUUGGUACAAGUAAAAGUAGUACUAGGAUUUGUUUGAUUUGCUAAAAUAGACGAGACAUAUGUCGCAAUAGAUACUUUAUCUGGUGCAAUAUGUUAGUCAACUGUUGCAACAGAUGUAUAUAUCUGUUUGAUAAUUUUCAGCAGAUGUGUCAUCUGUUGAAACAGAUAUGUGUCUGUUUGUUUUGUCAGUUGAAAGACAUAUAUAUUCACCUUCUUCAGCUUGUGCUGCUCUUCUUUGGACAUUGUACGUUUCUCAGUGCAACACAUAGACAGAGGAGUUGCAAUUUCACUAUUUUGGAUGCUUGAUAAUGCCCUGGAAAUCACUCUCCUUCUUCUCUUAGCCCUAAUCUCUAAUGAAGCGGAUGAAAAUAAAAUCCUGUUUGAUGGAAUGAGACCCCUCUUAGAUGUCAAUUCCUUUAUAGAAGCAGUUAAUGCAUUAAUAGCAUUAAUCACUACAUCAUGUUUUGCCCUGCAGUCUUAACAUUUGUAUGCAGAACAUUCGCUGGGAGAGGCAAAAUAUGUAUAACCAGUAUGAUCAUACUCAUAAUGGUUUGCUUUAAAUACUGUAAGAGGAGCAUCAUUAGCACCAACAGCAGCACCACUACCACCAUCAACAGCUCCAUCACCACUAAGACCAUCACCAACAACAAGUCCACCCUCCAAAAUUAUUUUUCUUGUAAUUGUUGUUGCUCCAAACAAUUUUAUUUUUAUUCUGUCGAUGACCUUAGGGUCCGAUAAAGUUUGCACAAACCGUAAAGUAAGAAAAAAUGGCAUCUUCAACUCUUGAUUGGUCGGAACUAGCGAUGGAUGUACAAUCUAACAUAAAUCAUUAUAUAUAUUAGAAUAAUGAUUAGAUCAUUAAAAAAAAUAUUAAUUAAAAGAAAAAAUUAAUUAUAAUUAUACUUACUGCAUCCUUCGGGGGGUUGAAGAGAUUAAGAAAUUUUGUAUUUUUAUCAGUUUUGGUCGACAACCAUCUCAAGAUUCUUGGACAAGAAGCUCUAUCCUUGUAGUUCACUUGUUAUCUCAAAUAAGGAAUGACUUCAAACGCCCAAACCUAUCAAAUAACACCAAUAAAUCAAAACCAUUAUUGAGAAAAAAAAUGAAUGAUGUCAUAAUAGAAGAAAGAAAUAUUUACCAUGAAAGCUCAUGGGAAGCCAUAUAAGUUGACUGUCUUUGGCGCUAACGGAGUCAACAAAUAUUUGGCAGUUGAUAUCGCUCAAACUACACCUCUCAAUGAGAAUGUAAGCGAUCAUUGUCAAUAUAAAACCCAACUAAGUUGGGGUCGAAUCUCACAGGGAAGAUGGUGUGAACGUAAGUUGUUUGCAAAUUAAUCAACUGAUAGUUAGAUGUUUCCAGAAAUGAGGGGUUUUUAGUUCAACAAGCAAUUUUUGGUUACAUUAGUUUCAGUGUUUGCUCUCCCCCUCUCUCUCUCCCCCUCUCUCUCUCCAACGGCUCUCUCCCCCUCUCUCCCCCUCUCUCUCUCGCCCGACCCUCUCCCCACCCCCAGCUUACCGGCCCCGGUUCCCGGCGCCGUCGCCGACCCGAUCCGGCCGCCGGCUCCGACCGACGGUCGCCGGCGCUGAUCAGAUCGCCGGCUACGGCCUCCGGUCGCCGGUUCUCCUUCUCCCUCUCUCUCUCUCUCUCUACCCCCCUCUCCAUCCCAAGCGUACCGGCCCGGUCCCCGGCGCCGUCGCUGAACGUCGGAGCCGACCAGAUCCGACCGCCGGCUCCGACCUCCGGUCGUCGCUCCCCGGCGCCGACCCGACUGGACCGCCGGUCGUCGCUCUCCGNNNNNNNNNNNNNNNNNNNNNNNNNNNNNNNNNNNNNNNNNNNNNNNNNNNNNNNNNNNNNNNNNNNNNNNNNNNNNNNNNNNNNNNNNNNNNNNNNNNNNNNNNNNNNNNNNNNNNNNNNNNNNNNNNNNNNNNNNNNNNNNNNNNNNNNNNNNNNNNNNNNNNNNNNNNNNNNNNNNNNNNNNNNNNNNNNNNNNNNNNNNNNNNNNNNNNNNNNNNNNNNNNNNNNNNNNNNNNNNNNNNNNNNNNNNNNNNNNNNNNNNNNNNNNNNNNNNNNNNNNNNNNNNNNNNNNNNNNNNNNNNNNNNNNNNNNNNNNNNNNNNNNNNNNNNNNNNNNNNNNNNNNNNNNNNNNNNNNNNNNNNNNNNNNNNNNNNNNNNNNNNNNNNNNNNNNNNNNNNNNNNNNNNNNNNNNNNNNNNNNNNNNNNNNNNNNNNNNNNNNNNNNNNNNNNNNNNNNNNNNNNNNNNNNNNNNNNNNNNNNNNNNNNNNNNNNNNNNNNNNNNNNNNNNNNNNNNNNNNNNNNNNNNNNNNNNNNNNNNNNNNNNNNNNNNNNNNNNNNNNNNNNNNNNNNNNNNNNNNNNNNNNNNNNNNNNNNNNNNNNNNNNNNNNNNNNNNNNNNNNNNNNNNNNNNNNNNNNNNNNNNNNNNNNNNNNNNNNNNNNNNNNNNNNNNNNNNNNNNNNNNNNNNNNNNNNNNNNNNNNNNNNNNNNNNNNNNNNNNNNNNNNNNNNNNNNNNNNNNNNNNNNNNNNNNNNNNNNNNNNNNNNNNNNNNNNNNNNNNNNNNNNNNNNNNNNNNNNNNNNNNNNNNNNNNNNNNNNNNNNNNNNNNNNNNNNNNNNNNNNNNNNNNNNNNNNNNNNNNNNNNNNNNNNNNNNNNNNNNNNNNNNNNNNNNNNNNNNNNNNNNNNNNNNNNNNNNNNNNNNNNNNNNNNNNNNNNNNNNNNNNNNNNNNNNNNNNNNNNNNNNNNNNNNNNNNNNNNNNNNNNNNNNNNNNNNNNNNNNNNNNNNNNNNNNNNNNNNNNNNNNNNNNNNNNNNNNNNNNNNNNNNNNNNNNNNNNNNNNNNNNNNNNNNNNNNNNNNNNNNNNNNNNNNNNNNNNNNNNNNNNNNNNNNNNNNNNNNNNNNNNNNNNNNNNNNNNNNNNNNNNNNNNNNNNNNNNNNNNNNNNNNNNNNNNNNNNNNNNNNNNNNNNNNNNNNNNNNNNNNNNNNNNNNNNNNNNNNNNNNNNNNNNNNNNNNNNNNNNNNNNNNNNNNNNNNNNNNNNNNNNNNNNNNNNNNNNNNNNNNNNNNNNNNNNNNNNNNNNNNNNNNNNNNNNNNNNNNNNNNNNNNNNNNNNNNNNNNNNNNNNNNNNNNNNNNNNNNNNNNNNNNNNNNNNNNNNNNNNNNNNNNNNNNNNNNNNNNNNNNNNNNNNNNNNNNNNNNNNNNNNNNNNNNNNNNNNNNNNNNNNNNNNNNNNNNNNNNNNNNNNNNNNNNNNNNNNNNNNNNNNNNNNNNNNNNNNNNNNNNNNNNNNNNNNNNNNNNNNNNNNNNNNNNNNNNNNNNNNNNNNNNNNNNNNNNNNNNNNNNNNNNNNNNNNNNNNNNNNNNNNNNNNNNNNNNNNNNNNNNNNNNNNNNNNNNNNNNNNNNNNNNNNNNNNNNNNNNNNNNNNNNNNNNNNNNNNNNNNNNNNNNNNNNNNNNNNNNNNNNNNNNNNNNNNNNNNNNNNNNNNNNNNNNNNNNNNNNNNNNNNNNNNNNNNNNNNNNNNNNNNNNNNNNNNNNNNNNNNNNNNNNNNNNNNNNNNNNNNNNNNNNNNNNNNNNNNNNNNNNNNNNNNNNNNNNNNNNNNNNNNNNNNNNNNNNNNNNNNNNNNNNNNNNNNNNNNNNNNNNNNNNNNNNNNNNNNNNNNNNNNNNNNNNNNNNNNNNNNNNNNNNNNNNNNNNNNNNNNNNNNNNNNNNNNNNNNNNNNNNNNNNNNNNNNNNNNNNNNNNNNNNNNNNNNNNNNNNNNNNNNNNNNNNNNNNNNNNNNNNNNNNNNNNNNNNNNNNNNNNNNNNNNNNNNNNNNNNNNNNNNNNNNNNNNNNNNNNNNNNNNNNNNNNNNNNNNNNNNNNNNNNNNNNNNNNNNNNNNNNNNNNNNNNNNNNNNNNNNNNNNNNNNNNNNNNNNNNNNNNNNNNNNNNNNNNNNNNNNNNNNNNNNNNNNNNNNNNNNNNNNNNNNNNNNNNNNNNNNNNNNNNNNNNNNNNNNNNNNNNNNNNNNNNNNNNNNNNNNNNNNNNNNNNNNNNNNNNNNNNNNNNNNNNNNNNNNNNNNNNNNNNNNNNNNNNNNNNNNNNNNNNNNNNNNNNNNNNNNNNNNNNNNNNNNNNNNNNNNNNNNNNNNNNNNNNNNNNNNNNNNNNNNNNNNNNNNNNNNNNNNNNNNNNNNNNNNNNNNNNNNNNNNNNNNNNNNNNNNNNNNNNNNNNNNNNNNNNNNNNNNNNNNNNNNNNNNNNNNNNNNNNNNNNNNNNNNNNNNNNNNNNNNNNNNNNNNNNNNNNNNNNNNNNNNNNNNNNNNNNNNNNNNNNNNNNNNNNNNNNNNNNNNNNNNNNNNNNNNNNNNNNNNNNNNNNNNNNNNNNNNNNNNNNNNNNNNNNNNNNNNNNNNNNNNNNNNNNNNNNNNNNNNNNNNNNNNNNNNNNNNNNNNNNNNNNNNNNNNNNNNNNNNNNNNNNNNNNNNNNNNNNNNNNNNNNNNNNNNNNNNNNNNNNNNNNNNNNNNNNNNNNNNNNNNNNNNNNNNNNNNNNNNNNNNNNNNNNNNNNNNNNNNNNNNNNNNNNNNNNNNNNNNNNNNNNNNNNNNNNNNNNNNNNNNNNNNNNNNNNNNNNNNNNNNNNNNNNNNNNNNNNNNNNNNNNNNNNNNNNNNNNNNNNNNNNNNNNNNNNNNNNNNNNNNNNNNNNNNNNNNNNNNNNNNNNNNNNNNNNNNNNNNNNNNNNNNNNNNNNNNNNNNNNNNNNNNNNNNNNNNNNNNNNNNNNNNNNNNNNNNNNNNNNNNNNNNNNNNNNNNNNNNNNNNNNNNNNNNNNNNNNNNNNNNNNNNNNNNNNNNNNNNNNNNNNNNNNNNNNNNNNNNNNNNNNNNNNNNNNNNNNNNNNNNNNNNNNNNNNNNNNNNNNNNNNNNNNNNNNNNNNNNNNNNNNNNNNNNNNNNNNNNNNNNNNNNNNNNNNNNNNNNNNNNNNNNNNNNNNNNNNNNNNNNNNNNNNNNNNNNNNNNNNNNNNNNNNNNNNNNNNNNNNNNNNNNNNNNNNNNNNNNNNNNNNNNNNNNNNNNNNNNNNNNNNNNNNNNNNNNNNNNNNNNNNNNNNNNNNNNNNNNNNNNNNNNNNNNNNNNNNNNNNNNNNNNNNNNNNNNNNNNNNNNNNNNNNNNNNNNNNNNNNNNNNNNNNNNNNNNNNNNNNNNNNNNNNNNNNNNNNNNNNNNNNNNNNNNNNNNNNNNNNNNNNNNNNNNNNNNNNNNNNNNNNNNNNNNNNNNNNNNNNNNNNNNNNNNNNNNNNNNNNNNNNNNNNNNNNNNNNNNNNNNNNNNNNNNNNNNNNNNNNNNNNNNNNNNNNNNNNNNNNNNNNNNNNNNNNNNNNNNNNNNNNNNNNNNNNNNNNNNNNNNNNNNNNNNNNNNNNNNNNNNNNNNNNNNNNNNNNNNNNNNNNNNNNNNNNNNNNNNNNNNNNNNNNNNNNNNNNNNNNNNNNNNNNNNNNNNNNNNNNNNNNNNNNNNNNNNNNNNNNNNNNNNNNNNNNNNNNNNNNNNNNNNNNNNNNNNNNNNNNNNNNNNNNNNNNNNNNNNNNNNNNNNNNNNNNNNNNNNNNNNNNNNNNNNNNNNNNNNNNNNNNNNNNNNNNNNNNNNNNNNNNNNNNNNNNNNNNNNNNNNNNNNNNNNNNNNNNNNNNNNNNNNNNNNNNNNNNNNNNNNNNNNNNNNNNNNNNNNNNNNNNNNNNNNNNNNNNNNNNNNNNNNNNNNNNNNNNNNNNNNNNNNNNNNNNNNNNNNNNNNNNNNNNNNNNNNNNNNNNNNNNNNNNNNNNNNNNNNNNNNNNNNNNNNNNNNNNNNNNNNNNNNNNNNNNNNNNNNNNNNNNNNNNNNNNNNNNNNNNNNNNNNNNNNNNNGUUAAAGGGCACGAAGCAUAAUUUUCACAUCUUUUUACAAUUGUUUGAUAAAUUAUUGAUAAUUAUUCUUUCUUUAGGAUUUUAAUCAAUUUGUUGUCAUAUUUUUAUUUUUUAUAAUUUAUUAAUAAUUUUUCUAGUUUUAGAAUUUUUAUCAAUUCAUUAUCGUUCUUAACAUUUUACAAUCACCCGCACACGUGCACGACAUGGUGUUAUAUACAUAUAUUUUUUUUACAGUAUUUUUAAAUUAAUUAUAUUUUAAUAAUUUUAAUAUUCUGUACAUUUUUUUCAUUCAACAUCUAUAUUUUACAGUCCGCAAAUGCUGAGUUGGAUUAAUUAUUUUUAUACAAUAUAAUAAUUUGAUGUUUUAUCACAUCUGACAACGACUACACAAUAAUGUCUUGUUACGUCCGACAAUGACCACUCAGUGUUGUCUCAUCACAUCUGACAACGACCACUCAAUGACACUACCCUUUGAAUAAUUACUUUGUCCGUUGAUUAAAAUAAUGAAAAUUCUUUGGCCAAUAACUUAAGGACCUAAGGAUGUUCUAUUAUAAAAAGAGAGGACACCCUUUAUCCAUUGAAUAAAAUGGGUGCUCAAUUUUUUGUAUAAAUAGAUGGUGGGAGGACACAUUUUUGACAUUUUUCCUCUCUUUUAAAAUACACAUAUAUUUAUUUUUUACAACUCAUAAACAUUUUUUCUUUGCAAACUCACACACAUAUUCAUAAAUAUACAAACAUAUUUUAUUUAUUUCAUUUUUCUAUUUUUCUCUUCAAAACACACCACAGAUAUAGACAUACACUAAUACACCACACAUAUACACACUAAAAUCAAAUGGUUGCUCACUUUUCUCUCCCAAAACACACUAUACAAAACACACACAAACAUACACUAAACCACACACCAAAUCAGAUCCAAAAUCUCUCACUUUCUCCCUCAUUGACGCACAUCUCUCACAUAUAGAUCUUUCGACUCCUUCCCGCAGCUAAACAACCAAACAACCAGCCUCUCUCUGUCCCUUCGUUUCACACUGCCUCGCCGGAUCUGGCCUCCGGCAGGCGAGAUGCCAACCACCAGCGCCAUUCCGACCAACACCUCACUUCUCCCUUUCGAUCUCAUGCGUCACCACCCCACCGAAUUCCAGCAUAGCCCUUUCCGCCACUGCCUCCUUCUCUUUUCCACUGUAACACCGAAAACCAUGGAGUUUUCUCCCGUGUUAUCACCCCUAAAUACUGGAUCUACAAGAAAAAUGAUGUUUUCUUCUCUUAUUUUGCUUAUCAUGUUAUUGUUUUGAAUUGUUCUGAUGCUUUUAUGCUGGCGAGAAUAUUAUUGCUUGGCUAUAAUUGCAUUUGCUUUAUGUUACAAGUGGGUCAUUAGACCAGAAACUUUAUUUCUUGGAUUACUAUUUCUGAUUGUUUUGUCUUUACAGUGGAUUUCUCCACUGUAUUUAUUUAUUAUACUGAUAAUGAAUAAGAUACUAUACAUUUGGCCAAUGAAAAAAUUACUAUUAAUUUUGAGGCCUCCGUAAACAAAAGAUGAAUUUUACGUAUAUAAAUACGUAAUAAAUAGAUAUUUUUGGUGAUGAUGAAACUUUAUAACAAUACAAGAUUUUACGAUUCAUAUUUUGGCAAGAUGAUUUUGGACGACCAAUUAAUUGAGCAACCACUUCGUUGCAAAAUGAUUUAGGAUUGCCAAUUAAUUGAGCAAUCAUUUCACAACCAUGACUUUAUCUAAGCCCACUUUUAACAAAAAAAUAUAUGUUUAUAUAUUUAUAUGCAUACAUACUUGUUCAAUUUAUUUUGAUUAUUUUUUAUUUGUUACUAACAUUCUUUUUUAGUGCUUAUACAGGUUAUUUUGAAAUAUUUGUCGGGAGUUGCAGUCAAAGAGACCCUUAAAUUUUAUAUUGUAUUUUAUAUUCUCACACUUGUACAAAUAAUAAAAAAUAGUGAAAACUUUACUUUUUGGGUGUCGGGCGGGAAUAUUCUUCAUUUACAUAAUUUCAUCAAUUUUAGGCAAAAUUUAGGCCGUUAAUAUUUACAUAAAAUAAUUAAGUUAAUCAACUAAUUCACAU
rnacentral:lncRNA from 1 species